GAGAUUUAGAGCUGGGAAUGGAUCAAGUAAGUGCAGUGAGGGAGAUGCUGAGGAUUACGGAUCAGGAAUCCAACACGGCUUUACAUGAAGCAGCAGGGUGUGGCAAUGUUGAAGUGGUGAAAGCAUUGUUGGAGUUUGAAGUCCCUGAUUUUCCGUAUUCUGCCAAUAAAAAACAGGAGACUCCACUUUAUAUUGCAGCUAAGAGAGGAGACGGCGGCGUGCUGAGUGUAAUAUUAGAUAAAUCAAAAUCAGCAGCUCAUGGCGGCCCCCACGGUAGAACAGCUUUGCAUGCAGCAGCUAUGGCUGGAGAUGCAGGUAUGUUGUUGAGUUAGAUCCAAUUUUUUUAAAAAUUUUUUUGUAAAAAACAAAGAACAGGUCUAUUGACAUUUUUUUUUUUGCUUGGAUUUAGAGGCAAUAAGGGUAAUAUUAAAGAAGAAGGGGAAUUUGACAAAGGAAAGAGAUGAAGAUGGACGCACCCCUCUUCAUUAUGCUGCACACUUAGGUCGUAGAAUCUCAGUUGUGGAAGAACUGUUAAAAAGGGAUGUAUCAGCUGCCUAUAUAGGUGAUAAAAAGAGGGGGAUGACACCCCUUCUUAUGGCAGCCAGACAAGGUUAUCUUGGAACAGUUUCAAAGAUUCUCUCUUUAUGUCCAGAUAGUUGUGAAAAAGUGGACAACGAAGGUUUGACCUUACUUCAUUAUCUGGCUUUUAGAGGUUCUUCCUAUCCAUUAAAGCUUUCUCUUUUCAAGCGUGGUGGUAUUGAGAUUGUGUAUGGAUCACUCAGAAAUCUAAUGAAGUUGGAAGGUGCUUUUGGAAUGACACCUCAAGAAGUUUUUGUUGAAGUUGGUCAGCAUGAAGCCAACACUCGAUUCCAUACAGGCCAUGAAGACCAAGCAAAGCUGGAACAGAUGCAAGGGCUGCUGAUGCAAGCUCAUUUUGUUCAUUUUGUUAUAUUUAGUUGAUGAAAUGAGUGUUAGUUCAUUUCUAACUAAGUUAGCUUUCUGAUUGAUGUAAUUAGCUUAUGUAUGAGCUGUAAACACACUUUUGUAUAAGUUUACAAGCUAAGAUUUCAAGUUUCUAUGUAAUUAGUGGAGGUAGGUAAUUUCUUGUUGAUUUUGACAAGCCUUAUGCUUGUGUUAUGUACUGGCUUCAAGCCAUUGUUUUAUGCAUGAAUCAAAUCAGUUUUUGUUUAUCAAUAUUCUCUCAAAUUUCCCCAGCUUAUUUUCUUCUUUCUUUAACUCGAAAUUGUUUGUUUUGCUCAGCAAGUUUAGAGGCUUGCUCGACAAGAUACUUGCUGAGUCUGCUUGAGUCUAUUGUUGCACCAACAAUUGGUAUCUAGAGCUUAUUUCUUAAGGGACCUGUUAUACAAAUCCAUGGCUUCAUCAAGCUUUUCACCAGCUGCACCUCAAGUAUUCAAUGGAGAAGGCUAUCACAUAUGGGUGGUCAAAAUGAAGACUUACCUGCAGGCUUAUGAUCUGUGGGAGGUGGUCAACUCAGAUGUUGAACCAGAACCACUUAGAGGCAAUCCAACAGUGGCUCAGAUCAGGCAGCAUGCUGAUGAGAGGACCAAGAGGCACAAGGCCAUGUCUUGCAUUCAGAACUCAGUGUCAGAUGUGAUUUUCACAAGGAUUAUGGCCUGUGAAUCACCAAAACAGGCCUGGGAUAAGUUGCAAGAAGAGUUUCAAGGGACAGAGAGGACAAGGAAGCAACAGUUACUGAAUUUGAGGAGAGAUUUCGAGAAUUUAAAGAUGAAAGAAGAAGAAACUGUCAAGCAAUAUUCUGACAGGAUUAUGGCUGUGGUUAAUAGCAUCAGGCUCCUUGGAGAGCAGUUUAAUGAAGCUAGGAUAGUGGAGAAAGUAAUAGCAACUCUGCCUGAGAGGUAUGAGGCAAAAAUCUCAUCUCUCGAGGACUCAAGGGAUCUGUCCACCAUUUCCCUGACUGAGUUGAUCAAUGCUCUAUAUGCUCAAGAGAAGAGGAGAGCAAGUAGACUGGAAGAGCAUCAAGAAGGUGCCUUUCAAGCAAGGACAAAUAUUGCCUACAAAGGCAAGAAGGCCUGGAGAGACAAGCCAAAGAAUGAUGCUGCGAGAAGAGAAGGUCAAACUUGCAAGCACUGCAGAAGGGCUGGUCAUCCAGAAGAAAAAUGCUGGUUCAAUCCAGAUGCUGUGUGUCAGCAUUGUAAGAAGAAGGGUCAUGUUGAGAGAGUUUGCAAGAGCAAGACCAAAACAAGACUGAACCAGUCUCAACAGAUGAAAGCUGAGGCUCGAGUAGCUAAGGAGGACAGUGACCAAGAGGAGCAAGUCUUUGCUGUGUCAUGCUCAGCUGCUCAGGAAAGGCUCUCAUCUGGUUGGCUCCUAGACAGUGGAUGCACCAAUCACAUGACACCUGAUGCUGCAAUCUUCAAGUCUUUAGACAGAAACUGUAGAACCAAAGUCAAAAUUGGUAAUGGGCACUUUAUUCAAGCUGAAGGCAAAGGUGAUGUGCUGAUAUGCACUCCCACAGGUGCCAAAAUGAUCUCAAAUGUGCUCCUGGUGCCUGAAAUUGAUAGAAACCUACUCAGCAUAGCUCAAUUGCUGGAGAAAGGUUACUCUGUGGUGUUCAAGGACAAGCAGUGCCAAAUCAGUGAUCCAAGUGGAUCCAAACUGAUGGCAGUCCCUAUGGCUGAUAAGAGCUUUGUGGUUGACUGGACAAAGAAGUCAGACUUUGCCUACACAGCCACAUCAGAUGAAUCUAAGUUGUGGCAUCAAAGGCUGGGACAUGCCAACUUCAGAUCGAUGGCCCGAAUGGUCAGAGAAGACCUGGCUGAAAACUUCAUCAACUCAGUGGACCAUGAUGAUGUGUGUGAAGUGUGUCAGCUAGGAAAACAGGCCAGAUUGCCAUUUCCCAUGAAUCAAGCCUGGAGAGCCUCUGAAAAACUCCAACUGGUGCACACUGAUGUGUGUGGCCCUAUGAGGACUGAGUCACUAAGUGGAAACAGGUACUUCAUACUGUUUGUUGAUGAUUUCUCUAGAUAUUGCUGGCUUUACUUCUUAAAACAGAAAUCAGAAGUGGCCACUGUGUUUUGGAAGUUUAAAAUUGCUGCUGAGACAGAAACAGGCUGCAAGCUGAAGACCAUAAGGUCUGAUAAUGGGACUGAGUACACCUCAGCUCAGUUCCAAGCCUUCUGUGAUAAGGCAGGCAUCAAACACCAGCUUACCAACACUUAUACACCUCAACAGAAUGGUGUAAGUGAAAGGAAGAAUAGGAGCUUAAUGGAUAUGGCCAGGUGCUUAAUGAUUCAGAAGAAUCUGCCUAAAGCACUAUGGGCAGAAGCAGUUAACACUGCAACAUACAUUCAGAAUAGACUUCCAACCAAGGCUUUGGAUCAGAAGACUCCAUUCGAGGCCUGGUUUGGCUUCAAGCCAUCACUGGCUCAUCUGAAGGUCUUUGGAUGCAUAUGUUACACACAUGUACCUGCUGUUAAAAGGGACAAAUUGUCUGAAAGGGCUCGACCUGGUCUUCUGGUGGGCUACAGCACUGUUAAGAAAGGCUAUAGGAUCUUGGAUCCUUCAACAAACAAAGUAUCAGUAAGCAGGGAUGUGGUAUUUGAUGAAAGGUCAUGUUGGAACUGGGAAAGGCAUGAACCUGAGGAAGUUUCUGAAGAACUUACAACAAACAAAGCUGAGCCAGAACAAAGUGUUCCUGAAAUGGACAUUGAUGAUGAACCAGUCAGAGGAACAAGAUCAAUGACUGAGAUUUAUGAAAGGGCUCAUAUAGCCAUAGCUGAACCAAGUAACUUUGAAGAGGCUGAAGCUCAGCAAGAGUGGAAGCAGGCAAUGGCUGAGGAGAUCAGCAUGAUUGAGAAGAACCAGACCUGGGAAUUGGUUGAAAAGCCAGUCAAAAGGAAGGUGAUUGGGGUGAAAUGGGUGUACAAAGCCAAGCAAAAUGCUGAUGGUACCUUGAACAAACUGAAAGCAAGGUUGGUUGUCAAGGGGUUCAGUCAGAGGUAUGGCUUGGACUACCUGGAGACCUUUGCACCAGUGGCCAGGCUCGACACCAUCAGACUGCUGAUUGCCUUAGCAGCCCAGCUCGAAUGGAAAAUUCAUCAACUCGAUGUGAAAUCAGCCUUUCUGAAUGGUUUUUUAGAUGAAGACAUCUAUGUUGAACAACCACAAGGGUUUGAAAUAGCUGGGAGAGAGCAUAUGGUCUACAAAUUGAAGAAGGCCCUAUAUGGCUUAAAACAGGCUCCAAGGGCCUGGUACAGCAGAAUCGAUGGCUACUUGACUGAUCUGGGAUUCAAUCGAAGCAAGAGUGAGCCAACACUGUAUGUCAAGAAGCAAGGGACACAAACACAACUCAUUGUGUCCCUAUAUGUUGAUGACCUGCUGGUGACAGGAGGAGAUCGAGCAGUGCUGGUUAAUUUCAAGACCAAGAUGCAAGAGGUGUUUGAAAUGUCUGAUCUUGGGGAGAUGUCCUAUUUUCUUGGAAUGGAGGUGACUCAAGCACAGAAUGGGAUAUUUUUAAGUCAGAAGAGCUUUGCCACAAAGAUUCUGACCAAGUUCUCCAUGCAAAACAGCAAACCAACUAAAACACCUGUUGCUGUUGGAGAAAAACUAUCGAGCCAAGGAAAUUUUGAGAAGGUAUGUGAAACUACCUACAGGAGUCUAGUUGGUUGUUUGCUAUACUUGACUGCCACUAGACCAGACAUAAUGUAUGCUGUAGGAUUGCUCUCAAGGUUCUUGCAUUGUUGCAAUGAGAAGCAUUUUCAGGCUGCCAAGAGAGUGCUCAGAUAUGUCAAAGGCACUUUGGACUAUGGCUUAAGGUACAGCAGGAAAGGAAAUCUAAAUCUAGUUGGGUACACUGAUAGUGACUGGGCUGGAUCGAUAGAUGACAUGAAAAGCACCUCAGGGUAUGCUUUCAACCUUGGUUCAGCUAUGUUCUGCUAGAGCUCGAAGAAGCAAAGUCUGGUGGCACAAUCUACUGCUGAAGCAGAGUAUGUGGCAGCAGCAAGUGCUGUCAACCAAACCAUUUGGCUUAGGAAAAUCCUGGCUGAUUUGAAUAUGGAUCAAAGGGAAGCAACAGAGAUCUUCUGUGACAAUCAAUCUACUGUUGCAAUUGCCAAAAAUCCUGUGUUCCAUGGAAGAACAAAGCAUUUUAGCAUUAAGCUAUAUGUUAUUCGAGAAAUGGAGCAAGCUCAGGAAGUGAAGCUAAUUCACUGCAAUUCAGAGGACCAGCUUGCAGACAUUUUGACUAAAGCCCUUAAUGUCACAAGGUUUGAGCAUUUAAGAAGAAAAUUAGGUGUUUGCACCAUGCUAACCAAGGAGGAGUGUUGAAGUUGGUCAGCAUGAAGCCAACACUCGAUUCCAUACAGGCCAUGAAGACCAAGCAAAGCUGGAACAGAUGCAAGGGCUGCUGAUGCAAGCUCAUUUUGUUCAUUUUGUUAUAUUUAGUUGAUGAAAUGAGUGUUAGUUCAUUUCUAACUAAGUUAGCUUUCUGAUUGAUGUAAUUAGCUUAUGUAUGAGCUGUAAACACACUUUUGUAUAAGUUUACAAGCUAAGAUUUCAAGUUUCUAUGUAAUUAGUGGAGGUAGGUAAUUUCUUGUUGAUUUUGACAAGCCUUAUGCUUGUGUUAUGUACUGGCUUCAAGCCAUUGUUUUAUGCAUGAAUCAAAUCAGUUUUUGUUUAUCAAUAUUCUCUCAAAUUUCCCCAGCUUAUUUUCUUCUUUCUUUAACUCGAAAUUGUUUGUUUUGCUCAGCAAGUUUAGAGGCUUGCUCGACAAGAUACUUGCUGAGUCUGCUUGAGUCUAUUGUUGCACCAACAGUUUUUAAUGCAGUUCAAUAUGAGGAACAUCAUCAUAAACAGGUGUGUGUGCGUGCAUAUGUAUUGCAUUUCCAUGGCUAUGGUUUUAUUAAUAUUCAAGUUUUGAAUUAACAUCUUUAAUAAACCUACAAUACAAUUAGCUGGCAUGGCAGGAGCAAAUCAAUGAAUUGUUGGAAGAAAUUGAGAAUGAUCAAGUGGCGGACGAACCAGUUCGUCCCAUUAGCUUGCCAACUGUCUCUACAGCAAGCUUGGAGAAGAAAAGAGAAGGUCAUUUAAUAGUGGCAGGACUUAUAGCCACGGUCACAUUUGCGGCAGCGAUAACCGUCCCAGGAGGUUUCAAGAGUGAAAAAGGAUCCGAAGAGGGUACUCCUUUUUUGAUUCAUGAGGCAGCCUUUAAAGUAUUUAUCAUAUCGAAUGGAUUGGCCUUUAUUCUCUCUCUUUCCACCCUCUCCGUUUACGUUAGGAAGAUGUAUUUCCUUUCCUCAAACUCAAAGCAGCGACGCAAAAUUUUAAUAACACGGUUGACCGCUAAGAAUCUCCUUAGUGGUGCACUGAUUGCAAUGUUGAUUGCUUUCAGCACAGCCAACUAUGUUGUGUUAAAACCUUCUCACGCACUUGCCAUAGCUUCAUGUUUGGUCGGCCCUGCCUUUAUUUUCACUUCUUUACUUACCCGCAAAUGGAUGUUUAUUCUUGUGUGGAUCUCGGCAUACUUUGUGAAUAUUCUUAUACCAUUUUCAUUGGUUUGAACUUGGUUUUUAGACUGAAAUUGCUUUUGUUUGUGCCUUAUUUUAGUGUUUUUAGAAUUUAUGGUUGUAUCGUUUGUGUUGAUUUUACUUUAUUUAAACUUUUUUGCUAUUUAGUUUUACAUGACAACUUAAUAGAGUGGGUUUGAAAAACAAAAUUUGGAGAAAUAUUACUUUAAUAUUAAUAAUCUCCAUUUAAUUGAAAUCAAUAUAAAGUUAUUAGUUGAUACACAUACAAUUUCAAAAAAGAUAAAAAAAAUCACAAUUUGUGUAAAUUAAGAUUUAUUAAAUUCAAAGAAUAAUAAAGAUGUUGUAACUAAAUCUGCAUUAUAAUUAAAAUAAUUUGACGAAUCAUUGAAAAAUAUGAGAAUUUUAGGUUUAAGAAAAACAACACAAGGUUUUAUUUAAAAAUGAGAAGUUGCCGCCAAUCUUUUUUAUUAUGUGUGAUCAAACACCUAUAAAAUCAUCUUUUAAAAAGAAAAUUUUGAGUCUAUAAUAGAAAUCCAUAGAAAAAUGUUUUAGUUCAAGAGUUAGUUACGCAAAAAAUUAAGUUAUAUACUUUUACUAUAGUAAAAAAAAUUACAAUUCCACCAUUUUGAUAACCUAUGUCUUUAUAAGUUUUAAAAGAUUAAAUCAAAUUUAAUUUUAUCCUUUUCGAGAGGUCAAAAUGUAAUUUUACCAAUACUAAUUUAAAAUUUUAUAAAUUAUAAAGGGGCUAGAAGAAAAAUUUUCAAUUUUAGGGGGACUAGUACCCCGCCAACGCUAGCUUUGCCCUUAAACUCUUAUAUUUCAAUCAAUUUUAAUGAAAUCAUUUCCAACUUUGCACUCUAUUAUAUUUGAUGUCUCAAGAAUCUUAACUUUCAACAAAAUAAACUUUGUUGUGAACGCCAAAAGGGAAUUAAAAUAUGUGACGGAGCUUGGGUCUAAUGCUAAUGAUGAUGGUUCGUACAUUCCAGUGCGUGGUGGCACCACAUCUUGGUAUCCUGACUCUAGAACGAGUCAUCAUGUCUGUCGCGAUGUGUUAGCUUUACGUGAUGUCACGCUAUAUUCAGGUAUGUCAUCUCUUUUAAUGGGCGAUGGUACUCCUGCGGUAAUUUCAUCAAUUGGUAAUGCUAUUUUACCUACUCAGUCUAAGUUGUUACGAUUGUCAAAUGUUUUAUGUGUGCCGAGUAUACGGAAAAACCUCUGAUCUGUCUCACAAUUUGCUCAUGAUAAUGGUGUGUUCUUUGAGUUUCACCCUACCCAUUGUGUUAUUAAGGAUGUCGUGACCCGAAAGACAUUGUUGAAGGGUCGCAUUCAUGAUGGACUAUAUCAAUUUUCUAUGCCAGUGGUAUCUACUCCAUCUAAUGUUGUUUCAUUUGUUGCUCAUUCGAAUAAAGAUCCAGAUUGUUCUAUGUUUGCUUUAUGGCAUAAUCGUCUAGGCCAUCUGUCAGCUUCUGUGGUCAAAGCUAUUCUAAAUAAAUGUAAUAUUGUUUCAAGUAAAAAUUGUUUUGAUGGUAUAUGUAUUGCAUGUCAAAAAGGGAGGUCACAUAAGUUGCCUUUCUCACCUUCGACUACUAGCUAUCGUUAUUUUGAGUUGAUUGUUUCUGAUCUUUAGGGUCCCGAAUAUGUUGCAUGUGAUGAUAAGAGGUAUUACGUUUCGUUUAUUGACAUGUGUACUAGGUUUACCUGGGUUUAUCUUUUACGUCAAAAAGCUCAAGCAAUAGAAUGUUUUACUUAGUUUCAAAAAUUAAUUAAGAAACAGUUUAGCAAGUUUAUUAAGCAGUUUCAGAGCGAUUGAGGAGGAGAGUACCAUGGUUUUACGUCUGUUUUAGAGUCCCAGAGAAUUAUACAUCGGCUGACGUGUCCGUAUACUUCCGAACAAAAUGGAGUGGCUGAGCGUAAACAUCGCCACAUUGUUGAAGUGGGUAUUACAUUAUUGGCUCAAGUAAAAUUGCCUAUUUAAUACUGGGGAUAUGCGUUUUGUUGCACGGUUCAUCUUAUAAAUCGACUUCCUACUGUCAUUCUUCAGGGCCGUUCUUCGUUUAAGGCACUUUAUAGAAAUGAUCCGACCUAUGAUCAUCUUCGAGUUUUUGGUUGCUACUGUUUUCCUUACUUACGUCCGUUUGUAGGUCAUAAAUUGGAUUUUUGGUCUCAGCCGUCUACAUUUUUGGGUUACAAUCCUUGUCACAAGGGGUAUCAAUGUCUUUUUCCAGAUGGUAAGGUUAUUAUUUCAAGACAUGUGGUAUUUGAUGAGCAGAGAUUUUUGUUUGCUGAGUCUAGUUCCGACAAAUCUAUAUCGACGACCAGUCAGACUAGUAUGACUGUUGUUCCUCUUGUGUGGCCAGCUUCUUCUUCGUCUCUUGAGCCUUGCAUGAUGUCACCAUCUCUACAAGGGUUGCAGUCUCAGCCUAAUGCCCCUACAUUAGAUGUUGAGUUGGUGCAGUCUCAGUCUCAUGCUUCUUCGACUGCUGUUGGGUCUGGGUCGGGUGAUCUUCCAGCUGUUCAUGAGUCGUUUUCACCAGGUGAUCCCAAUGCUCAUUCUCGUUCUAUCUCAAGAAUGUCUGAAGGUGUUUCAUCGUCAUCUGACAGUCAGAUUAGUAGGCCACCUAUGGGUAAUACUCACCGAAUGGUCACUCGGGCUAAGGCCAGAGUUUUCAAGCCUAAGGCUGGAGUUUUCAAGCCUAAGGUUUUAAAUGUUGAAGCUGUCGAACCUUCUACAAUUGAAGAAGCUCUGGCUACUGCUGAGUGGUGCGCUGCUGCGCAAGAUGAGUAUGAUGCUCUUAUUCGUAAUUCCACAUGGGAGCUAGUUUCUGCUCCAUCUAAUCGUAAGAUCAUUGGGUGCAAAUGGUUGUUCAAAAUCAAAAGGAAUUCUGAUGGUACCAUUGCUCGACGUAAGGCUCGAUUAGUCGCAAAAGGCUACUCUCAGGUUCUGGGGUGUGAUUUUAAGGAAACUUUUGGUUUGGUGGUAAAACCAUCUACUAUCAGAGUUAUUUUGUCUAUUGCUGUGUCUAGGGGGUGGUCGCUUCGGCAAGUGGAUGUGAAUAAUGCAUUUUUAAAUGGAGAUCUUGAUACUGAAGUUUUCAUGCACCAACCUCCUGGUUAUGUUCAGUAUGGUUCAGAUGGCAGACCUCUAGUGUGUCGUUUGAAGAAAGCAUUGUAUGGUCUUCGUUAGGCUCCCCGUGCCUGGUUUGAGAAGCUGAAAGGAUUUCUAGUAUCUGUGGGGUUUGUGGUAUCAAAGUCUGAUGCUUCCUUAUUUGUUAGGGUCGAACCAGAUUCAACGCUAUAUGUUCUUGUGUACGUUGAUGAUAUUAUUGUUACUGGUGAUGUGCCUACUGUUAUAGAGUGGUUUGUUCAGUUGUUGAAUAACGAGUUUUCGCUUAAAGACAUGGGCGAUCUUCAUUACUUUCUUGGUAUAGAAGUUACUCGCUCUUCAUCAGGAUGUCUUCAUCUCUGUCAGAAGAAGUAUAUACGAGAUAUUCUUGUUCGGUGUUCGAUGGAAAAUGCGAAGAGUGUUCAUACACUGAUGGUUAGUUCUUCUGUCAUGACUAGAGAUGAUGGUGAGCAUUUAGAGGACCCGACUGAAUACAGGAGCCUUGCCGGAGCAUUACAGUAUGUUACUCUUACGAGGCCUGAUGUUGCAUAUGCUGUAAAUCGGAUAUGUCAGCUUAUGCAUUGUCCCACUUCUAUUCAUAUGAUUGCUCUGAAGCGCAUUUUGCAAUAUCUAGGUGGCAUGCUUGAUCUUGGGGUUGUGUUUCAUCCGUCCACUAGUUUGUUCUUAGUUGGGUAUGCUAAUGCAAACUAGGGGUUAGAUUUUGAUGACCAGAGAUCCACUACUGGGUACUGUGUUUAUUUCGGACAUACUCCCGUGUCUUGGUGUACGAAGAAAUAGCAAGUCGUUGCUCGGUCUACUGCUGAGGCAGAAUAUAGGAGUCUUGCUACAGUCACUAGUGAGGUUACAUGGCUAUUAUCGUUACUUCAAGAAUUACAUGUUCAAUCUACCGAUAUACCCAGUAUUUGGUGUGACAGUUCUGGUGCAGCUGCGGUUGCUGCUAAUCCUGUUCUACAUUCGAAGUUCAAGCACGUUGAAUUAGAUUUAUUUUUCGUUCGUGAAAAGGUUACUGAUGGUUCAGUAGCAGUUGGAGAGGUUCCUGCGUGUGAUCAAGUCGCUGAUGUUCUCACUAAGCCACUUUCACUAUCGAAUUUUACUCGUUUUCGGAGUUUCCUACGGGUUUUGCCUAUGGAAAAGAUGGAUGAAUAUUAGUAGUUUAGAAAGUUGUUAGUUAGUUUUGAAUCUGGUAAAAUGCUGUUGCUUAGUUUAGAGCAGUUACUCAAGUCUUUAUAUAUACUGUACCUCGUGUAUUCAGAAAUCAAGUAUUUUGGAAUAAAGGAAAGAAGUUUAUUCUCUCAAUCUCUGUUUUCUUUAGUUAAAUAUUUCUAUUUAAUUUGACUUUUUUUUAAAGGAUUGAUGGCUAAAUUCAACUUUUUUUAAAAGGUUGAAGGCUAAAUUUUAAGUCUUUUCGCUAUUAAAAAUAUAAAUUUAAUUAUUAAAUGACACGUUAAAUCUAAUUUUUUUAAAAUUUGUAACCAUUUUUUUAUGGAACUUUGAAUGUUCCAAGUUAAUUAAUUAAAUUUUGUUUGGUGUUAUUAAGAAGAAAACCUUGAAUAAAACAAGAAUGUAACCCAUCAUUAGUAGACAUGAAUUUCAAAAAACUUAGCCUUGAUUUAUGGUUUGAUUAUUCCACCUUUUUCGUAAAAAUUAAGGAUGGUUCAUUUAAUAUCAAAAAAUCAUAAAUUAUACAAAGUAAGAUUUAUUAAAUAUCAAAGAAUAAAUAUCAAAAUUUAGUGUGUAACAAUUUUCUCAGCUACCAAACCCUGUCUUGGAAUAAUAAAAAAACAUAGGGCAGCAUUGACUUCACCACAAAGAGCUGUAGAUCUCAUUUUCUUCCAUUCUUUUUCUUUAGUUCUCCUCCUUUGCAGUUUCCUUAAAACCAAAUUUCACCAUAGAAAACUCCUACUAUAUUGACCUGACUUCUAACACAAUAUAUUACUAUUACUUAAGUGUUCAAGUAUAUAUAGUUGUUAUUUGUAGGUGACUUGAAUCGAGGAUUUGCAAGCAAGUAACUAACUGGUAAGGCAUUUGGUAAAUUUCUGAAUUUGCAGUACUUUUUUCUUGAGAUUGGAAUGUUUCAAGCUAAUUAAUUCAAUUUUGUUUGGUGUUAUCCAGGAAGAAAUAGAUCAACAAAAAUGGGACCUGAGGAGCCUGAAGACAACAUCACUUACAUGGAUGCUUCGCUGUAUAAGGCAGCAGCAGAAGGCAACAUUGAAGUAUUCAAUAAUAAGCGGGGGCUUCAACUUGAGUCGCUAAAGACCCCAAACCAUGACAACCUGCUCCAUGUUAACUUGGCAACCCAGGAGAAUGCUGUCUGGCUUUUUGACAGUGUUCACUCAUUCUUCAAAUUAUUCCCCGUAGAAUAUGUAAUAUUCCAUCGGUAUUUGAGUAUUUUCAUUACUAUGAUAAAAAGAGAAAAGAGAUCAGAUUUUAUCGAACAAAUUCUCAGCAAGUGUCCGUCACUGCUACUCCAAACGAAUGCUAAAGGUCAAACUCCUUUGCACGUUGCAGCAAGGUAUGGACAUUCUGCUAUUGUGAAACUACUAAUCAAGUUUUGCGCAAAAGCUAGAGAUGGAGAUUUAGAGAAGCUGGGAAUGGAUCAAGUAAAUGCAGUGAGGGAGAUGCUGAGGAUUACGGAUCAGGAAUCCAACAUGGCUUUGCACGAAGCAGCACGUUGUGGCAAUGUUGAAGUGGCGAAAGCAUUGUUGGAGUUUGAAGACCCUGAUUUUCCGUAUUCUGCCAACAAAAAACAGGAGACUCCACUUUACAUAGCAGCUAGGAGGAGAGGAUCUGGGCGCUUGUUGACUCUAUUAUUAGAUAAAUUCAAAUCAACUGGUCAUGGCGGCCCCCACGGUAGAACAGCUUUGCAUGCAGCAGCUAUGGCUGGAGAUGCAGGUAUGUUGUUGAGUUAGUUCCUUUUUUAUAUUCAAAUUUUGAAAUAAAUAAAAAGGUCUAUUGACAUUUUUUUUUGCUUGGAUUUAGAGGCAGUAAGGGUAAUAUUAAAGAAGAAGGGGAAUUUGACAAAAGAAAGAGAUGAAGAUGGACACACCCCUCUUCAUUAUGCUGCACACUUUGGUCGUAGAUUCUCAGUUGUGAAAGAACUUUUAAAAUGGGAUGUAUCAGCUGCUUAUAUAGGUGAUAAAAAGAGGGGGAUGACACCCCUUCUUAUGGCCGCCAGGCAAGGUUACCUUGGAACAGUUUCAAAGAUUCUCUCUUUAUGUCCAGAUUGUUCUGAAAAAGUGGACAAGAAAGGUUUGAGUUUACUUCAUUAUCUGGCUUUUAGAGGCUCUUCCUCCCCAAUAGGGCGUUCAGUUUUCAAGUAUGUUUGUAGUGAGAUUGUAUAUGGAUCAUUCAGAAAUCUAAGAAAGUUGGAAGGUGCCUUUGGAAUGACACCUCAAGAAGUUUAUAAUGCACUUCGAUCUGAGAAACAUCAUCAUAAACAGGUGUGUGUAUAUAUAUGGGGCAUUUCCGUGGCUAUGGUUUUAUUAAUAUUUAAGUUGUGAAUUAACAUAUUUAAUAAACCUACAAUACAAUCGGCUAAUGUGGGUGGCAUGGCAGAAGCAAAUCAAAGAAUUGUUGGAAGAAAUUGAGAAUGAUCAAGUGGCGGAGGAACCAGUUUGUCGCUUUCCCAUACAAAAUGUUUCUACAGAAAGUUUGGAGAAGACAAGAGAGGCUCAUUUAAUAGUGGCAGCACUUAUAGCCACCGUCGCAUUCGCAGCGGCAAUAACUAUUCCAGGUGGCUUGCAGAGUGAAAAAGGGUCAGAGCAAGGCACUCCCCUUUUGAUUCAUGAGGCAGCGUUUAAAGCAUUUGUUGUGACAAAUGCAUUGGCCUUUAUUUUAUCUGUUUCUGCCCUCACCACCCACUUUGGGGUUUUGGAUAAUCUAUUAUCAGGAUUUAAAUUUUUUCGUCAAACAGUUUUAUAUCGAACUCAGUCUGUUUCUGGGAUCCUUGGCUAUGCAACGCUGGCAAUGGUGAUUGCUUUCAGCACAGGUAGUUAUGUGGUCUUAAAAUCUUCCCUCAGACUUGCCAUUGUUUCGUAUCUCAUCUGCCCUGCCUUUUUACUCUGUAUUUGGGGAAUUUUGAAUCCUUCAAUGCAUAUGUAAAAUAUAAAUAUGAUAAUAUUACUUUAUCAUUGAUUACAAUGCUGUUCCAAUUCCUAAUAAAAAAAUUAAAAAUUCUUUAUUAAAAAGAUAAUUUUGAGCCUACGAUAAAAAUUAAGAAGAAAGUGUUGCUUACAUGAAAUGAAAGGAAAGUUUUGGCACCUUCACGACACUCAAAAUUGACACUUUGUUAAAUAUGUUUUGUCUACAUUCAUAAAUUAAAAUUCAUAUCUAGGUACUUAAUUAUGAUCCAAAUUUUUGAUAAAUUAAAAACAAAUAUAUUAAAUGAGUGAAUCGGUAAUUUAAUAGCAAAACAAAAAUGAGGAGUAGCAUAUUCAAAAUUCAAGGGCCUUUCUUGAGGUUUUCCAUUUUAUAUUUUUUAUCAUAUAUAAAAGAUAAAAAAGUUAUAAAUUUUGAAGUAAAUAAGAAAACAUUUAGGACCAAAUCAAAUAUUAUCCCAAAGUUCAGAAACAUUCGACUUUAAAAAUUGUGAAAUUAAAUAGAAUAGAAAACAAUAACAUUUCGAAACUAAUAAAAUAUUAACAAAAAUUGGAUCCCAAUUCCACAAAUUAAAACAAGAAUGUAACCCAUCAUUAAUACACAUGAAUUUCAAGAAAACUUAGCUUUGAUUUAUGGUUUGAUUAUUCCACCUUUUACGUAAAAAUUAAGGAUGGUUCAUUAAAUAUCAAAAAAUCAUAAAUUAUAUAAAGUAAGAUUUAUUGGCAUAUUAAUAAAUUUAGCCUUCCAAUCUUUAUAAAUUCCAGUAAUUUGAUCCUAAUUUUAAAAAACAAAUUUGACCUUUAACUUUACACAUUAUGUUAAUUUAAUCUUGAUUCUUAAAAUUUAAAAAAAAUAAAAAAGUUAAAAAUGUAUCUAUAAAAUACAUAUACAAAAUUAUAAAAUACAUACAAAAAUAUAAAAAUAUUUAUAAAUAAAUGAAUACUAAUUUUUUUCUUCAAAGAAAAUCUAGGGUUUAGUCUGAAUGAGUCAAUAUUAACUAACAUGACCAAAUUUUAGUGUGUAACAGUUUUCUGAGCUACCAAACACUGUCUUAGAAUAAAAAGAGAACAUAUGGCAGCAUUAACUUGACCACGAAGAGCUGUAGACCCCAUCUUCUUCCAUUCCUUUCUUUAAUUCUUCUCCUUCUUUGCAGUUUCCUUAAAACCAAAUCUCACCAUAACACGGUUGACCGGUAAUAAUCUACUUAAUGGUGCACUGAUUGCAAUGGUGAUUGCUUUCAGCACAGCCAACUAUGUUGUGUUAAAACCUUCUCACGCACUUACCAUAGCAUCAUGUUUGGUCGGCCCUGCCUUUAUUUUCACUUCUUUACUUACCCUACUAACCCGCAAAUGGAUGUUAAUUCUUGUGUGGAUCUUGGCAUACUUUGUGAAUUUUUUUAUACCCCCCCCCCCAAAUGUAUGUUAAUUAUUAUGUGGAUCCGGUUAUACUUUGGGAAUAUUUUUAUACCAUUUUCAUUGGUUUAAACUUGGCUUUUAGACUGAAAUUGCUUUUGUUUGUGCCUUAUUUUAGUGUUUUUAGAAUUUAUGGUUGUAUUGUUUGUGUUGAUUUUACUUUAACUUUUUUGCUAUUUAGUUGUACAUUACAACUUAAUAGAGUGGGUUUGAAAACCAAAAUUUGGAGAAAUAUUACUUUAAUAUUAAUAAUCUCCAUUUAAUUGAAAUCAAUAUAAAGUUAUUAGUUGAUACACAUACAAUUUCAAAAAAGAUAAAAAAAAUCACAAUUUGUGUAAAUUAAGAUUUAUUAAAUUCAAAGAAUAAUAAAGAUGUUGUAACUAAAUCUGCAUUAUAAUUAAAACAGUUUGACGAAUCAUUGAAAAAUAUGAGAAUUUUAGGUUUAAGAAAAACACAAGGUUUUAUUUAAAAAUGAGAAGUUGCCACCAAUCUAUUUUAUUAGGUGUAAUCAAACACCUAUAAAAUCACAUUUUAAAAAGAAAAUUUUGAGUUUAUAAUAGAAAUCCAUAGAAAAAUAUUUCAGUUCAAGAGUUGGCUACGCAAAAAAUUAAGUUGUAUACUUUUAUGAUAGUAAAAAAAAUUACAAUUCCACCAUUUUGAUAACCUAUGUUUUUAUAAGUUUUAAAUGAUUAAAUCAAAUUUUUAUUCUUUUUGGGUGGCUAAAAUGUAAUUUUACCAAUACUAAUUUAAAAUUUUAUAAAUUAUAAAGGGGCUAGAAGAAAAAUUUUCAAUUUUAGGGAACGCUAGCUUCCCCCCUAAACUCUUAUAUUUCAAUCAUUUCGAACAUUGCACUCUAUUAUAUUUGAUGUCUCAAGAAUCUUAACUUUCAACAAAAUAAACUUUGUUGUGAACGCCAAAAGGGAAUUAAAAAAUGUGACGGAGCUUUCAACAAUUAUGGAAUGAUAUAGUUUUCGUUUGUUUUGAUCAACUUGUAGGUAAUUUCAAUGAAGCAUGUUGCCAGCUAAUUGACAAACAAGUUAAGCAUUUGAAUUUGUAAUAAAAAAUUUUCUCCAUUUUUGAAUGCUUUGAAGCUAAUUAAUUAAAUUUUGUUUGGUGUUAUUAAAAAAUGAUGAAUUUGAUAUAUAUACUGUCGAAACCAUUUUUUUGAAAACAAAAAUUAGUAGUCGACUUAAAAAUGAAAGUUGGAGUCGCCACCGAUAUUUUAUUGAGGUGUGAUCGGAUCACUUUGAAAACGAUUUUAGGUCUACGAAUUUUGAGAAAAUAGGUUCGGGAGUCGGUUACGCACGAGAAAGGGUUAGCACCCUCGUAACGCCCAAAAAUUGGUACCGAAUCGAUUGUUUAAUGUCUUAGUGUCGAAAAUUUGAAAAGAUUUUAAAAUACAAUCCUUUUGACUUGAAUAAAUUGAAUUGAAUAAUAGGACACUCUUAUUUCAAAGAAAUAAAAUGUCAUACCCAGUGAGUUAGGGCGCAAUAUUUUUAAUCUUCAAAAUUAAGUUUGUCUUUUGAAAAACCCAUGCAUUUUGAGAAGGAUAUUUGGUUAUUUGGGUCAAAGGAAAAAUCAAAACCCAGUAAGUUGGGGUUCAGUUUCUCAAAAUUCCUAAACACCAUAUAUUGCUUUUAUUUCAAAAAUCCUUAAUUCUAGGUGGCAAAAUGUCGGAUCCAGUGAGUUAGGAUUCAACAUUUUGAAAUCCCGAAAAAAAAAUUAUUUAAAAUUUGUAUGAUUUUAUUGCAAAAUAAGUACUUGCCUAUUUAAAUUCAUCAAAAAGAAUUGAAGUCCAAUGAGUUAGGACACAAUCCUCUCGAGUUAGUUCUAUUUUUAAAAAAAAAUUUGAAAUAAAUAAAGAACAGGUCUAUUGACAAUUUUUUUUUUUUUGCUUUGAUUUAGAGGCAAUAAGGAUAAUAUUAGAGAAGAAGGGGAAUUUGACAAAGGAAAGAGAUGAAGAUGGACACACCCCUUUUCAUAUUAUGCUACACACUUGGGUUAUAGAUUAUCAGUUGUGGAAGAACUGUUAAAAAGGGAUGUGUCAGUUGCCUAUAUAGGUGAUAAAAAGAGGGGGGAUGACACCCCUUCUUAUGGCAGCCCGCGAAGGUAAUGGUGGAACAAGUGCAAAGAUACUCUCUUUAUGUCCAGAUUGUUGCAAAAAAGUGGACAACAAAGGUUUGAAUUUACUUCAUUAUACGGCUUUUAAAGACUCUGUCUUUCCAUCAGGGAGUUCUGUUUUUAAGCGUGGUGGUGUUGAGAUUGUAUAUGGUUCAGUUAGAAAUCUAAUGGACUUGGAAGGUGCCUGUAAAAUCUAACGAUUUUGCAUUUCCAUGGCUAUGGUUUUAUUAAUAUUUAAGUUUUGAGUUAACAUUUUUAAUAAACCUACAAUACAAUCGGUUAAUAUGGGUGGCAUGACAGAAGCAAAUCAAAGAUUUGUUGGAAGAAAUUGAGAAUGAUCAAGUGGCACAGGAACCAGUUCGUCACUUUCACUUACCAAAUGUUUCUAUAGAAAGAUUGGAGGCUAUAAGAAAUACUCAUUUAAUAGUGGCAGCACUUAUAGCCACCGUCACCUUCGCAGCGGCAAUAACUGUUCCUGGUGGUUUGGAGAGUGAAAAAGGGUCUAAGCAAGGCACUCCCUUUUUGAUUCAUGAGGCAGCCUUUAAAACAUUUGUUGUAACAAACACAUUGGCCUUUAUUUUCUCUGUUUCUGCCUGUUGGGAUUUAGACAAUGAUAGAUGAAGGUUAACAGAAGCUUGAGCAACAAUGCUAUAUGUUUGCUGGUGAAAAUAAACAGAAUCGGGCUUGGGAGCAAAGAAAAUGAAAAACAAGAAAACAGAGAGUUUUGGAUGAAAUUUUCAAAAUGAUUUCAUUAACAUUGAAUGAAGGCACAAAGCCAAUACAUAUACCAGACAUUUAGCUGGUCAAAUCAAAACAAAUUGUCACCUAACAUUACCUACUAUCACUAAGUAACAUUGGAACUUACAAAAACAUUGCUUGCACACAUAGGUAUACUAAUUUAUCAAUUCAUCAAUAUCUAAUUACAUCAAAACAAUAUCAACUUAGUUCAAAUCUGACUAAAUUACAAAGCAAUAUUUAAGGUAACAAAACGGAAUGAAAUACAAUAGCAGUAAUGUGCUUCAGCAGCUGCAGGCAUACUUCAUGUGCUGUAAGUGCAGCUUGAUUUGCUUCUUCAUACUUCAUGUGCUGUAAAUGCGGUAUGCAGGCCAACUUCAACACUCCUCAUUGGCUUGCAUGCUGCAUACUCCCAUUUUGGCUCUCAAAUGCACGAACCUUGACACACUAAGAGGCUUUGUUAAGAUAUCAGCAAAUUGUUCCUUAGAAUUGCAAUUAAUCAGCUUCACUUCUUGAGCUUGCUCCAUCUCUCUAACAAAGUGAAAUUUGAUCUUGAAGUGUUUCAUUCUCUCAUGGAACACUGGAUUCUUUGCAAUUGUAACAGCAGAUUGGUUGUCAUAAUUGAUCUCUGCUGCUUCCCUUUGGUGCAGAUUCAAAUCAGCCAUGAUUUUUCUUAGCCAAAUGGCUUGAUUGACAGCAUUAGCAGGUGCUACAUAUUCUGCUUUAGCAGUUGAUUGAGCAACAACAUUUUGCUUCUUUGAAUUCCAACAAAAAAUGGCUGAUCCAAGAGUAAAAACAUACCCUAAGGUACUCUUCAUGUCAUCUAUCGAUCCAGUCCAAUCACUAUAAGCAUAACCAACCAAUUUCAUACUUUUAGCUUUGCUAAAUAGCAUUCCAUAGCUCAGUGUACCUUUGAUGUACCUAAGAACUCUUUUGGCAGCUUGAAAGUGCUUUUCAUUGCAGCAAUGCAUGAAUCUAGAUAGUAUGCUUACAGCAAACAUGAUGUCUGGUCUAGUGGCAGUAAGAUAUAGCAAACAACCUACCAAGCUCCUAUAGACAGAUUCACUAACCUACUCAAAGUCACAUUGGCUCGAUAGUUUCUCUCCAAUGGCAACUAGUGUGUUUGUUGCCUUGCAAUUUUGCAUGGAGAAUUUGUUCAGAAUCUUGGAGACAAAAGCCUUCUGACUUAGGAAGAUUCCAUGCUGUGUUUGAGUCGCUUCCAUACCAAAAGAAGUAAGACAUUUGCCCUAAAUCUGACAUCUCGAACAUCUGUUCCAUCUUGACUUUGAAAACUUUGAAAUCAGCUAGCAUUUCAUGAUCUCCUCCAGUUACUAGCAGGUCAUCAACAUAUAGGGACACUAUUAGUUGAGUUUUACUACCUUGCUUCUUCACAUACAAGGUAGGUUCACUGAUGCUUCUUUAAAAUCCAAGGCUAGCUAGGUAGCCAUCGAUCCUGCUAUACCAGGCUCUUGGUGCUUGUUUCAAACCAUACAAGGCUUUCUUCAGUUUGUACACCUUGUCCUCUUCACCUGCCACUUUAAAACCUUCAGAUUUCUCAACAUAGAUUUCUUCAUCAAGAAAACCAUUGAGGAGUGCUGAUUUUACAUCAAGUUGAUAAAUUUUCCACUGCAUUUGUGCUGCUAAGGCAACUAGCAGUCUUAUGGUGUCAAGCCUAGCUACUGGUGCAAAGGUCUCAAAGUAGUCAAUGCCGUACUUUUGGCUGAACCCUUUUACAACCAGCCUUGUUUUCAGUUUGUUCAAGCCUCCAUCAGCAUUUUUCUUGGCUCGAAACACGCAUUUCACCCCAAUGACCUUUCUAUUUGUUGGUCUCUCAACUAGCUGUCAGGUCUGAUUAUUUUCAAUCAUUCUGAUUUCAUCAGCCAUUGCCUGUUUCCAUCCUUUUUGAGCUUCAACUUCUUCGAAGCAACUUGGUUCAACUGCAGCCACUUGAGCUCUUUCAUAAAUCUCAGCCAAUGGUCUAAUGCCCCUGACUGAUUCAUCAUCAAUGUCUAUUUCAAGACCAUUCUGAUCAACUUCAGUCUGAUCUGUCAAUAAAUCUUCAGAGACUGCCUCUGGUUCAUUCUUUUCCCAAUUCCAACUUGAAUUCUCAUCAAAGACUACAUCUCUGCUCACAAGCACUUUGUUGCAUGAAGGAUCCAGGAUUCUGUAGCCUUUCUUUAUACUGCUAUAACCCACCAGGAUGCCAGGUUAGGAUGCAGUGGUUUUCUUAUGAUUGAACGCACAUUAAGUUUCAUAGUUCACUUCUAUUUUAUUUCCAUCUUUAUAGAUAAUCCACCAGGUUAAGAUGCAGACUCGGCAUACAGAGGACUCAACUCGGGUUUUAUAUAUUAAAAUAUUUUGGAUUUAUUAUUCAAAAUUUUUCGUUAUUCAAGAACUAGAAUAUCUUAUUUAAAUCAUGGCAUGAGACUUAAGUUUUUGUUUAAUUUAUCAUGUAUGACAUUUAACUUAAUUUAAUAUAUUAUUUUUAAUUAAUUAAGCAUGAAAUAUGAUUUUAAUAAAAUUAAGUCGAAAAUCAUUUUUCCAUUGCUAAAUUAUAAUUUAGUAUUGAGUUGUAAAUAAAUCGAAAUUUUUUUAACUAAUUUUCAAUCUCAUGUUUUAUACUGAAAAUAAGCUAAGUUUUCUAUAUUUUAAAUCGGUCAUUUUUUAAACUUUGAUCGCUACUAGGCCAUUUCGGUGGCCGAUGUAUUCUUUCAAAUUUGGAUCUAAUGUAUAGGCUUAGUUGAAGAGGUUACAACAAGAUGCAAGAUUAAUGUUGUUUUGUUUGAAGUUUAAAAUUAGUAAAACACAUAGCAAGGAUAACAUUAGUUGUUGGAGAUUAUGGUGUGCCAAAAUGUUGAAGUAGGGAAUUUGACAAAGGAAAGAGAUGAAGAACUGUUAAAGGGAUGGAGGGGGAUGUCACCUCAACAAGUUUAUGAUGCACUUCGAUAUGAGUCAUCACGAGAAUUAUCAGUGUGAAAAGGUGUGUGUAUUUUUAUGACCAAGGGCUAUGGUUUUUUUAAUAAUUGGGUUUUGAAUUAACAUAUAUAUAUAUAUAUAAACCUACAUUACAAUACAAUCGGCUAAUGUGGGUGGCAUGCCAUAAGCAAAUUGAAGAAUUGUUGAAAGAUAUUGCACUUGAAGAAGUAGCCAAGUUACCAUUUUUUCACAUUCCCUUAUUAACUGUCUCUGCAGAAAGCUUGGAGAAGACGAGAGAUAUUCAUUUAGUAGUGGCGGCACUUAUAGCCACUGUGGCAUUCGUAGCAACCAUAACUGUUCCAAGUGAUUUCAAGGGUGAAAAAAGGUCAGAGCGGGGAACUCCUUUUCUAAUUUACGAGGCAGCCUUUAAAGCAUUUGUUAUGCAUUGGCCUUUAUUCUCUUUGUUUUUGCCAUCUCCAUCCACUUUGGAAUUCUGGAUCCUCUUUUAUCAAAAAUAAAUUAUUGAGAUAUUAAUAUAAUUUUAUAUUAAACCCAGUUCAUGUCUAAUGUCCUUGGUGAUUGCUUUCGACACAUGUGGUUAUGUGAUUUUAAAACCUUCUCAUAGACUUGCAUAUUGUUUCAUCUGCCCUGCCUUUUUUGUUCAAUUCUUCUCCUUAUUUGCCAAGUAUUUUCUUUACAGUUUCCUUAAACCCAAAUUUCAUCGUAAAAAACUCCUCCUUUAUUGACCUGACCUCUAACCAGAGAUUUUCGUUUUGUUUAAAGUAAAAUUAUAAAGUUAAUAAAGCACAACGCAAGAAUAGUACUUAGGGCAGCAUUGCCUUGACCACGAAGAGCUGUACACCCCAUUUUCUUCCCUUCUUUUUCUUCAAUUCUUCUCCUUCUUUGCCAAGUGUUUUCUUUACAGUUUCCUUAAACCCAAAUUUCACCAUAAAACCUCCUACUUUAUUGACCUAACCUCUAACCCUAUAUAUUACUAUUACUAAAGUGUUCAAGUAUGAAUAUAGUUGUAGGUGACUUGAAUGGAGGAUAUGCAAGCAACAAACAAAUAGGUAUGGCAUUUGGUAAAUUUCUUAAUUUGCAGGUUUUUUUUCUUGAGUUUGGGAUGUUUCAAGAUAAUUAAUUAAAUUUUGUUUGGUGUUAUCCAGGUAGAAAUAGAUCAACAAAAAUGGGACCUCAGGAGCCUGAACAGAACAUCAGUCACAUGGAUGCUUCGCUCUAUAAGGCAGCAGCAGAAGGCAACAUUGAAGUAUUCAAUAAUAAGCAGGGACUUCAACUUGAGUCGCUAAAGACCCCAAACCAUAACAACGUCCUCCAUGUUAACUUGGCAACCCAGGAGACUGCCGCCUGGCUUUUAAACAGAUUUCACUCAUCCGAUCCGGUUAUGAGUUUUUUCAUUACUAUGAUAAAAAGAGAAAAAAGAUCAGAUUUUAUCGAACAAAUUCUCAGCAAGUGUCCGUCACUGCUACUCCAAACGAAUGCUAAAGGUCAAACUCCUUUACACGUUGCAGCAAGGAAUGGACAUUCUGCUAUUGUGAAACUUCUAAUCAAGUUUUGCGCAAAAGCUAGAGAUGGAGAUUUAGAGAAGCUGGGAAUGGAUCAAGUAAAUGCAGUGAGGGAGAUGCUGAGGAUUACGGAUCAGGAAUCCAACAUGGCUUUACACGAAGCAGCACGUUGUGGCAAUGUUGAAGUGGCGAAAGCAUUGUUGGAGUUUGAAGACCCUGAUUUUCCGUAUUCUGCCAACAAAAAACAGGAGACUCCACUUUACAUAGCAGCUAGGAGGAGAGGAUCUGGGCGCUUGUUGACUCUAUUAUUAGAUAAACUCAAAUCAACUGCUCAUGGCGGCCCCCACGGUAGAACAGCUUUGCAUGCAGCAGCUAUGGCUGGUGAUGCAGGUAUGUUGUUGAGUUAGUUCCAUUUUUUUUUUAAAAUUUUGAAAUAAAUAGAGAACAGGUCUAUUGAGUUUUUUUUUUGCUUGGAUUUAGAGGCAAUAAAGGUAAUAUUAAAUAAGAAGGGGAAUUUGACAAAGGAAAGAGAUGAAGAUGGACACACCCCUCUCCAUUAUGCUUCACACUUGGGUAAUAGAUUGUCAGUUGUGAAAGAACUGUUAAAAAGGGAUGUAACAGCUGCCUAUAUAGGUGAUAAAAAGAGGGGGAUGACACCCCUUCUUAUGGCAGCCAGGCAAGGCCAUAUUUUAACAGUUUCAAAGAUUCUCUCUUUAUGUCCAGAUUGUUGUGAAAAAGUGGACAACAAAAGUUUGAAUGUACUUCAUUAUCUGGCUUUUAGAGACUCUCCCUCUCCAUUUGGGAAUUCUGUUUUCAAGAGUGGUGAUAUUGAGAUUGUAUACGGAUCAGUCAAAACUCUAAUGGAGUUGGAAGGUGCCUUUGGAAUGACACCUCAAGAUGUUGAUAAUGCAGUUCGAUCUCAGAAACAUCAUCAUAAACAGGUAGUUGUGUGUACAUUUUACAUUUCUAUAGCUAUGGUUUUAUUAAUAUUUAAAAUUUUGAAUUAACAUAUUUAAUAAACCUAUAAUACAAUGGGCUAACGUGGUGCCAUGGCAGAAGCAAAUCAAAGAAUUGUUGGAAGAAAUUGAGAAUGAUCAAGUGGCGGAGGAACCAGUUCAUCACUUUACCGUACCAAAUAAUUCUAUAGAAAGUUUGGAGAAGACAGGAAAUGCUCAUUUAGUAGCUGCAGCUCUUAUAGCCACCGUCGCAUUUGCAGCAGCAAUAACUGUUCCUGGUGGUUUGGAGAGUGAAAAAGGGUCAAAUCGAGGCACUCCCAUUUUGAUUCAAGAGGCAGCCUUUAAAGCAUUUGUUGUAACAAAUGCAAUGGCCUUUAUUUUCUCUGUUUCUGCCCUCACCACCUACUUUGGGAUUCUGGAUCAUCUUUUUACACGAUCUAUUUUUUGGCGUGAAGCAAUAAUUUUAAAUCGAACUUGGUCUGUUUCUACGCUCCUUAGCUCUGCAACGCUUGCGAUGGUGAUUGCUUUCAGCACGGGUAGUUAUGUGGUCUUAAAACCUUCCCACGAACUUGCCAUUGUUUCAUAUCUCAUAUGCCCUGCCUUUUUACUUUGUAUGUGGGCAGCUUUGUUUGUAAUUUUGACUCGUUCAAUACAUAUUUAAAAUAUAAAUAUGAUAAUAUUACUUUAUGGAUUAUUACAAUGUUGUUUCAAUUAUUAUAAAUUCAAAAAUAUUUUAUUUUCUUUUAAUAGUUUUUCAAAUAUUAAAUAUAUAAUGCAAAAAUAUAUAUAUUUUGUUUCUCAUGAAAAAUAGAUAUCAAUCAUGCAUUUCAAGUUUUCAUUAUUGAAAACAAAAUUUUAUUUCUAGUUAUCAAAUUUGAUUUUAAAUUUUCAAAAAAUAGAAAAUAAAAAUAUUUUCAGAAACCUAACGAAGCUUAACUUUUUUUUUUUUGGGUUAGUAUACCAUUUGGUAUUUGAGUUAAUUUCAAUGUUCAAUUUGAUACUUAAGUUCGACUUCAAUAUUUAAUUUGAUAUCUAAACCAAACGAUUUCAUAAGGCCUAAUAAAUAUUUGACAGGUCUACUCUAAUAAACAAGCAUGGGUAUUCUAAUUGAGACAAAAGAAAAAAAAAAGAAAAAGAAGCUCAAGUAUUAAAUUGAACUUUUUUAAAGUUAAACUCGGAUACUUAACUAUGACAAAAAGAAACUCAAGUAUCAACGUGAAAAAAAAUUAAGUACAAAAUCGAACAUUCAAACCAAAUUCAUAUACAAAAUUAUAAAAAAUAAUCUUUUAAUAUUAAAUUAAAAUUUGAAGUGAAAUUCAAGUAUCAAAUAAUAUAUUAACUCUUCUUUUUUUUUUUGUUAAAUCCUCACCUUGAAAAAAAGCUAAGGUUAUUUGUUUUACAUUUACAACUUAAAAUUUUCAUAUAAAUAGAUUCUGUAUUUAUAAAAAUCUAUUUUUAUUAAAGGUUAAAUAAGAUUUAAGUGGUGUGUUGUUUUAAAGUUCACAAAUUUUUAUUUAAAAUAAUUACAUAAAAAUAAAAAACUCAAAAUUUCACACUAACAAUAUAAAGUUAAAAAAUCACACAUAAAAAAUAGCAUUGCUAAAGAUUCUGCUUUACUAAAUUGUUUAAGUAAGGAAUUAUACAUGCCAUGGUGCUUUCUUUGUAGCAAUGAUCUCUUUGGAUGGAUGAUGCGUUUAUUUACGGUUAGUGUAAAAAUAACGAUAUAAUACUCCAAACCCGGUCUAGAUGUUAUGGCCGAAUAUGGAGGACUUACAUUAGUUUGUUUUAAAACUCUUGAUUUAAUCAAACUUAGUUGUGCGUUUCAAAAACAAAAAACUUGGUGGAACUCUCACAAACGUUCAGAAAAACUUAAGUCCGAAAACACUUAUUUCAAACUCAGAAAUUUAGUUCAAUUUCAUUUGUUUCAAAAGCACCAAUUUUGGAUAAAUCGUUUCCGGUUAAUGCCAAAAUUUGUUAAAAACUAUUUAUUUAUUUACAGAAAAACACUUAAGAGUAAUUUAAUUUGCAGUGGAAAAUUUUUCAAAAUAAUUUUAGCUUUGAAAACCCUAAUCUAAUUUGCUAACCCAUGUGAUUUUAUAGUUUUAAGAUAAAAAAUAUCAAAAAAAUCAACGAACGAAACGAAAACCAAAACACAACUGAAAAAUAGAUUACAGUCCCAAAAUUAAUUAAAACAUAAACCAACAUAUUUCAUUUAACGACUGGUAACCAAUCCAAGCUCCCGCACGCCGUCCGGUUCUAAGUCUGAAGUUUACCUAAAACAUAUUAAACAAACAAGUGAGUUAGAAGCCUAGUGUGUGACCUGACCCACAAACAGAGUUUUCUUAUAAGUUUUGCAUAAACAAUAAUCACAUUGAAAUAUCGUAUCGUAUUACAUAUUAAAGCAUGUCAUGUAAUGUAUCGGAAAUUAUCACAUAUCAUAUUUGAAUGUCAUAAUUUUAAAAACAUAUAUCAGAACAAAAUUUCAUAAUAAACACAUUCUCUUAUACAAAAUUAAUUAUAUGUGUGUUCAGAUUCAAAUAUAAAUACAGACACAAAUCCUACCUCCAUUCGCAACACACCAAAUAGGACUACAAGAGUUCAUCCAUCCAAUCACACCAAUAUGUGGCGGUGUGCCACUCAUAAAUAUGUAGCUAAGCUUCUAUAUAGAAAUUUGCAAUCUAGUCGCCAUAUAUUUGCAAUAAAAACUGCCAUAUAACACUUCUUCUAUUAUAUCAUAACCCACCUCAAUGCAUAUGCAAAAUCACGUUAACAUUCAUACAUAUAUCAUAGAUUGUAUGGCAUGCAUGCAUAAAUAGAUAUUAUACAAAGCAUAAUGCAACACAUAACUUAUACAGAUCAUAACAUAUUGAGAUUAUGCUCCACACAAAGGUUGCAAUUUUUUCGUGGAAGAACUGUUAAAAAGAGCUGUAUCAGCUGCCUAUAUAAGUGACAAAAAGAGGGGGAUGACACCCCUUGAUUAAGUGCUAAAGUUACAUAUUUUAUGUAAUUGAAUUGGUUAAUUUAUGAGAGUGCACCGCUAAUUUUUCCAUGUUUACAUUAAAUUUUGUGCAGAGAUGCAAUUUGGGGCUAAAUAGAAGAAAAAUGAAACAAUUGGGCUAAAUUGAAGAAAGAAGCAAAGAAGGAGGGCCAAAGCAAAAUUUUCCCAAUAUUAAUUAGCUGAAAUUUUUGUUGACUUAGUGGGAGAUUAUUUUGGGAUUUUAUUUUAUAUCAUGGAAUAUUUUUCCAAGGCCACUAGUAUAAAUAGAGGCUACUUUGUUCAUUUUAUUCAUCAAUCAAUCAAUCAAAAUAUUAAGCUUUCAUCUUUCAAUACAUUUUCUCUCUUCCUGUCACGAAUUCAUUUGCUGCUUUUAGUUUCUUUUCCUUCAAUUUAUUAAUUCCUAGUAGCCACCAACUUAAGCCAUUUGCAAUCCCUUUUUCAAAUUCCCUUUUUAUUUUCAGUAGCCAACCACCCAUUUACCUUAUUUAAUUUAUCCAAUAGUCAACAUGCCCCAAACCAUAGUUAACUAAACCCAUUUUCAGCUUUAGGUCGGAAUUAACCUCGUCAAAACCCGUGAGUUACGAACCCGAGCAAUUUAACUCUUAAAUUCCAGUACUUAUUAUUUCUCCGGAUUAAGAGUAUGAUUUUUUCAACUCACAAAGUCAAACCAACAUUAAGUCAAAAAAGACGUCGUUUGAUUUAGUGUGGUUAGACGUACAGUUGAAAUUCCGAAAGGAACGUUUCUAAUCGGUUUUCUGUGAACACAUUGGCGUGCCAAGUAGAGAUUGCUGUUUGGUUCCGUCAAGGGAAGUAGUAACCAGAUUUAAAUGUCCCACGCGGUUGAGGGCAUUGGUUCGAGCUAGGCUCUUCUAGAACGCAAAGCUGCCGGAGUUCUAAAUUACGAACGUUUCGUGGUUGUUCGAUCGAUAAGGGUUAGUUAUUGGACGUUCCAUAACUAAUUUAUAGAAGGAAGAGUUGGUGUCCGAGGCAUCCUUGGUAGCUAUAACUAGCUUAUUGGAAAAGAGGAGUUCAUCUAAUUUCGAGGAUCGGUUCAAAGACGAGGAAAAAUCCGUGCCUAAAGCUGAGCUUUUUUUAAUUAAUUCCCCUUCAGAUUUUAUUUAACUAUUUUUAUUAUUUUGUCUUCAAGUUUUACUUUUUACGUUUUUUUUAUUUAUUUAUUUCAAGUUUCAGAUUUUAUCCUCCCGAAUUUCUUGGGCACGACAACUGCCCCGACAAAAAUCUGGUCAAGAGAAGAACAAUUUGCAGUAAACUCAGUCUCUGAGGGAUCGACCCUACUCCCUAGACUACUUAAAAUGCAAAUUAGGCAUAUGUUUAUAUUGGUGGAUUUGACACCCAUCACUCCUUCUUAUGGCUGCCAAGCAAGGUUAUCUUUUAACAGUUUCAAAGAUUCUCUCUUUAUGUCCAGAUUGUUGUGAAAAAGUCGACAACAAAGGUUUGAAUUUACUUCAUUAUCUGGCUUUUAGAGGCUCUUCCUCUCCAUUAGAGUGUCAUCUUUUCAAGCUUGGUGGUAUUGGGAUUGCAUAUGGAUCGGUCAGAAAUUUAAUGGAGUUGGAAGGUGCCUUUGGAAUGACACCUCAAGAAGUUUAUAAUGCACUUCAAUAUGAGAAACAUCAUCAUAAACAGGUUUAUAAUCAAUGAUUUUUUAUAUCUCAUCCGCACUUCAUUUUGGUGGCCUCCUCCACAUGGAUGGUUAAAGUUUAAUGUGUGUGGGAUUGCUAAAGAAGAUAGAGCAGGUUGUGGAGGUGUCUUGAGAGAUAAGGAGGGUGUCGCAAGAGCAUUAUUUUCUGGUUCAGUAGCAGCAAAUGAUGCCAAUGUGGCUGAGAUUGGUGCAGUGAAGAUUGCUCUGUAAGUAUUUUUUUAGUUAUGAACUGGAAGAUUAAUGAUUCUUUAUUUAUUGAACUUGGUUCAUUGGUGGUGUUUUCUUGGUGUGCUAACAAGGUAAUGAGACCAUGGUCUCUUCAAGCAAUUUUUGCAGGUAUUGAAAAUGACAUGUUAAAGGCUGGAAAUGUUGUAUUCUCAUUGGCGGAUAAGAAAGGUAACGAGAUGGCAUCUUCCUUGGCGAUUGCAGGUUAUAAUCGGGUGAAAAUGUUUAAAGCUUGGUGAUGAAUUUUUGUUUUGUUGCAUUCAUAGGUUUAUUAGAGUUGGAAUGCGUUUUAAUUUUGAUUGCUGUAAUACUGAAAUUUUUGUUGUUGUUCUGUUCGUCUUUGACAACAGUACAGCUGGAAUGAAGAAAAAAAAAAAAAAAAGAAAAACGAAUGUUACCUCUUUGAAUAAGCAUUACUUUGAUUUUCAGUUAUAAUUAAAAAUUAGUUUGACAAAUCAUUUAAAAAUAUAAGAAUAAGAUUAAGAAAAAUACAAAGUUUUAUUUAAAAGUGGGAAGUCGUCCUCAACUUUUUUAGUUAGCUUUAAAAAGAUAAAAUUGAGUUUAUAAUAUAAAUUCAAAGAAAAAUGUUUAGGUUAGAGAAUUCGUUAGCACCCUUGUGACGCCAAAAAUUGGGCACCUUAUUAAAUAUGUGUUGUCUACAUUCGUAAAUUAAAACUCAUAUCUUGGUUUUGAUUAUGAUCCAAUUUUUUGAUAAAUUAAAAAUAAAUAUUAAAUGAGUGAAUCAAUUUUUUAAUAGCAAAACAAAGAUAAUGAUCAAGUUGUAGCAUUUUCAAAAUUCAGGGGCCUUUUUUGAGAUUUUCCAUUUAUUUUUCAUCAUGUUUAAAAGAGAAGUUAUAAAUUUUGAAGUCAGUAGCCCAAUAUUUAUUAAACAUUAAUUGCGCCCAAAUCAAAUAUUAGCUCAAAGUUCAGAAACAUUCGAAUUUUAAAAUUGUGAAAUUACAUUUAAUAGAAAGCAAUAACAUUUCAAAAACUAAUAAAUAUCAACAAAAUAAAAUUUGAUAUUAUCAUGUAAGCUGCUAUUUUCAAGAAUUUAAUGUUUUAGUCAAUGUUUUCGUUAAAAAAAAUCAAUUUGAUUCCUUUUGAAAGGUUUAUGAACUAAAUUCGACUCUUUUUUGAAAAGAUUUAGGACCAAAUUUAGCUCAAGAAAAGAAUAAGGGUUAAAUUUAGCUCAAAAAAAGAAUAAGGGCUAAAUUGAUAAAAAUAAAUUAUACAUAAAUACUAAGGGCUAAUUUUUUUUAUUAUGCCUACUAAGGGCUAAUUUUGUUAUUAUGCCUAAUGAAAAUUAAGAACUCAAUUUAAGUACUUAUAAAAUCUAUUUGAUAUAUUUCUUAAAAUACAGAACAUUAUUAGAUUGUUUGAUAAAUGUAAUUCUUAAAUUUUAAAAGUAAAGUAUUUAAAAUUUAAUGUUAAAAGAAAUAAAAUACAAAAGAAAAUCUAUCAAUAGUCUAUUAUUUACUUAUCAUUUUUCAUAUUUUUUUCGUUGAAAAAUUCUGUACUUUGAUUUGUCACUCAUUAUCAAUGGCUCUACUUUCUCCAAAUUUGUCUAAAAAUGGGUUUAAAAAUUUGUCUAAGCCUUACUUGAAAGAAAAUUGUUAAGCCUGAGCCCGGCCCAUAUUAAAUUUUACAACAUCAAAAAAGGUAUAUAUUUAAUAUAUAUAUAUUUGAUUAAAAGUAUAUUUGAUUAAAAAUAAAAAAAUAUUUAAUAUAUAAUUUGGGUCGGGCCGGGCUCGGGUCAAAAAAAGUUUUACAAGAACCCCGCCCGUUUUCUAAACGGACCUCAUUUUUUUGCCCAAACUCAUAUUUCAGGCCUAUAUUUUUACCCGAACUCUCCCAUUUUUCGAGCAGGCCGUCGGGCCGGGAUGGACCACUCAACCCAUGAUCACCUCUACAUACAGGGCGACGAAAUUUAUUUUUUGAGAGGGUGGAAAUUAAGUUGAAAUUAAGUUGUAUACUUUUAUGAUAGUAAAAAAAUGUAAUUCCAUCCUUUUAAUAGUUUAAAUUUUUAUAAUAUUUAAAAGAUUAAAUUAAGUAUUUAUAAUUUUUAGAAGGUCAAAAUGUAAUUUUAUCAUUAUUAAUUUAAAAUUUUAUAAAUUAUAGAUAGGUUAAAAAGAGAGACCUAUCGUACCCUUGGCUGCACCCCUAAACCCAUAGGUUUUCAUCCAACUUUGAAAGUCCUUUCAAGCUUUCCAAUCUAUUAUAUUUGAUGUCUCAACGAUCCUAACUCUCGACCAAAUAAUCAUUUCCACUAUUUUUAAGCUAAUAUACUUAGGAUUGAGGUAGAAUAAGGACAUAGUGAAUUCCAAAAGUAAAUUAAUUUUUAAAGGGAUUUAAGCCUAAUUCAUUUUGUGUCAAGUCUACAGUAUUAUUAGUUCAUAUUAACACAUCUCUCUCUUUACUUGAAAGUUAAUCCUAUUCCGGCAAUCAAGAUAAAUUAUCUCUCCUUAUUAGAUUUUAGACAACAUAAUAAUUUUUAUAUAAAUUUCUCUCUCUUCGUAAUUCUAUAGAUUAUAAGUCAUGUAUUUAGAUUACCGACUAAUGAAAGUUGUAUUUUGCAUACAAAACUAAAUUUGUGAUGCAACUUCGAAUUAAUUUAACAGAGGAAAAGAAGAGGAGUGCGGCAGCCAUGCAGCAACGACCAAAGCCAAAGAGAAGGCGGCUUCCACACAAUUUCUUGACUUUUCUUGUGUUUCUCGUCCAUACAAUUAUUUUAUAUUCUAGUAGCACAUUUUCAUUUUGUUUCCCUUGUAAAUAUUUAAAAAUAUAUAAAUCUAAUUAUUUACAUGUUUGAUAAAUAAAUUGUUUGUAUAAAAAAAGUGAAUUUUAAAAUUAAAAUUCGUUUAUAUAAUUAAACAAAUUAAAAUUUAUGUCCAUAUUACAAAUUAAAUUAAAAUUAAUACAUGAUUUUGAUAUUUAUUUCUUUGCAUUUUCGAGAAAAUGUAUUGACUUCACCAAAAAGAGCUGGAGAGCUCAUUUUCUUCCAUUCUUCUCCUUCUUUGCAGUUUCCUUAAACCCAAAUUUCACCAUCAAAAACUCCUACUUUAUUGACCUCACUUCUAACCCUAUAUCACUAUUACUAUUACUAUUACUAAAGUGUUCAACUAUAUAUAGUUGUCAUUUGUAGUUGACUUGAAUGCAGGAUUUGCAACUAACUGGUAUGGCAUUUGGUAAAUUUCUGAUUUUGCAGCACUUUUUUCUUGAGCUUCGAAUGUUUCAAGCUAAUUAAUUCAAUUUUGUUUGGUGUUAUCCAGGAAGAAAUAGAUCAACAAAAAUGGGACCUGAAGAGCCUGAACAGAACAUCACUCACAUGGAUGCUUCGCUGUAUAAGGCAGCAGUAGAAGGCAACAUUGAAGAAUUCAAUAAUAAGCACGGGCUUCAGCUUGAGUCGCUAAAGACCCCAAACCAUGACAACGUGCUCCAUCUUAACUUGGCAACCCAGGAGAAUGCUACCUUGCUUUUUAACAUAUUUCUCUCAAUAAUCAAAUUCUUCCCCUUACUAUAUGGAUGCUUCUCUCCGCCUAUGCGUGAUUUAAUUACUAUUAUAAGAGGAGAAAGAAGAUCGGAUUUUAUCGAACAAAUUCUCAGCAAGUGUCCGUCAAUGCUACUCCAAACGAAUGCUAAAGGCCAAACUCCUUUGCACGUUGCAGCAAGGUAUGGACAUUCUGCUAUUGUGAAACUUCUAAUCAAGUCUUGUGCAAAAGCUAGAGAUGGAGAUUUAGAGAAGCUGGGAAUGGAUCAAGUAAAUGCAGUGAGGUGGAUGCUGAGGAUUACGGAUCAGGAAUCCAACACGGCUUUACAUGAAGCAGCACGAUGUGGCAAUGUUGAAGUGGUAAAAGCAUUGUUGGAGUUUGAAGACCCUGAUUUUCCGUAUUCUGCCAAUAAAAAACAGGAGACUCCACUUUACAUAGCUGCUAGGAGAGGAGACGGAGGCAUGCUGAGUAUACUAUUAGAUAAAUUGAAAUCAGCAGCUCUUGGCGGCCCCCACGGUAGAACAGUUUUGCAUGCAGCAGCUAUGGCUAGAGAUGCAGGUAUGUCGUUGAGUUAGUUCCAUUUUUGUUUUAAUUUGAAAUAAAUAAAGAACAGGUCUAUUGACAUUUUUUUUGCUUGGAUUUAGAGGCAAUAAGGAUAAUAUUAGAGAAGAAGGGGAAUUUGACAAAGGAAAGAGAUGAAGAUGGGCACACCCCUCUUCAUUAUGCUGCACACUUGGGUUCUAGAUUCUCAGUUGUGGAAGAACUGUUAAAAUGGGAUAUAUCAGCUGCCUAUAUAGGUGAUAAAAAGAGGGGGAUGACACCCCUUCUUAUGGCAGCCAGGCAAGGCUAUCUUGGAACAUGUUCAAAGAUUCUCUCUUUAUGUCCAGAUUGUUGCGAAAAAGUGGACAACUAUGGUUUGAAUUUACUUCAUUAUGCGGCUUUUAGAGACUCUGUCUUUCGAUUUGGGAGUUCUGUUUUUAAGCGUGGUGGUGCUGAGAUUGUAUAUGGAUCAGUUAGAAAUCUAAUGGAGUUGGAAGGUGCCUUUGGAGUCACACCUCAAGAAGUUUAUAAUACAGUUCGAUCUAUGAAACAACAUCAUAAACAGGUGUGUGUGUAUAUAUAUUGCAUUUCCAUGGCUAUGGUUUUAUUAAUAUUUAAGUUUUGAAUUAACAUAUUUAAUAAACCUACAAUACACUCGGUUAAUGUGGGUGGCAUGACAGAAGCAAAUCAAAGAAUUGUUGGAAGAAUUGGAGAACGAUCAAGUGGCAGAGGAACCCGUUUGUAAGUUUCGCUUACCAAAUGUUUCUACAAAAAGAUUGGCGGCUAUAAGAAAUACUCAUUUAAUAGUGGCAGCACUUAUAGCCACCGUCACCUUCGCAGCGGCAAUAACUGUUCCUGGUGGUUUGGAGAGUGAAAAAGGGUCAAAGGAAGGCACUCCCUUUUUGAUUCAUGAGGCAGCCUUUAAAGUAUUUGUUGUAACAAACGCAUUGGCCUUUAUUUAUUCUGUUUCUGCCCUCUGCAUCUACUUUGGGGUUCUGGAUAAUCUAUUAUCAAGAUUUAAUUUUUGGCGUGAAACAAUUUUACAUCGAACUAAAGCUGUUUCUGGGCUUCUUGGCUAUGCAACAAUCGCGAUGAUGAUUGCUUUCAGCACAGGCAGUUAUGUGGUCUUAAAACCUUCCCACGGACUUGCCAUUGUUUCAUAUCUCAUAUGCCCUGCCUUCUUUUUCAUUCUGCAUUGGACUAUUUUUGAUUACUAUAUUAAGAGGAUAUUAUUUUAUCGUUGAUUACAAUAUGUUUCCAAUUCCUAAUGUCAAUGUUACCUCUUUGAAGAAAUAUUACUUUAAUAUUAAUAAUCUCCAUUUAAUUGAAAUCAAUAUAAAAUUAUUAGAUACACAUACAAUUUCAAAUAAAGUAAAAUUUAUUAAAUAUCAAAGAAUAAUAAAGAUGUGGCAAUUAACUCUCGGUUAUAAUUAAAAAUUAGUUACAUUAUAAUAAAGACAAUGAGAUUAAAAAAAAAUUCAAAGUUUUUGUGCAUUAGACUUUCAACAUUGUAACUUUAGCAUUUCGACUAUAACUUAAACUACGAAUCUCUAUUUUGAGCCCAUAAUAUAGUAAACUACUUCACAAAUCAAGCACCAAAACCUCAAGAAUGCAUCCAAAAAUAGCCUGGAAGUUUGACGUGAAAGUUGCUAAGAAAUCUUGAAACAAUCUGCUUUAUGUAAAUAGGUAAAUUUUUGCAUUUUCUAUAUUAUAUUAUCUUUGCCUUAUAAACAUACAUUAUUAGAUUAAAACUUGAGGAGAGACCCAGACAUAGUCACCUUAGCUUUAUUUUGUUUUUGCGUUUUAUUUUCUUUAUGAUUUUUUUUAAUUUUUUUUCUAGUUUAAGGUCAAUCAAAGUUUGAUUCAAUUAAUUUGUGAGACAUGAUUUGCACUUUAAUUCUUUUUUGUUCUUUGGUAUUCAUGCAUCUUCUAUUAUAAUUACAAUUGCUCAGGUUUGUUAGUAUUGAGUCAUCAACUAGAACUAAUUUAUUAAAAACAUUGAAGAUAUCAUUACAUCGAUGAUCGAACUUAAAAAAAUCAAUUGUAGAUUUUACCUUUGGGUAAAAUUACUUUCUUUGGUUCAGUUUUUAAUUUGAAUUUAGUUUUUUAUUUUAUAAAACCCUUUUUUUUUAUUUACCUUAGUGGUUCUUACUUAAGGAAUAUAAUUAUCACUAAUAUCUAUAUAUGUGGGUAUAAUUUUGCUUGUUGUUUUCUAUUAGUUUAUAUGUUUAAAUUAAUUUCAAUUUUAUAGGUCUCGAUAGUCUAACAACUCUCUUGGAUCUUCCUUGUUGAGCAUUUUUGAACUUCUUAAACCUUUGGCUUCAUUUUGAUCUGUAUUUAAAAACUUUGUUUAAGUUUCGAGAUAAAAGGGUUAUCUACUCUUGCAACUCUUCUAUAGUAGUGUUAUGAUUAGUGGACAUUACUUCUGUCACUUGUAAGGAAACACCCUUUUUUCCUCCGCUUCAAUUUUCUUUUUAUUUCAUCUAGAUUGAUCUCAUAGGUUUGUAGAAAUCCAAUUAACCCAUCAAUUCACAUAUUAUCAAUAUCUUUGGCUUCUCCAAUGAUUGUGACUUUGAUGUUGAAUUUCUUUAGAAAAGAUCAAAUCACACAAUUUGGAAUAGAACUUGUCAAUUGUUUCAUUAUCCUCCAUUUUUAGAGUUUUAAACCUUGUUAUGAGCAUUUGUAAUUUAGAUUGCUUCACAAUCUCUAUAACACCCCUAAACCCCGCCUGAACGUUAUGGCCGAAUCUGAAAUGUUACGAAGAAGAGUUUUGAAACCGAUCUUUACAUGAAAAAAACAACUCGUAUGGUAUGUUACUAGAAAAGAGUCCUUAUUUUAUAAAACAUAUCCAUUUAACAUUUUCUUUACUAAAACCAUCGAUAUUUUGUUCUUUAAGAAAAACUUAAUUUGCUGCAGAAAUCUUAAGUGUCAUUAUAUGUCGAAAACCAAGUUUGUGUUUCCCAAAAUGUUUGUUUGUGUAAAACCGUUAUUUAAAAAAAAGCGUCUGUUGUACAUUGCAGAAAACAUAAUCAAACCAAAAACAACAUCAAAAACCAAAAGAAAUCAAAAAGGACGGAGAGUCCCAAAAUUACAAAACUCUCAACAAAAACCAAAAAUUAAAAUAAAACCAAUAAUUAAAGGAUAGUUUCCAUACUAGUGGUCAUCGCUGAGCCUCCGUCGCACCGACCCACCUAUGUCUGAAGAUUACUUGAAUAAAGUAGACAAACAGAUGUGAGUUUUCAAAAACUCAAUGUGUAACUUAACAGAGACAUGCAUACACAUAAACUCAGAUUUCUCAUGUAAUAGAUCAGAUACAGGCAUAAGUCCUUAACAGAAUCAUAUAAUAUCAUAAUCGGAUUAUCAGAAACAUACAGAUAUGCAAAGUCCUACCCCCAUCCUCUACACACCAUCUCCGACCAUCCUAACACACCAUGUGGGGUAUAAAACACCCACCCAUCCCUACACACCACAUAAUGUCUUUAUAACACUUAUCAAGAAUAGUUUGCAGUCAAGCUGCCAGUAUAUCAGCAACAUGUUGCCUCACAGAACACUUCCUCCACAUAUACAAAUCCCACCCCAUACACAGAUAUAGAUAACAGAUAACAAAUAUAACAGAACUAACAUGUCCGGCAUCCUCAUAUACAAAUAUCAUACAUGUUAUUAUGAAAUAGUCAAAUCAUACAUAUCAACUUCUAAUUACUCAGAUUAGUCUAUCAAAAUAGCAGAUAUCAUGCAUUAGGGUUUGUUUUGCCCUUACUGACCCUAUGAAAGGCCCACAGUUGAUCGGGACGACGUGUGCGACCCUAAGGAAAAUUUUAGAAAUUUGGGCCCACACGCCCGAAACAGCCGGUCACACUGCCACACAUACUCCCGUCACACGGUUGUGUGGCAUCAACAGGCCACUUUUUCAACUUUCAUCGAACCUCGAUUUCUCGUGAUUUCAUUACACACCUGGUUCAAUUUUUAUGUGAAACAAUCUCGAGACCACCAAAACCUAAAAAUUGACAAUACAAGCCCUAAAAUCAGUCCUUAAUCCUCAAUUAAACCAAAACAAAAAAAUAAACUACAGUGAAACUCAAGUAUUUGCCACUUACCCAACUUCCCGAACAAUCCCGAUUAUGUUUCCGUAGGAAGAGAGUUUCGUUCCUCACGAUUCACUGCUACCAAUAAUCCACAAAUUAAUACUAACGAAAGACAACAUCGACUUAGAUCAACUUUAACAAUCGCCAGUAACCCGUGUAAAAUCUCACUACCUCUACUUACCUAGUCGCACGAAGAGAUUCAAAUUUCGAAGCAUCACAAUUUGAAUGGAGAAUCAUGACAAAAACUAAAAGAAAAGAAAGAGAAAGUUUUUGACAGAGGGAGAACAGAAGAAAGUUAGAAAAAGGAGAAUUUUUGGGAAAAAUAAAAUAAAAUCAAAAUAAAUCAAAAUUUAACACAUAUCUUAACUUCCCUCACUACUCAGAAUUUCACUACCACCGAACUUUAUCAUACAACUGAAGCAAAAAUUAAUAUUCACGCUCACACGGGGACUCAAACACAAAACCACAAGGCAAGUUAACACUUUACUAGUCAAACCAACAAACUCAUUCUAUUAUGACUUGACUAACAAUAGAAUAUAAGCCAAACCGCCAAGGAUAAAGCUAGGGUACAAAAUAACAUAAUUUUCCAAAAGAAAAACUUAAACCUAAGACCUCAAAUACACAAUCAGAACACUUAACCAUUGAAACAAAUACCCAUUUAUGAUAAAACUCACAGAAACAAAGUUAAAUUAGUUAGGGCGUUACAAUCUCCAUGCCUUGAUGGGCAAUCUCAGAGACUUCAAGCUAUAUAUAUAUAUGUGUGUCACUUGUCUUGAUAAGCCACAAGGUGUCUUGGAAUAAGUAAGGCAUUUUGUAAUUUUUCUUAAUUUGUAAUGUUUUUUUCUUUUAUCUUUGAAUGUUCCAAGGUAAUUGAUUAAUUGGUGUUUUCAAGGAAGAAAGCUGUGCAAUAGAUCAACAAAUAUGGGACCAACGUUAAACGAAAUUGUUAUUUCCUCCGGUGAAUCUGAGAAGCCUGCAGAGAACAUCACUUACAUGGAUGCUUCAUUGUAUAAAGCUGCAGCAAUAGGCAAAAUUGAAGAAUUCAAUAAUUACCAGAGGCCUGAACUUGAGUCGCUGAAGACCCCAAACCAUGACAACGUGCUCCAUGUUAACUUGUCAACCCCUGAGCGUAUCUGGCAACGUGCUCCAUGUUAACUGAAUUGUAAAUAAAUUAAAUUACAAGGUUGACGUUGUGACAUCGUUACUUUCUCGUUGUGACGUUGUCAAAUAGUUUGCCACAUCACGAUAUUGUAGCACCACUUAUUGUUUUGGCCUCGUCGAGAUGACGGUGUUUCUCAUAUCACUGUGACAUUAUAGGUCAUUUCUUGUCGUGGUGUCAUAUGCUAUUUCUACAAAAUUUUUCUUGAUUAUGUUAAAGUUGUAUGACCCAAAUCCUAUCACUUGUUCCUACAUUAAGAAAUUUUACUAACUUUGCUUGAAAACACAACAAGAAUAAAGUAAGUAGAAUUUUAUUUUGUUUAAAUAAAAUAAAGUAUAAGUUAAAGUGUUCAAGGAAUGAAAUAUGCAUGCUAUGACGCUUUUUGUUAUGCUAUGCUAAAGUGUUCAAUAAAGGAAUUAUGCAUCCUACGCUUUUGUUAUGCUAUGUUGAAGUGUUCAAGCAAUAAAUUAUAUAUAUUAUAUGUGUCACUUGUCUUGAUAAGCCACUAGGUGUCUUGGAAUAAGUAAGGCAUUUUGUAAUUUUUCUUAAUUUGUAAUAUUUUUUUUCUUUUAUCUUUGAAUGUUCCAAGCUAAUUAAAUAAUUGCUGUUAUCAAGGAAGAAAGCUGUGCAAUAGAUCGACAAAUAUGGAACCAUCGUUCAACCACAUUAUUAUUUCCUUUGGUGAACCUAAGAAGCCUGCAAACAACAUUAUUUACAUGGACGUGUCGUUGUAUAAAGCUGCAGCAGUAGGCAAAAUUGAAGAAUUCAAUAAUUACCCGAGGCCUGAACUUGAGUCGCUGAAGACCCCAAACCAUGACAACGUGCUCCAUGUUAACUUAUCAACCUCUGAGUGUAUCGGGCAACGUAGCAGAUCAGAUUUUAUCGAACAAAUCCUUUUCAAGUGUCCAUCACUGCUACGCCAAACAAAUGCGAAAGGUCAAACUCCCUUGCAUGUUGCAGCAAGGAAUGGGCAUUCUGCUAUUGUGAAACUCCUAAUCAAGUCUCGUGCCAAAGCUACUGAUGAAGAUUUAAAGAAGCUGGGAAUGGAUCAAUUGAAUGCAGUCAGGGAGAUGCUGAGGAAUACGGAUCAGGAAUCCAACACGGCUUUACAUGUUGCAGCAAGGUAUGGUCACGUCGAAGUGGUGCAAGAAUUGCUGGAGUUUGAAAACCCUGAUUUCCCAUAUUUUGUCAACAGAAAUCAGGAGACUCCACUUCACAUAGCAGCUAGGAGAGUAGAUAAGCUCUCACUGAUUAUACUAUUAGAUAAAUUGGACAGCUUUGCAUGCAGCAGCCAUGGCUGGAGAUGUCGGUACGUUAAGUUAGUUCCAAAUCAUUCUUGUUUGAAAUAAAUAAAGAAUCAAUUUAUUGACUUUUUUGUUUUGUUUUGCUUGGAUUCAGAGGCAACAAAGAUAAUAGUAGAGAAUAAAGGGGAUAUGACAAAGGAAACAGAUGAAAAUGGACACACCCCUCUUCACUAUGCUGCGCACUUAGGUCACGAUUCAGUUGUGGAAGAGCUGUUAAAAUGGGAUUUACUUGCUGCCUACGUAGGCGAUAAAGAGUGGGAAAUGACACCCCUUCUUAUGGCAGCCCGGCAAGGCCAUGGACAAAUAGUAACAAAGAUUCUCUCUUCUUGUCCGGGUUGCUGUGAAAAAGUGGACAAAAGGGGUUGGAUAACUUUUUCAUUUUGUGGAGUGAAAGUUUUCAAGACAACAUUUAAUAGAACUAUUCUAUAUUUUAUUAACUAAACAACUGAAUUUAAAUAGAAAAAAGAGUAUUAAUUUAAUUGGAAAAAUAAUUUCCUUAUUUUAAUAAACUACUAAAAGAUAAAAUCAAAUAUUCUUAGAAUAUUUCAAAUAAUUUAUUCUAAAAUUUAUCUACCUAAAUAAGAUUUAUCUACCUAAAUAACUUUAAAAUAUAUCCCAAAAUAUAUGCCUUUCACAUAUUUCAGCACAGAGAUCCUUCUUUAUUUACAAUUCUCCAACGUGAUAAUGGUUGUAGCACUAUAUAUGGGCUAGUAAAAAAUCUAAGGCAGUGGAAAAAUGCCCUCGGAAUCACACCUCAAGAAGUCUAUGACACAUGUCGUAGUCGUUUCCAUAUCACUGAUCAGCGUACAGAGAAAAUGGUAAAAUUUCUAUGGCCUAUGGCUAUGGUUUUACAUGCAUGUAUAUAAAAUACAAAGACCUAUACUACAAUACAAUCGACUAAAGUGGCAGGAGCAAAUUAUGGAAUUGUUGAAAGAUAUUACAAAUGAGGAAGUAGCCGAGAAACCAGUUCGUCCCAUACCUUCGAUAACUAUCUCUGCAGAUAGGUUGGAGAAGGAAAGAGAGGUUCAUUUAGUAGUGGCAGCACUUAUAGCCACCGUGACUUUCGCAGCAGCCAUAACCGUUCCAGGUGGUUUGAAAAAGGAAAAAGGGUCAGAGCAGGGCAUUCCUUUUCUCAUUCAUGAUGCAACUUUUAAAGCAUUUAUUGUAACCGAUGCAUUGGCCUUUCUUUUCUCCCUUUGUGCCCUCCUUUUCCAUUUUGGAAUGCUGCCUCCUUUUUCCUCAAUUCAGCGCCCUACUUUUCUGUCUCACGUCGGUGCCACUACGUUUCUUGGUUAUGCAACGUAUGCGAUGGUGAUUGCUUUCUGUACAACCAUUUAUGUGGUGUUAAAGCCUUCGUACGGGCUUUCCUUCGUUUGCUAAUCCAUGGCAUUGUUUUCCAUUAUUUGGUGGUGAUUGUACAUUAAAGAUGAAAGAGGGAAAUAGUCCUUCAUUAAAAUUGAGUUAUUAGAAUUCCGCGUAUUGGCCUAAUAGUUAGGGUGUUUAUUGUCUUUGGUGUCGCUUAAAUUCGAGUAGCGCUAGUCACCUUGCUAUUAAGGCUUUGUCCUCCUCUUAUAAUUCACAAAAAAAAAAAAAAUUGAGUUAUUAAAUGCUGAUUUAUGUUUUAUAAGUAUAAGGAUUAAUGAUAAAUUUAUAAAUAAUAUUAAGUGCACAAUUUUAAUUAAAUUAAUGAUUAAAAAUCAACUAAUAAAUUAUUUGAGUCAAAAGUUGAAUAUAAAAACACAGCAAGAAUAAGAUAAUAGAUUAAUGUUGUUUUGUUUGAAGUAAAAGUAUAAAAUUAGUAAAACACAUAGCAAGGAUGCUAUGCUAUGCUAAAAUGUUGAAGUAGGGAAUCGGUGCUUUCAUCAAUUAUGGAAUUAUAUAUGGUUUUCGUUUGUUUUGAUAACUUGUAGGUGAUUUGAAUGAAGCAUGUUAGAGUUAAACCCUAAAUUCUAAAACAUAAACUUUAAAUCGAAAGAAAACCUUAAAUAAAUGAGUAAAAAUAUAAUUAUUGUUAAUUAAAUGGUAAUUAAAAUAAAAAUAGUCAAAAUAAUAUAAUGAGUUUUAUCUGCUACAAUUUGUUACGACAAAUUAAAUUCUUUUCUGUAAUUAAUAAGCUUAUUUUUGAAUAAUUUGAUUACAUUUCUAUUAAUUUCUCAUUUUAGCAUUUUAUGUUCGAUUUCAAUAAAAUAAACAUUUUUACAUAGUUAGGUGUUUUAAUGGCCCGUUAGGCCAAUCAAAGCCUAAGAAACAACUAAUGGAUUAAUUGAGUGUGUAGGACAUCAUUUCGGGCCAAGAAAUUUGAAGAACGACCCCAAUGUCGCAACAUCCAUUAAUAGUGUUGUAACAACCAACUUCGAAAGUUAUAAUGGGGAUGCAAAGACGACAGUGUCGCAAAAAUGAACUUUGCAUGCAAGCUAGGAGAGUAAAAUCGAUGAUGUCGUGACACCCAACUUCGAGGCCAAAAAAGUCUCAUUCGAUGUCCGAUGUCUUGACAUCAGUCCUAUUGACACUGAUUCAACGAGGGCAAAAUACAACUGAGGAGGGUGUUUUCAUAUGCACAACUCAUCCUAACCCGUUAAUCACUUGCAUUUGAUCUAAUAAGAUCAUAAAAUACCAGAAUUAUAAAUAGAAUAGUUUAAGGUUUAAUUGGGGUUUUAUUCCCUUACUUAAUUUUCUAGCUUUAGGUUUUGUUAGAUUGGGAACUUCUAUUUUAGAUUCAAUUUUAAUUCGAGUUUUAAUUUCUUCAUCAAUCUUUAGUUUUUCUUUUGCAUUGGCUUUCAAUCGCUGUUUCCUCAACGAUUAUUAAGGGGUUUUUGUCUUCCAAGCACAAUCGGCAUAUCAACGAAUCAAAAUUAUAUUUUCCCCUCUUUCUAGUUUGCUAUUUGUUUUAAUGUCUGGAUUGAAUUUAAGGAAAAUUGUAUUUAGACUUAUGAGGAGCUAAACCAGUAGGAAGAUUAAAGAUCGAAGGUGGAAUUAAUUAACUGAGAAAUUAGAGUUUUCCUUAGAAUUAGUUGACUUAAAUUAUGUGUAAUUAAAUCUUAAGGUUGACAACUCUAAGAAGUUAUUUAGGUAAAUGAGGUCAAAAGAAUAGUUUAUCGAGUAUUUCCUAAUUUAAUUCGAUUUAAACUGCGAGGUCAAAAUAUAAGUAGUUUCUGACGAUUAAUUGAUCUAGUUACAGGCCGAAAGGUAAUAACUAGGUUAAUUAUUAACUAAUUCAUCAAAACCCGAAUUCUGAAGUUAAUUAUGAACACUGACAUGAGUUAAUCUUCUGUCUUUUACCGAGUGAAUUUCAAUUGUUAGUUUAGUUUUCUUUAAUUUACGGUAGUGUCACUACUUAAUUUUAUUUAGAUUUUUCGUACUAUAAUUUUAAAUUAUUAUUGUUUAAACCUGUUAGUGUAGAAAUUAAUCUCUAGUUUAAUCUAGCCUCUUUUGGUACAAUUUUUUGAAUACUUAGUUGUUCCAUUGUAACUUUUAUGUUAUAACCUGACUUGUAUAUUUGCGAACAUAACUAUUAUUUCAUAUAUUUUAUUUACAGUAUUUCCAGCCCCGAUAUUUACAUGUCGAGGCGAGUAAUCAGAGUUCCAACAACUCGUCCUUAGAAGUAAUAAAUAUUAAUAUUUUAAAUAGAUAUAGCCAAAAUAAUAUAAUGAGGUCCAUCAACUUGUGGUUGGAAGUAAUAAAUAUUAAUAUUUUAAAUAAAUGUAGCCAAAAUAAUAUAUUUAUGUCCAACAACUAGUCCUUGGAUGUAAUAAAUAUUAAUAUUUUAAAUAAACGUAGCCAAAAUAAAAUCCAACAACUCGUCCUUGGAAGUAUUAAAAUUUUGAUAUUAUUAUUAUUUUAAUAUUUUUAUAAAAAAUAAAAUAUAUAAGCAAUUUGAAUUUUAGUCAACAUGAUUUCAACGUUCUUAAAUUUAUCAUUUCAAUCAUAACAUUAUUUGUUUUUUUAUAAACAUUAACAUGGUAAUAUUUUUAUUUUGGUUUUUUCAAAAUAUUCACUGAAACAAGUCUAAUGAUUAAUCUUUCGUAUUCUGUAAGUCCAUUAAGAGGUAAGUGCUAAAGUAUAUAUAAAAUAUACUAAGUGUGUCUUAAUUUUAUCAUUUCAGUUAGAGCAUUGUUUAAUUCUUUUAAAAAACAUUUACAUAAAAUUUUCACUUACAAUGAAUGUGUCAUAAUUUAGUCAUAUAUAAAUUUAAAAGUGAUAAAUUUGUUUUUUGGGUACAUGAAGAAUGAUCAAAUCAUAACUAGACUAGAUGGGACCAAGUCAUUUCAAAGCAAUCAUUAUAUAUCUUUUGAAGGAUUUCAUCUGGAGUUGCAUAUAGCUAUAUAUGUCCAGAGGCCCUGAAAAUCCAUUAUUACCAGUCCAUCGGCUACUUAAUUACCCUAUCUGAAUACAUGAUGUGUCCCACUAAUCAUUCAAGCUCGUUGAGUAAUUUCUUUAAUGCUAACAAUUUAGUAAUUUAAUGAUCUUUAACAACCUUGUUUUCCGUAUUAUAUAAUUUUAAUUAAUAUUUUAUAAUUAAAAUUAAAAAUUUAUGUAUUCAAAUUAAUCCAAAUUCACCUAAGCUUUGAAUUAGAUUGAUAAACUACAUUUAGAUAAAUCUAUUUAUAACAACUUAAUUUUUAUUUAAAUUUAUAUAUAAUUCAAUAACAACUUAAUUUUGUAUUUAAAUUUAAAUAUAAAUCAAUCUUAUAAUAUUUGUAAUUAAUAUAGAGUAGUAAACUAUUCUUAGUCAUGAAUUAAUUUCUUCCACCCAUUCUUGGCUGCAAAACCAAAGACAAUGAGAUAAACAAAUAAAAAGAAAUCCUAGCCUUGAUUUAUGGUUUCAUUAAUUCUACCUUUUGGCCCACAAAAUGAAAAUAAUGACAAAAAGUUGUUCAAUUCUUGAUUGAGUCUUAGCUCAAUUGUUAUUGACAUUAUUACCGGUGUAAGAGGACGUGGGUUCGAAUGUGCUGAAACGUAUUAUCUUCUACCUUAUUUAGGCCAUUGUGCUCUUCAAAAAUUUGAAAUUUCGUUCUUAUAUUUUUAUUUUUAAAAAUUUAGUCCCUUUAUUUUUAAGAUCUUAAAAUUUAGGUCCAAUUGUUAAUUCUAUUGUUUUAACCUUGAAAAAUUUGUAGAUUGAGAUCACAUCCCUUUCAAAAUUUGCUGAAUUUUCAAAAAAAUAUGUUAAAUGUUUGAUGUGAUUUUUCAAAAACUUUACAGAAACUUGGUUGAAGAAUUAAUGGUUUCCAGUUGACAAGUUGACUUAGGCAUUACAGGAGAACUGAUAGUUUGAUGAAUCUAUUUGGUUAUAAAAUAUUUGUAUUGAUCACUCUGCAAGAGACUAAUUACAGGCAAGUAACAAACAGGAAAGACAUUUGGUAAUUUUCUGAAUUUCUAGCUUCUUUUUUUCUUCAGCUUAGAAUAUUCCAAGCUAACUAAUUAAUAUUUGUUUUGUGUUAUCUAGGAAGAAAGCUCUGCAAUAGAUCAACAAAAAUGGAACUAUCGAUAAACGUCAUGCCUAUGUCCUCCGGAAAACCUGAGGAACCUGAAGAGAACAUCACUUACAUGGAUGCUUCGUUGUACAAGGCAGCUGCAGAAGGCAACAUUGAAGUAUUCAAUAAUAAGCAGGGGCAUCAACUUGAGUCGCUAAAGACCCCAAACCAUGACAACGUGCUCCAUGUUAACUUGGCAACCCACGAGCUUGCUGCCUGGUUUUCUAAUGGAAUUCUCUCAAGAACUAGAUCCUUCCCCAAUUUAUAUUUAUUUGUCUAUUUGUUUUUGUGGAUUUUCAUUAUUAAGAAAACAAGUGAAAAAAGAUUAUAUUUUAUCGGACAAAUUCUUACCAAAUAUCCGUCACUACUACUCCAGACGAAUGCUAAAGGUCAGACUCCUUUGCACGUUGCAGCAAGGAAUGGACAUUCUGCUAUUGUGAAACUUCUAAUCAGCUCUUGCGCAAAAGCUAGAGUUGGAGAUUUAGAGAAUCUGGGAAUGGAUCAAGUAGUUGCAGUGAGGCAGAUGCUGAGGAUUACGGAUCAGGAAUCCAACACGGCUUUACAUGAAGCAGCACAGUAUGGCGAUGUUGAAAUGGUGGAAGAAUUGUUGAAGCUUGAACACCCCGUGGAAAGAUUGUUGGAGCUUGAAAAUCCUUAUUCUCCGUAUUCUGCCAACAAAAACCAGGAGACUCCACUUUACUUAGCAGCUCUGAGAGGAGAAGAGCCUUUGCUGAAUGUAAUAUUAAAUAAAUGGAAAUCAGCUGAUCAUGGUGGCCCUCAUGGUAGAACAACUUUGCAUGCAACAACUAUGGCCGAAGAUAAAGGUAUGUUGAGUUAGUUCCAUAUAUAUUUUUUGUAAUAAAUAAAGAAUAGAUUUAUUGACAGUUUUUUUGCUUGGAUUUAGAGGCAACAAGUAAAAUAUUAGAGAAGCAAGAGAAUUUGAGAAAGAAAAAAGAUAAAGAUGGGCACACCCCUCUUCAUUAUGCUGCACACAUAGGUUACAAUUCUGUUGUGGAAGUAUUGUUAGAAAAGGAUGUAUCAGCUGCCUAUAUAGGUGAUAAAAAGUUGGGGAUGACACCCCUUCUUGUGGCAGCCAGGGAAGGUAAUGUUGGAACAGUAAAAAAGAUUCUCUCUAAGUGUCCUGAUUGUUGUGAAAAAGUGGACAAAAGAGGUUUGAAUUUACUUCAUUAUUUGGCGUUUAGAGACCGUUCCUAUAAAUUAAGUCAUUCUCUUUUCAUGCCUGGUGGUACUAAGACUGAAUAUGGAUCAAUCAGAAAUCUAAGGAAGUUGAAAGGUGCCUUUGGAUUCACCCCUGAACAAGUUUAUGCAUUACUUCGAUAUGAGGGUCAUAACGAGAAAUAUCUGGAUGAAAAGGUGUGUAUUUCUAUGACUAUGGGUAUGGUUUUAUUAAUAAUUGGGUUUUGAAUUAACAUGUGGUGGUAUGGCAGAAGCAAGUCGAAGAAUUGUUGAAAGAAAUUGCAAGUGAAGAAGUAGCAGGGUUACAAGUUUCCCACAUUCCCUUACCAACUGUCCCUGCAGAAAGCUUGGAGAAGACAAGAGAUGCUCAUUUAGUAGUGGCAGCACUUAUAGCCACCGUCACAUUUGCAGCAGCAAUAACCGUACCUGGUGGUUUGAAUACUGAAAAAGGGUCAGAGCAGGGCACUCCUUUUCUGAUUGAUGAGGCAGCCUUUAAAGCAUUUGUCGUAACAAAUGCAUUAGCCUUUAUUCUCUCUGUUUCGGCCCUCUCCAUCCACUUUGGGAUUCUGGAUCCUCUUUUACCAAAACUAAAAUUUUGGGGUAUUAAUCUAAUAUUAUAUCGAACUCAGUCCGUUUCUAAUCUCCUUGGCCGUGCAAUGUUUGCGAUGGUGAUUGCUUUUAGCACCGGCAGUUAUGUGAUUUUAAAACCUUCUCAUGGACUUGCCAUCGCUUCAUGUUUCAUCUGCCCUGGCUUUUUUGUUUGUUAUUACGUACAACAAUCCCUAUCUUUCGUGAAGAGGUUGUUGGAGUGAUAAUAACGAAUUUCAUCACAAAUAUUAUAUUAUCUGUGACAAAUUUUAUAUGUCGCACUAAUUAUACCACAAUAGUCAUUAUUAUGAUAAUAGUUGUGACGGUUUAAAUAUUGUUUCUAUAAAUGUAUAAUGGUGACCUAAUCUAUUUGUCAUUAGCAAUUCUCUUUCUUCUUGAGUAAUUAUAUAAUAGUCACAACAUAUAAUUAUUCCGAACAAAAUUAGGCAUUUAUAAAGCUCAAACAAAAGCAUUUGAAUUUUUUGUAAUGAGAUGAAUAGAAGUUAUUAAUUCCGAGUUUUGUAAGUAGAGAUAAUCAAUUUUUACUAAAAGGUACUCAUAUUGUGUGAAAGACAAUAAAAAGAAGAGCUCAUGGAGGCCCAUGGUAGAACAACUUUGCAUGCAGCAGUACUGGCUGUAGAUGGCAGGCAAUUAGAUAUGCAAAUAUGUUAUCAACAACUUCAUUUAUUUCCCGAAAUAUAUGUGAAAGGGAAUUAAAUCUCUAUUUGAAGCCAAAAUGGAUGUGGUUCCAAGUGUUGAGCGGCAUAGGAAGUAAUCAAAAUAUAUGUUGCACUGCAAGGAAUUCAAGGCUGCCUUGUCCACAAAGGCUUAUAACUGCUAAGCACCUGCUCUUAAAUUUGAUUAUGGCCUAAUAAACAACAUAGGGCAGCAUUGACUUCACUACAAAGAGCUGUAGACCCCAUUUUCUUCCAUUCUUUGUCUUCAAUUCUUCUCCUCCUUUGCAGUUUCCUUAAACCCAAAUUUCAACCAGUCAAUUAAAUGUUUAAAUUUGAAAAUCCCCAUACACUUGAUGCUAUUUUCUUUUCUUUUUUUUGAAUUUAGCUAUGGAAUUUACAUCUUUUAUCAAUUUAGUUAUUUUUAUUAUUUUUUAAAUUAAAUUUGACUCUUCAUCUUUCAUAAUAGAGUUCAAUUUUACCAUAACACAAAGAGCUGUAGACCUCAUUUUCUUCCAUUCUUUUUUUCAAUUCUUCUCCUUCUUAGCAGUUUCCUUAAAAGCAAAUUUCACCAUAAAAAGCUCCUACAUCAUUGACCUGACCUCUAACCCUAUAUAUUACUAUUACUAAGCAAUAGUGUUCAAGUAUGAAAUUAUAUAUAGUUGUCGUUUGUAGGUGACUUAAGUGGAGGAUAUGCAAGCAACAAACAGGUAUUGCAUUUGGUAUAUUUCCUAAUUUGCAGUAUUUUUUUCUUGAGUUUGGAAUUUCAAAGCUAAUUAAUUAAAUUUUGUUUUGUGUUAUAUAUCUAGGAAGAAAGUUGUGCAAUAGAUCAUGGGAACAUCGAUAAACAUCAUGUUUAUAUCCUCCGGAAAACCUGAGGAACCUGAAGAGAACAUCACUUACAUGGAUGCUUCGUUGUACUAGGCAGCUGCAGAAGGCAACAUUGAGGUAUUCAAUAGGUACCCAGAGCUUGCACUUGAAUCGCAAACGACCCCAAGCACUGACAACGUGCUCCAUGUUAACUUGGCAACCCACGAGCUUGCUACCUGGUUUUCUAAUGAAAUUCUCUCAAUAACCAGAUACUUCCCCAAAUUAUAUUGUUUUCGUCUAUUUGUUUCAGUGGAUUUUCAUUAUUAACAAAAAAAGUGAAAAAAGAUAAGAUUUUAUAAUGACCCCAAACCAUGACAACGUGCUCCAUGCUAACUUGGCAACCGAGGAGACUGCUGCCUGGCUUUUAAACAGAUUUCUCUCAAUACUCAACUUCCUCCCCGUAAAAUAUGUAUUCAUCACCGUAGAAAAUGUACCAUCUAUCGGUCUUUGAUUAUUUUCAUUACUAUGAUAAGAGGAGAAAAGAGAUCAGAUUUUAUCGUACAAAUUCUCAGCAAGUGUCCGUCACUGCUAAUCCAAACGAAUGCUAAAGGUCAAACUCCUUUGCACGUUGCAGUAAGGUAUGGACAUUCUGCUAUUGUAAAACUUCUAACCAAGUCUUGUGCAAAAGCUAGAGAUGGAGAUUUAGAGAAACUGGGAAUGGAUCAGGUAAAUGCAGUGAGGGAGAUGCUAAGGAUUAGGGAUCAGGAAUCCAAUAUGGCUUUACAUGAAGCAGCACGGUGUGGCAUCCAUCAUGUUCCAUUACUAUUGUCAAAAUUACUGUUAUGCACACAACUUGACUUUGGCUGGUCACUCAUUAUCAAUGGCUCCAGUAUCAAAUUAGGGGUACUUAAUUGUGUUCUCUUGAAAUAUUGAAGAAACUAUUUGAAUACUGAAUACCAAAUUCGCGUUCCCAUUUUAGAAACUAUUUUAAUUUCUUUAAUUUGAAUAUCAAAUUCGAUCUAGGAUCAUCAAGCACUCUUAUUUUUUGAAUUAAUUUUGUAACGGAUUUAAGAUUAUAUUUCAUUUUCGGUUCCAUCUAAUAUGUUAUUAGUCCAAAUUAACACAUCUAUAUCUCUACUUGAUAGUCAAUCCUACCCCGGUAAUCAAGACAAGCUAUUUUUUAUUUUGUUUAAUGAAGAUCAUAUGUUAGAAGCUAAGAAAUUUAUCAAAGUAUAAGAAAUUUUUGAAUUAUUACUAUUUUAAUAUUUUUGUCUUUUAUAUAUUUUUUAAAAAUUAGAAAAUAUAAAAGCAAAUCAAAUCUAAGCUACUAUGACUUUAAUAAUGCUAAUUUUGUAAUUUCAACCAUAACACUAUUUUCUAAAAUAAAUAUUUACAUAAAUUUUUUUGUUACAUGAUAAAUAUGUGAGAAUUUUUUUUUUCUUAAGGUAUCCACUAAAGCAAGCAUAGUGAUUUAUUUUCCGCAUUUUCUAAACCUAUUAAGAGAGUAAAUGUUUAAAUAUAUAAAAAAUAUAUAUUAAGUGUCUCAUAAUUUUUAUUAAAAAUUAUUAAAAUUUAACAACCUAAAUCCGGCCUAGACAGAAAGACUAAGUUUGGGAUGUCUCAUGAGCUUACCAGAACACGGUUAUACUUAGAGCUGGCUUAAUCAAUACAUAUAGUCAAGUCUUUAAAAAAGACCAAUCAUUCAAAGCAUAAUUCACUCUUAAAACUUAAAGUCUGAAACCAAAUAAAUGAUUUAAACACACACGCAUAUAUUUAAAGUAAGUCCAAUAGAUGACCGAGUCCCUCGUCCGCCGGCCACUCAGUUCUAAGAGUUUCCUGAUAUCCAUUCAAUCCAGUUAGUGUGUUGCAACUUAAUAUACACAUAAAAAAAUUUGACAUGUUUAUAAUAACUCAGAUAUAAUUGGAAGUUCAGUCAGCAUACUCAAUCUUGAUCGGUCAAAUUAAUAAUUUAUUACAGUUUCGGAAACAAAACAGUUCUGGCACGCAACAAAUCUGAUACAGAAACAUGUACAGAUGUAAAUACGGAUACAAAUGUAAAUAUAGAUACAAAUGUAUUUAUCCUAACCCCCAUCCUCUAUACACCAUCUCCGACCAACCCAACACACCAGUAGGUAUAUAAUACCCGUCCAACCUUAUACACCCCAUAGUGUCGAUAUGACACGUUGCAGUGCUUACAGUCACGCUGCCAGUAUAGAUUCAAUUGUGGAUGGUUUAACCACCAAAUCAGUACAGAAAGCUUCCUCCAUUUCAUGAUCCCCGCCCAAUGCAAAUGUAGAGAGCAAAUGACAAAUAUAUAUGUUUCUUAUGCAAAUAUAAUCACAUAGUCCAGUAUAAUAGAGGGUUGAAAUUCUUAAUAAUUAUCUCAUACGGGUAUGUAGAAAAAGUUUAUAAUCAUGAUAAAACAGAUCAUAUAUAGUUCAGUUUAGUUCAUACAUAUCCUACAGACGGCUUACACUCAUCUCGUACAACAACUAUGGCGUUAAUAGAAAUUUUGUAAUUCAGGCUCACACACCCGUGUGGGUGCCCAUGUGGUUCCACACAGUCUGACACAUGGUCGCGUGGCUACCCGUGUGCCCCUAUUAAUCAAAUUAGUGAGUUACACGGUCUAAGCACACACUCGUGUGCUGCCUGUGUACCUCACACGGUUUGGCAUACGCCGCUGUCCCUUGCAUGUGAGUCCCUAAUAUAUAAAUAGUGAAUUACACGAUCUGGACACAUGCUUCUGUGCCCCCUGUGUGACCACUGCACCUUAAUUUCUCACACACGGUUUACCCCACGCCUGUGUGGCUCGCCUAUAUGUCUCCAAUCCGAAGUCAGUGAGUACACAGUCCACUACACGGUCAUGUGGCACACACGGCCUGCACACACGCCUGUGUGUCGUCGAUAGUCCCGUUUCUGGCAAAGAAAAAUGCAGAAAAGAAAGGGAUUUCUAUACCCACCUGUUACACGACGCUGUAGAAGCAUCCAAAUGCAAUUUCCAGUCCUAAAAUAAGUCCCAAACGCCCAAUUCAAUAAAGCAUUUGCAAAAUAUGCAAGUAACAACAAUCAAUGUUCAUCAAAACCGUCGACUCACUACACAAAAUGGAUGGAAGCCUACUUACCGCGAAUUCCCAGUACACGUUUAGUUCCUAAGUAAGGUGAGAAGCGUUAGGCAUCUUCCGGGUCUUCUCCUACAAUUCAUCGAAGUACCUGAAAUGACAAAACGAAUUAACUCAACGAAAUGAAAUUCAAAAGAAAAACCCCAAACAACAAAACCAUCACAACGAACAAAUUAAAAACACGAACUCUUAUCGUUAGCAACAAAAUCGACCACAGAAGAAUUCAAAUCAGCAUUAAUUGAUUUAAUCAGCAACAAAAAUAAUACGAGGCCAAUUGUCAAAAGAAACGGUAACUGAAGAAGAACAGAAAAAUAACGCAGGAGGGAAAUUUUAAGAAAACAAAUCAUAGAAUUUCAGGAAAAAAAACUAAUACACACAAAACAGAUAACCACUAAAACAAACACAUAUUUAUUAAAAUAAUUUAACAAGAAAACUCAAAUUUUUGUUGUGAAGUUGAUGAAAUUUUAUUAAAAAUGAUUGAAUGAAAAUAAAAAUUGAAAUCAGUAAAUCGAAGGAUUUAAACGUUGAUUAAUUAUGCUUAGUUUGAGAGAAAAUUUAAGUAGACAAUUUUAAUUCAAAUUAUGAAAAAAAUAAGUAACCAUCGCUAAUCGUAUAUAGCAAGAAUAGCAUAGUAAAAUUAUGGUGCUUUCAUCAAUUAUGGAAUCAUAUAUGGUUUUCAUUAAAUUUAAUAGCUAAAUUGCACUUUGUUCGAGGAUUUCAAUUAAAUUGAAAUUAGAAUGAAUAAACAUAGUAAAAAUAAUCAAUUUCCCUAUUGUUUUUUUAAAAUUAAAUUUGGCCUCAAUUUUUAAAAAAAUUGAAUUGUUAUUUUUCUAAUUAAAAUACUAAUUAAAAUUUUAAAAUUUUAAACAUACAGCCUGCAUGGUAAUUCGCUUGUACUUUAUGUUAAUUUGUUGAAUUUUUAUGAACCUAUUAUAAUUGUUUUUUGAAUUUUGAAUUUUUUUUAUUUUUUGAAUUUUUAAAUUAAUUAUUGACAUGACAUAUAAGAUAAUAAUGCUAUAUCAACAUGAACUACAAAUGGAUUGUUAUGCCAAAAUCGUUAAAUUUUUUUAUGUUAUAGUCAAUUUUUUUAAUUAAAAAAAUUAUUUAACUUUUUUUAAAAGGUUAAUAACCAAAAUUAAUUUAGUGGAUGCAUGCGUACGCAUUAUCUAUAAAGCAAGUUAAAAAAUGACGGAUUUGAUGUCUCUACUUUUCAACAAUUUAGUAUUUUAACCAUCACUAGCAACUUUGUUUUAGGGCCAUUUGAUUUCCUUUUUGUUACAAUUAAGUCAUUGUAUAAUAAUAUUUAUGGUAAGAUACACAAAUAGUUAUCAUUGUUUUGGUGAUUUGGGUUUAAUUUUUUUUAGUUAUUAAUAUUAUCGACAUUUGAUAUUUUGUUCACUCUUUCAUUAAAUCAUUAGCAGAAUGUUGACGCAACCUUUCUUUAUUAACAUAAUAAUAAAUUUAACCAUUUAAUAUCUACAAAUUCUAUUAAUCUGGUCCUAAUUCUAAAAAAUAAAUUUAGCUCUUAACUUUAUCCAUUAUGUCAAUUUAGUCUUGAUUCUUACAAAUUUAAAAUAAAACUUUAAAAAAAUUUAUUUAAAAAUUUUUAUCAAUAAAAAUACAUACAAAAUUAUAAAAUGCACAAAAAAAUAUAAAUUUUUUUUAAAGGUGAAUACUCAAUUUCUCUUUAAAGAAAAACACAAAUAAAAACUUAGAUCUAAUUUAUCAUUUGUUUUGUUGAAAAUGUGGUAAAUCUUAGGGAUUUUCAUUGUUGUAAGGGUGAAAAGAAAAUGUAGGGUUUAGUCUAAAUCACUCAAUAAUAACUAACAUCAUCAAAAUCUAGUGUGUAACAAUUUUCUCAGCUACCAGACACUGUAGACCCCAUUUUCUUCCAUUCUUUUCUUUAAUUCUUCUCCUUCUUUGCAGUUUCCUUAAAACCAAAUCUCACCAUAAAAAACUCCUACUUUAUUGCCUCACUUCUAACGCUAUAUAUUACUAUUACUAAAGUGUUCAACUAUAUAUAGUUGUCAUUUGUAGUUGACUUGAAUGCAGGAUUUGCAAGCAACUAACUGGUAUGGCAUCUGGUAAAUUUCUGAUUUUGCAGUACUUUUUUCCUGAGCUUCGAAUGUUUCAAGCUAAUUAACUCAACUUUGUUUGGUGUUAUCCAGGAAGAAAUAGAUCAACAAAAAUGGGACCCGAAGAGCCUGAAGAGAACAUCACUCACAUGGAUGCUUGGCUGUAUAAGGCAGCAGCAGAAGGCAACGUUGAAGUAUUCAAUAAUAACCAGGAGCUUCAACUUGAGUUGCUAAAGACCCCAAACCAUGACAACGUGCUCCAUCUUAACUUGGCAACCAAGGAGAAUGUUCUCUGGCUUUUUAACAGAUUUCACACAAUAUUCGAAGAAUUCCCCGCAGAAUAUGUAUUAUUCCAUCGGUGUUUGAGUAUUUUCAUUACUAUGAUAAAAAGAGAAAAGAGAUCAGAUUUUAUCGGACAAAUUCUCAGCAAGUGUCCGUCACUGCUACAACAAACGAAUGCUAAAGGUCAAACUCCUUUGCACGUUGCAGCAAGGUAUGGACAUUCUGCUAUUGUGAAACUUCUAAUCAAGUCUUGUGCAAAAGCCAGAGAUGGAGAUUUAGAGAAGCUGGGAACGGAUCAAGUAAAUGCAGUGAGGGAGAUGCUGAGGAUUACGGAUCAGGAAUCCAACACGGCUUUACAUGAAGCAGCAGGGUGUGGCAAUGUCAAAGUGGUGAAAGCAUUGUUGGAGUUUGAAGACCCUGAUUUUCCGUAUUCUGCCAACAAAAAACAGGAGACUCCACUUUACAUAGCAGCUAGGAGGCGAGGAUCUGGGCGCUUGUUGACUCUAUUAUUAGAUAAAUUCAGAUCAGCAGCAGCUGAUGGCGGCCCCCAGGGUAGAACAGCUUUGCAUGCAGCAGCUAUGGCUGGAGAUGCAGGUAUGUUGUUGAGUUAGUUCCUUUUUUUUUUUUUUUUUUAAUUUUGAAAUAAAUAAACAGCAGGUCUAUUGACAUUUUUUUUUUUUGCUUGGAUUUAGAGGCAGUAAAGGUAAUAUUAAAGAAGAAGGGGAAUUUGACAAAGGAAAGAGAUGAAGAUGGACGCACCCCUCUUCAUUAUGCUGCACACUUUGGUUCUAGAUUAUCAGUUGUGGAAGAACUGUUAAAAAGGGAUGUAUCAGCUGCCUAUAUAGGUGAUAAAAAGAGGGGGAUGACACCCCUUCUUAUGGCAGCCAGGCAAGGUAAUGCUGGAAUAAUUUCGAAGAUUCUCUCUUUAUGUCCAGAUUGUUGUGAAGAAGUGGACAAUAAAUGUUUGAAUUUACUUCAUUAUCUGGCAUUUAGAGGCUCUUCCACUCUAUUUGGGCGUUCUUUUUUCAAGCUUGGUGGUAUUAAGAUUGCAUAUGGAUCACUCAGAAAUCUGAUGGAGUUGGAAGGUGACUUUGGGAUGACACCUCAAGAAGUUUAUAAUGCACUUCAAGAUGAGAAACAUCAUCAUAAACAGGUCAUGUGUUUGCCCAUAUAUAUUGCAUUUCCAUGGCUAUGGUUUUAUUAAUAUUUAAGUUUUGAAUUAACAUAUUUAAUAAACUUACAAUAAGACCUGCUAAUGUGGGUGGCAUUGCAGAAGCAAAUCAAAAAAUUGUUGGAAGAAAUUGAGAAUGAUCAAGUGGCGGAGGAACCAGUUCAUCGCUUUCUUUCACGAAAUGUUUCUACAGAAAGCUCGGAGAUGACAAUAAAUGCUCAUUUAAUAGUGGCAGCACUUAUAUAUACCGUCGCAUUCGCAGCAGCAAUAACUGUUCCUGGUGGUUUGAAUAGUGAAAAAGGGUCAGAGCAAGGCACUCCCCUUUUGAUUGAUAAGGCUGCCUUUAAAGUAUUUUUUGGAACAAAUUUAUCGGCCUUUAUUCUCUCUGUUUUUACCCUCACCAUCCACUUCGGGAUUCUGGAUAUUUUAUUUUCAGGAUUUAGUUUUUGGCAUCAAACAGGAUUUAUUCGAACUGAGUUUGUUUCUUUGAUCCUUGGCUAUGCAACAUUGGCGAUGGUGGUUGCUUUCAUUACAGGCAGUUUUGUGAUCUUAAAACCAACCUACGGACUUCCCGAUGUUCUUUUUCUCAUUAGCCCUGCUGUUUUUUUCUUUGUUUUCAUAUUUACUAUAUACAUACAAUAAUAUUACUUUAUCAUCUAUUGUAAUCUUCUUCCAAUUUUUAGUAUCAAUAUUAUCUCUUUGAAGAAAGAUUUCUUCAAAUAUUUUUUUUGAGAUAUGUCUAACUUAUCCAUGUUAAUCAUCUCUAUUUAAUUGAAAUUAAUAUAAAGCUAUUAAUUGAUAAACAUACAAUUUCAGAAAAGGUAAAAGAAAAAUCACAAUUUGUUUAAAGUAAGAAUUAUUAAAUAUCAAAGAGUAAUAAAUAUGUUGUAACUAAUUUUCCGUUAUGAUUAAAAUCCAAUUUGACGAAUCAUUGAAAAAUAUGAGAAUUUUAAGUUUAAGGAAAAACUUAAGGUUCUAUUAAAAAAUGGAAAUUUGUCACCAAUCUUUUUAAUUAGGUGUGAUCAGACACUUAUAAAAUCGCUUUUAUUGUGAAGUUCAUGAAAAUGAUUAAAUGUCAGCUAAUUAACAAAAUUUGGUUUGGUGUUAUUAAGUGAAAGCCUUGAGUAAAACAAGAAUGUAACCAUCGUUAAUCGACAUGAAUUUCAAGAAAACCUAGCCUCCAUUUAUGGUUUGAUUAAUUCCACCCUUUGGCCAAGAAAAUGGAAAUAAAGAUACAAAGUUGUUCAAUUGAAGUAAAUGCAUCAUUAGUCUAUGCAUGUAUAUAUGUGAUGUCCACUAAAUUAAUUAAUAAAUUGACUAAGUUAAAUGCACCUAUCAAUUAAUAGUAUAGUUAUGGCGACCACACAUAUCGUUCCCUCGAGGAUUACAAUUAGUAAUAAUUAUCUGUAAUAGCCCGAUUUUCAGUGAUGUCGGAAACAGUCCAAAUCUGGCAAAUGAGCUCAAAAAUUUUAUUAUUUAAUAUUUACGAGCCAAAUGAGGUAUUUAAAAGAUUUUUGAAUUAAUAAGUUUGUGGUUAUAAGGAUUUAUUAGAUUAAUUAAUUUAGAAAAAGAGGUAUCGAGACCUCGGUAUUAUAAAUUGAGCCGUAAAUAUUUUUAUAAAUAUUUACGGAGUGUCAAUAAGGUAGUAUUAAAGUUUCAUUAGAAAAUUUUAACGUUUUGGUAGUCAAUUAAUUAAAAAGAACUAAAUUGAAAAAGGUGCAAAAUUUGCUCAAGUGAUUAAAUAGUCUAAAUAAUAAAUAAAGGAAGACUAAAAGGGCAAAUAGACUCAUAUGAAUGGCAUGAAAAAAAUCAAGGAUUUUAUGUGAAAUAAGGGCAAAAUUGUAAAUUUCACCAAAUUAAAGAGAAAUAAAUGGGAAAUUGAAAAAUCUUGACAAAUUCAUCAUCAUUUUCAGCUCAAAAACAGCCAUAAGCUGAUUUUUCAUAUUUUAGCUUAAUGUAAGUUUAAUUCUUACUUUUUCCUUAAAAUUUUUAUGUUUUUGGACUUUUACAACUAGGUCUAACUUACUAUUUCAUUAGUUUUUGAUUUUGUUGAAAGUUUUGGAAGAUAUCAUUGAUAAGUUCAUAUGAUUUUAGUUAUCUAUGAGUGCCAAUACUUGUAGUUAUGAGUUAUUGUAUGCCAUUGAAUUUGUGUUAGAUACAUGUUAUAUGCUAACUCACUAUGUUUUGGAGAAUUUUAAUGUCAUGGUAAUCAAAGAAGCAAAGCAUUUUAAUGGCAUCAGCUUUUUUACAAUUAAAAUGUCCACAAGCUAAUGUGUAUGAACUUGGGAUGUGGAGUUCAGCUUAUUGGGAUGUGGAAACUAAAUAGUAAAAUGUUGAAAUUGUCCCAGUUAAUACCACAUUACGGUUGGUUUCCAUGUUACAAUACGAAAUCCGAUGGGAAAAUUGAAUUGCUGUCUGCUAAUCAUUUUCAUUUAGUUUGCUGUUUAAAUAAUGUUGCCUCACUCUUAUAAUCACCACUUUUUCUAUUUUUAUAUGCCCUCUCUCUUUCCCCAAAGUGGCGUUCCACGUGUUCACUUACUCUAUAUAACACCUUAGGUUUAGUCUUUUAAUUACUAAGGAUGUGGGUGUUUACCCAGACCAUGAGCUGAGUAGUGUUAUUGAUUUUGGAUAAAGCAUGUCGGCUACGUGCAUCUUAAUUGCCAUAAACAAGGGAUAAAUGAGAGACAUUGAGGCCCCAAUGGAAUGCUAAAAACAAUUUGAAACAAGGUUGAGAGAAGUGGGGUUUGGUAAACGUCACAUGCAAAUGCAAUUAUUAUUAUUAACUUCAACAUAUUAGUAUAAAAAAGGGGGACGAAUGUGGGCUAUGGGCCUAAAGUCAAAAAGGGGUUUUGUUAUGAAUCUAAAUUAAAGCAACCUAAAAGCAUUUCAUAAGCUUAUGAUUAAGACAAAUCUUGCUUUUAAAUUUGUAUUAUUUGCAUGGUCAUGGCCUUAUCCCUAGAGCUACACCUUUUGAAAUGACAAGUGCUAUUUUUAGAUUGUCUGAACAUUGAAGAGACAAAAGCUGUCAUAUAGUAAUCUAUCCUUCAAUUAUUGUCGCCUAUUCCUCACUAUUAACGGAAUAACAGGAUUCAUUUAUAAUUCACCAUUUUCCAACUUAAUUAACAACUAAAAAGGUCAAAUGUUCCAUAUUUCAAUGGCAUCAGGGAGAUGGAAUUCCUUGAUCUAACAUUUAAAUUCCACAAUUAGUUAUAAUUUUGAUUUUCUUUUUAUAAAAAAGACAGAAGCAUGCAAUAGAUAGUAAUAUAUAGCACUCUAUUACGUAGGUGGAUUAAAAAACAUAUUUUUUAUCGAUUGUGAAAGAGUUUAAACCGUACAUAGACUCCGAUAAUGGAUGUUGUCUUUAUUAUAUCACAAACCUUAAUUGUUGACUAAGUCGGCAAACAUCCAAGCUAAUCCGCUCUAACUUCCAAUGUACCUUGACACUUGCCCAAUAAAACCCUCCUCCCUCAAUUGUGAAAAUCAUAACAAACACGGCCUUCAACGUUAAGUUUUCGAUUAUUAAUUAAUAGCUCUCAAAAAACAAGUAGGGGACUAUGAAUUGGAUUUAUACUAGUAAAAGAUCGACAAACUAUUACAUGAUCCAAAAAAUCUCUAAGAGCAAUUACUAUAUAUCCCUACCGUAGUACCAUCUUAUUCUUGCCAACCAAACAAAUAUCACUACUACUCAUUCCUGGCCAAUCUAUACUGGAGUUGCUAUGACUAGAUCAUCUUUUUAUAACCAAACUACCUUCUUUUUUCUACUACUUCUAUUUUGAAAUACCUCUAUAGUUGUUGUAGACAAUUUUUGAACCUCAUUCCUUGUUUAUAAAGAUCAAGUUUCGCACCUUUAAAUAUCACCUCAUUCCGCAUUUCCAUAUCAACCACAUAGUCUUCGCACCGAUACUAUAUAUACAAGUUGCAUCGUCUACCCCUUUCCAUUGUUUUCAGCUUAACAUCCAAUUCUUUACAUUGCCUACGUUUAUACUUCCCAUUCUAAUGCCUAAACCCAGUCCAAACUAUACAGCGUGCGAACAAACCUUUAAUGAAUAAGUGAUUCACAUCCUCGUCCUUCUGCUUACAUAGUUGACAAAUAAGUUUUACAUUUUGUAAGAGGUGCUAAAGAAAAAUCACAAUUUCAUAAGGAAUAUCACGAUUCCACAACCACUUCCAAUCAAAGUGAAGUGUAGUUUCUAUGCCUUCAUAUGAAUUCAUAAGGAAUAUCACGAUUCCACAACCACUUCCAAUCAAAGUUAAGUAUAGUUUCUAUGCCUUCAUAUGAAUUCAUAAGGAAUUUAGGGUUUAAGGAAGUUGUCUAAGCUUGUAUACGCUGACUUCAUAUGAAUUCAUAAGGAAUAUCAAUGAAUGCGUUCAAAUGAAUUCAUCUUUCCCUUCACUAGGAGAGUACUUAGUUCCUUACCCUAACCAUUCUAAGCACUUUGAUUGAUACACUUUGGGACUUUAACAUAAGACAAUCAAUACAAAGGUAGAGAUGCAAAUUGGGAGUAUACCAUUGUAACAACCUGACAUUAGUCAAAGUCAGAAAAUACGGUUUCAAAACUCUAUUUCCGUAAACUGAGUCCAAAAAGACAAAAUAAGAAUAUUUAUGGAGUUUAUAGAAAAUAUAUUAAAGAUCGGUUAAGUAAUUUAACCGAGAAACUCAUUAAUUAAAGCUCAGGUGUUAAAUUGCAAUCGCUAUUGAAUUUUAAAUUGAAAAUGCUUGAAGACCAAAUUAACAAUUAGUCAAAGGACCAAAUGGUUAUUUAACCAUUAAUUUGAAAAGAGUUUUAAUUAAUGUAUUUUAAUUAAGUUUUGGAAACCUAUUUGCUUGUAUGAAUCGUCGAGUAGGUAUUAAAACAAAAUCAUAAUUGCUUCUACCACAAAUGUGGCAUUUCAUGUUUCGGACCGAACGACCGGGUCGUGUGCAAGGUCUUACAACCAUUGCCUUAAACAUAAAGGCUUCCAAUGUGCUCAUUUAUUUUUGCAAUAUAUCAAUAGGGGUUGGAAAAACUUUCUUGUUACAAAGGUAACCCAACUAGAUUCCAAGAGUUUUGGGGUCGCUCUACUCGUUUGAUUCCUACAUAUUCGAAAACCACCGCUUUUAUUGACUCCUACUUGAUAGACUAAGAUAUAAAUAAAGAUUUUCUAUAAUUGAUGGACAAACUUGAUAUUCCUCCAAAAUUCCCUUCCCUUAUUUUGUAUUCCUAAUUGCAUGCAUAAGUUCAACCCCUAAGAAAAUAUUAUCAAUAAUACGUCUCCCUUAUGGUGUAAUCAAUCUUGACUAGCCCCUUCAAUCUACUCACUGAAACUUUUGUUCAAAUUUUAUAAACCACAUUAUACAGGCUAAUUGGACAUUACCUUUAUCCUCAAGAUACGAGUGAUCUACGGUCUUAAAUUCUUUCAAUAAAAAACCAAAACAUGCUUGAGUUAUGAGAGGACCUACAAUAUCCCAGAACAUGCUAUCAAUCCCGGCAGCUUUAGAGCAUCAUUUUAAAAUAUAUACCACCUUUACUAUUUCUUCUGGUCUAAUCACCCCUCAAAGAUAGUUUAUGGGGUAAUCGUAAAAAAAAAAGAAAGAAAGAAACCCAUCAAUAAGAAAUAAAAAUAUCAAUUAAACUUUCAAUUCAACUCUUGUAGCUGAAAAAAUUAAUCAACGAAACCUUAAACUAACAUUGAUCGUGACAUUUUUAUUGACUUGACUAAAAUAGUAAUAAUACAUAACAUAUCAUAUGGACUGCAUAUUGACAUGACAUUUUUUACGCAUCAAGCAAAUAUUUAAAAAAUCGUUAACAAAUAGAUACAUUUUUUUAAAAAUAAUUAUUUAAAAUAAUAUAUCUAGAAUAAACCUAAAUAAACAACUAUCCACAUUCAUUUGAAUCUAGAUAACUAUUUAUCCAGACUCAUCUUGAACUUGAUUCCUUUGAUAAUUACUAAAAAUUAAAAAAAAGAAUAUAAAAGAAACUUUUUAAUAAUUAUAAGUUAUUAAAAUUAUUAAAAACUUAUAAAAGAUAUUAAAAACCACUGAGAUGAACCUAGACUCUUUUUUUUUUUUCACUUAACACGUACAAAACUAAUUUUCAUAGAAAACCAAAAUAAAAUUGUCAACAUUAUAGGGAUUAAACAAAUUUUUUACUGUUUUGCUCAAAAUACAAUCAACAAAUACUUAAAAAAUGAAAGCCCCAAAAUGAAUUCUAAAGCAUUGAAUACAAACAUUCACAUUGAGAAUAAGAAGUUACAUUGAAGCGUCACUAUAAAUAUAGUUGAAUGAGCUCAUCACUAAUCACGGAAGGAGUAAGCACACCCAAGUCUGUAUAGAGUAGAGUAAGAUAUUGAGGAGGAGUGUAAUCUCGAGCCGAUCUUUCUACCUCAACCUUGGAUGGGAUUAGUACCCCAAAAUCAAUGGGGUGUCGCGCAGGACUCAUAUCUUUUUGGUCCUAAGGAUAAUGUCGAGCAAACUACAAGGGAGAAGAAAUUCACAACUGAGUUAUGCUAGCCGGUAGUCUGAACCCUUCUUUCUAGGUUCGUUGUAUGUAGCCUAUUUCUUUGCUCGGAUUCAAAUACUUAAGAGCAAGAAAUGAAGCUUUUUAGUUACCUUGUAGCAUUCUGCAGCCACAUAAACAGGCUUGUUCAUGCUAUGUGCCACAAAUGCAAUCCGGAAUGGCGCCAUCAUGUUAAUGAUACCUUCACUUUCAACCACUCCAUCAGCUCCAAAGAGUACCAUGUCCACCUCAUCCAUAGUGUAUGCCACAGCAGAGUCUAUUAAAAGCUUUACGGGAACAUCAAGGUUGGCCAGCUCAUUAGAAAAUCGUAAUCCAGUUCUAUCUGGCCUUCCUUCUGUUUUAAAACAAUGUGAACUCUUUCAUAAACACCGCCAUCUGAUAUGACUUAGUAGAACAUAUGCAAAAAAAAAGAAGAUAAAAUGACUAGACUUCUUUUUUGGUGACAGCACAUUUGGUUUAAUCCUGUUAAGAAUUAGUUGCAUGCACAUGACAAGGUACACAGAAAGUAAAACCUGUGCAGAGAACUCUAAAAGUGUUUCUUGUUUUCAGCUGCUGUCUUCAAUACUUCGAGAACAACUCUAGAGAAACCAUGUACCAAAAUGGUACAACCAUCAAAAAUAAAAUCUUGACUUAGCAUUGCAAUAAUCCUGCGAGCCUACAAUGUUUGGCAAUAAUGUCUUUCAACAACAGGAAUGCUUCAAGUAUAAUUAAAAUGAAAUGAAACAGUAGAGAAGUAAUUUACUAGAAAAGCCACAAUUUAUCUGAAAUACCUUACAAGAUAUUUCCCCAAACUUCUCUGCACGUUCGAUCAGGCGAGACUUAGCUGAAUUAAAGUCCUCAUACUCUAAAGCUGAUGUUCUUGUUACAUACAACAUGAAGAGAUCACAACCAGCUGUCAACGAGAUAGAGGUUGUGUCCCAUGACUGGCAAUACAAACAUAAGCUUGAUGAUGAAAUUGAGAUGUUGAUGGGUGUUUAAAGGUAUUUUAUUAAGGAAUUUUGGAUGAAAUCAUGUUUUAGGGAUUAAUUAGUAAAGUUGUUGAAUUUAUGUGAAAUUCUAAAAUUUCAUCGAAUUUAUGGGAUGCUAUUGAUAUAUGUGAAAGUAUUUAGGCUUGGAAUAAGGAAUAAAUUACUUAAAUUUCAAUUUUCGAGCCUAGGGAUGAAAUCGUCAUUUAGUAAAAGUAUAGGGGCAAAAUAAUAAUUUUGCCUAAGAUGUGACUUGGAUAGAAUUGAAUGUAAAUUUUAUUAAGUUGAUGUUAAAUUUACUCAUAUAGAUCCGGAUAGAUCAAAUACGAAGCUAGAUCGAGGUAAAGAAAAAGUGACGGAUUAGUAGACAUCAAUUCACAAACACUUGUCGAGGUAAGUUCGUGUAACUAAAUUGUGUAUAUUUAUAUGCUUAAAUUUGAAUAUUGAAUAUGUAAAUUGUAUAAAUGUCAUGUAUGUGUAUAUAAUUUACCUCAUAUCCGAUAAUUCCUGAUAAAUGAGUCAUGUAUGUGUAUAUAAUUUACCUCAUAUCUGAUAAUUCCUGAUAAAUGAAUAAGUCCCAUAAAAUGAAUGAAACUCGAUUGGAUACAGGGUUCUGUUUCCCAAAAUGGUAAUGUUCCUGCAUAUGUUGCAAACGUCCGUAUCUCGAAAGAGCGUCCCGUUACAAGCCCUCUCAAGCUUCCCGUUAUAGUGUUCUUGCGAGCUUCCCGUUAAAUGCUCUUCUGAGUAUCUCGACUGGUUGUGUUCUGCAUAUGUUGUAGACACACCCACGCUCUUAUGGGUGUUCUGUUUAUAGGUUCUUUGUGAACCUCCUGUUAAAGUGCUCUUCGGAGCUUCCCGUUAGUGCUCGCUUGAACUUCCCGUUAUAUGACUAUCCGGUGCUCUCUGUUAAAGUGCUCUUUGGAGCUACCCGAUAUAGGCUCUUUGUGACCUGUUGUUAAGCCCAGAAAAGCUUCCCGUUAUAGUGCUUGAGAGAGAGCUUUCUGUUUAAGUGCUCUAAUGAGUACUCGACAUGAAUUGACAGAUUUCUGAUUUAUACACUUUAUGUGUGUAACAGCCCGAUCUUGACCCUAAUCGGAACAGUAGUUUUGGGACCACAAAUUCGAGUCUAAAAAAAUAUUUUAAUAUUAUUUUCUGUGUUAAUUAUGUGUGAAUUUACAUGUGUGAAAGUUUCGUAAAUUAAUUUUAUUGUUUGUGUGCUUAAUUUGAAAAAAAGGGGCUUAAUCGCGUAAAAUGAAAAUUUGAUGGCUAAUUAAGAAAGUGCCUAAUUGUUGUUGUCUUUAUAAGUUGGAGGCCUUAUGUUGUAAUUUAGCCAAUAAUAAUAGGUAGUGGAUGGCAUAAUGAUGAUAUGUGAUUUAUAUAUAUAUAAAAUAAAAGUUAAAAUAAUAUUAAUAUAAUAAUAUAUGUUAUAAUAAAACAAAACAUUAAAAGCCACUAUUUUUUUUAUGUUCAUCUUUCUUCACCGAAUGGAGAAAAGAAAAACAAGGUUUGAAAGCUUGAAACAUUCGGCCAUUUUGAAGCUUAAUUCAAGGUUGGUUUUUGUUCGGUUUUUGAUAAUUUUUACGUUUUUGAGAUCGUUGCUUUGAAUACUUCAAAACCCAUGUCUUAAUUUUGUGAAUUGUUGAUGAUUUUGAGAAAUGCCAUUGAUGAAUGCUUGAGCUUUGUGAUAGUUGAUGAUGAAAUAUGAAAGAUAUGUGAAAGAUUAACAUGUUUGUCUUUGAAUUUUUGAUGAAUUUGAGUAAUUAGGGUUAAAUUGUAAAAAUAAAUUUUUGAGGGACUAAAAUGUGAAAUAAAUGAAAUGUGUGGUCUUGUAUGGACACUAGGAAUAUUUGGCCCUUAAGGAGUGUAGUCAAAUUUUGUGUAUUUUGUGUUUUGAGCAAAAAGGACUAAAUUGUAAAAAGUGUGAAAUGUUAGGGGCAAAAUUGUAAUUUCUCAUUUAUGUGUUUUUAGGCUAAAUUGAAUAGAAUGGUGUUUAACUAAGCUUAAUUUGAAUAUGCUUAGAUUAAGAAUUAAAGAAAUCAAAUUUGGAUCGAGGAAAGACAAAAGUGGUGGAGUAGCCGAUUUAACAGUCGACGACAUCCGAGGUAAGUCUAUAGGCAUAUAAAUGUCGUUAAAUUUGAUAAUAUAUAUGUUACAUGUUGGAUGGAAUUUUUGUGAAUAUAUUUGUGUAUGGCCGAAUGUAUAUUGAGCAAAUGAGCUAUAUUCGAGUUCGAUUCGAUCGAGAUACGUUAUCCGAAAGUCCCGUACGAACCCUAGGAAUAGAUAGGAUACAUAUGUCAUGGCAUAGGAUUUUCGAUAUGUGUUAUCGUGUAAGACCACGUCUGGGACGUUGGCAUCGACUUGUGUUUACGUGUAAGACCCUGUCUGGGACAAUGGCAUCAAUAUGUGAUUACAUGUAAGACCACGUCUGGGACGUUGGCAUUGUACGAGUCUUCCGACUAUCCGAGUAUCCUUUUUAAUUCCGAAUGGUUCAACGGGAAAAGAUAAGUUGUGUACGAAUGUAUAAAUCGGGCUAAGUGACCAGGUAUGUGAUAGUUAAUUACCUAUUUGAAAAUAAGGCAAGUUGUAUACUUGAAUUGAUGAUAUGAAGUUAUGUGAAAUAUGGAUUAUGUUAUUGCAUAUUUGAAUAUAUAUGUAUUCGACCUUGAUGUAUAUGUGCAUUGAGGAAAGUGAUGAUUGGUUAUAUUAAUGUUCAAUGGAUUAUUCAGUAAAGAGGGAAGUUAUUACAAAUUAUAUAAGUUUUGAUAUAUAAGUUGAUAAAUUGAAUUAUAUGUGAAAUUAUAAUGGUUUAUUACUAAUUGUCUAGCUCAAUUUAUGUAAAUGAUUAAAUGUUUAUUUGCUUAUGAAUACUAAGCUUUAAUAGCUUACUGUGUGUAAUUGCUUUCAAUUUUAUAGAUUUGGAAGUUGGUUAAGAGCGGGGAUCGUCAGAGAAGUCUAUCACACUAUCGACUAUUUUCGGUAUUUUACUAAGUUUGAAUUUAAACUUAUGGCAUGUAUAGUCUAGUUAAUAUGUUUGAUUUUUGGGGAUGUAAAUAUGAGCCAUGCGAAAAUGGCUUAUUUAUUUUGUUAAGCAUGGUUUUUAUGCUUUCGAUCAAGUGAUAGAUAUGUUGAUUUUGGUAUUUCGGCUAUGGCAUAUUUAUUUAUGUGAAUUAUGUUUGAUAUAUUUUGUUAAUAAGGUGGUAAAUAAUUCGGCAUAGGUGAGCUUAGUUAAAGCAUAUAAUUGAAGUGAGUUUCGUAUAAUAUGUUAAUCUCUGAAUCGGCCAUGGUAUAUAUAUUAUGGUGUUUUAGUCAUGUGCUUCGGUAAUGAGGUAAAUGAUAUUCAAGCUUAAUUAAUCUUGGUUAUGUGUUAUAUAUAUAUAUGAUAUGUGUGAUAUGUUUGGUUUUGGUCUUGGUGUUUCGGCUAUGGUUUAUUUAUAAGUAAAUAUAUGUGAAUCUUGUUUGAUAUGCUUUGUUAAGGUAUUGUUAUGUAAUUUAGUAAUUAAGUGAACUCGGUUAUGGCAUAUAGGUGAAAUGCUAAGUAAAUCAUAGAUGAAAUGACAGUUAAAUUUGGUUUGUAAGAGUAUAUUUGCAUUAAUAAAUUGAUUUGAAAGAAACUAGUAAUGUGCAUAGGUAUGUACGAUUAUAAGGUAUGGAAGAAUAUGUGUAUAUUUGGUCAUGAUCUAGACCUGUUUUGGAAGUGUGUUUUAUGCUAUAAAUUGGUGUAUGGAUAUAGGUUUGGAAAAUGUGAAUUGAUAUGUAUGAUUUUACUAUUUGAAUCGAUAUGGUUUGAUUAGUAAAUGGCAUAUUUUGACUUAUGAUUUAAUGACUAAAUCUUGUACAAUUUAUGAGGUUAUUUAUGGAUGCCAAUUUGUUAUGAAAUAAAUUAGGAAUGUCGAGUAUUUAAUAAAGGUACGAUUUGCUCAUGCAAGUGGACUUAAUAUUCGAUUUUAUAUUUGUAAAAUGAUAUGAAUUGUAUGGAUUUUUGGAUAUGGCUAAAAUGGUGUAUUCAUAUGCGCAAACUUGUAAUAGAUAAAUAUGAAUGUUUUGGUCUUUUGAAUGAUAUAUAUAUAAAUGAUUUUAAGGUAGGUUUAAAAUUUAUGAAUAAGAUACAAACAAAUUCGAGUAAUGAUAGUUAAGUGAGUAAAACAAGUUUGAAUUUAGCUUUUAUAAAUUUAUUGGAUUAGUCAAUUAAAGGAUAAGUUGAUUUGUAUUGAGCGUAUAUAAUUUAUGAUUGAAUGAUUUCACUGAAAUGGUCAUAUGUGUAUAAUAUAAUGGCAUAAAAGGUAUGUACGACCAUAAUAUAAUGUUACUAAUGUUGUAUAUGUGAUUGGACAUUAAGUUGUAUACAUAUUGGUUUCAUUAUGUACAUAUACAGAAGUUAUGAAAUGCAAUGUUUGAUAUUUAGAUAGUAAAAUUAUGUACGGAAGUAUUUUCUAUAUAUGAAAAGUGAAGAUAUAUGCUUGAAUAUGAUUUAAUUAUGAAAAUGUCAUUAAUACGAUGGAUUUAGGGAAAUCGAAUAUUGAAAGUAUUUUAAUUUAACAUGACUCUGAUGUAUACAAGUUUGGUUCGAAUUUGUUAAUUAUAGAAUAUGUUCAUUGAGCUUUGAUGUAUGUUUAAAUUGAAUUAGUUUAAAUUUUGAAAUGUGUUUAUUUGUGAUACAUGCUUAGUAAGGUAUGAUUGAUUUGAAUUGUAAUUAUCAUUUUAUACAUAUUUGAAUUUAAAAUAAGUAAAAUGAGGAUAUUCAAGUUUGAUAAUGUUAUAAAUGAAUCGUUAUUCUUUGGUGUAUGAAAGGAGGUAAAUGACUGUGCUGAACUGUGUCUUGUUCGGUAAUGCCUUGUAACCCUAAUCCGAUGACGGAUACGGGUUAGGGGUGUUACAAUAUGUACUACCCUCGUAUCCAUCGAGAUUUCAAAUGAUUCAACAGGUGAAAUUCUGACAUGAAGACAAGUGAAAAUUAAAAUGAAAUCAAUAUAUGAAAAAUACAUGAAAUGCAUGGAACUUGGUAUUUGAUGAGCUCAUCUUUGGUGUUGAUAUUUACAUGAAAUGAAUAACUAACAUAUUUGAUGAGAUUAUGUACUUAGGCUAUGGCCAAGUUGUUUGGAAUGCAUGAGUAUGUUUACUUAGUGUACAAAUGAAUGGUAAGUUUACUUCCCGUUAUACGAACUUACUAAGCACUAAGUGCUUACUCUGUUUUAUAGUACUCGGAAGCUCGUUGGGUUGGAAGCUUGGCGGAGAUCACUCACACUAUCCAUUGGCUCACUUUGGUAUAUUUAUGACACUAUUUUUGGAUAUAAUGGCAUGUGUAGGCUUGGUUAGCCAAAGUUGGCAUACAAAUAUUUUGGUUGUAAAUAGCCAUUGGAAUGGCUUGUGAUGAAUGUGUUUUGGCAUAUUAACAUAUGAGUUAAUUUCAUGUUUGGUAUAAGUGCUUAAUUUGGUUUAUGAAUAUUAGUAUGAUAUUAAGUAAAUGUGGUCAAAUAUAUAAAUUCACAAACAUGGAUUAUGAAGUGAUAUGGUAAGUAUGAGACUUGAGUUUUGCAUGUUUUUAAAUGUUUUAGAUUGACUUUUGGAUGUGUUAAAAUGUUUGCAUAGGUGAGUGAUCAAAUAGGUGAGAAAUAAGGCUUGGAAAUGACAUUAUUUUGUCCACACGGGCAGAGGCACGAGUGUGUGUCUUAGUCGUGUGUGACACACGGCCUAGCACAUGGGCAUGUGUUCUAGCCAUGUGUCCCUUGCAUUUUAAAAUUUUAAAAUAGAGCACUUGAAAUUGAUCACACGGUCUGGCACACAGGCAUGUGACUUGGCCGUGUGACCCCUGCACUUAAUUAAGUUGCAAGUCAGAGAGUUACACGGGUUAGAGACACGGGCGUGUGCCCUACCUCAUAUACCACACGGCCUAAGACAUGGGCAUGUCACUUGGCCGUGUGAGCCACAUUGCUUGACCACACAAGCGUGUGACCCCUGAACCUAGGAAAAAUUUUGAAAUUUUGUAAAAAUUCUCUAAGUUCCCGAUUCAGUCUCGACUCAUUUCUAAUGUAUGAUUUGGGCCACGAAGGCCUAUAGAAGGGACGAUAUGGUUAAACCCUGUUCCAACGACGGAUACGAGUUAGGGAUGUUACAUUAUCGCCUUUCGGUUACUUAACCUAAUAAUUCAAAGGAUUGGUUAAAACUAAAAUUGACUAACUAAAAUAACUAACGAAUGUGUCAAAUAGCAAAACACGAAAAUAAUCUAAUAUCAUCCGAUUUACUAAACGAUACCCACGUACGAAUCCACUUAGAAUUCAUCUAAAAUUCUCAAUUUAAUUUAUGCAAUUUAUUUCCUUAGUUUCCUUGAUCCAUAGAAAUCCCUAACUUAUGCUAAUAUCUCUUUCGAGCAUAAAAGCAACUAACUCUAGGUUGAUUAAUUGAAAUUUCCUUCUAAUUAAAACCCUUAUUAUCUCAUUAAUUCACUCUAUGGAUUCUCUUAUUAGAUUUGAUUCUAAUUUGGUAGAUUUGUAUCGACCUAUUUCUAGGAUUAUAUGCAACUCCAUUCGACUAUGCAAAAUCUAAUUACAAGAAGGGUCUAUUCAACCUCAAACUCAUGCCCAUCAAACAUGGAUUAAGACCCUAGAAAUAUUAACCCAAGAAAAAAUUUAGAAUUCAUAAUUGAAAAUAAAGAUGCUAAGAUUUUAUUGCAUAAAACUAUAAAUCAAAUAAUAUCAUCCAUCGUAAGGCUCGUCUCCUCUAGGGAUUUAGAAAAUUAGUUCAUACUUGCAAGAAUAAACACCGAUAAUACAAUAUAACCAUUAAAAUAAAAGAAACCUAUGAUAACUUCCUCAGAAAUCAAUUUGGAAUCUUUAAUUUUGAUGGAGAACUGCUUUGAAAUCAACUUCAAUGGUGUUCUUUUGGGUAAUUUUCGUGCUAAACCAAGACGGAUGUUGUUUUCCCUUUUUUAUUUCCUUAUAUAUGCCUUCUUAAAGUACCAAAAACUUAAAAAUUUAAACUUCCGACUAUCAUUGUACACCGUUCCCAAAAGUUACACACCCUUGCCACACACCCUUGUGGUUCACAUAGCUUUGUGGUCUGGCUGUGUGAAAAUCUGUUACCCGUGUACAGCUUCCAGACUGCUUCAAUGUUAUGAUUUUCACUUGUUUUUCGCUCUAUUUGUUCCCAAGUUCUCUAUUAAGCUUCAAAACAUGAAUUUAAAGGAUUAUAAGUAUAUAAUUCACAAUUAACACCACUUUAUUACCCAAAAAUGCACUAAGAAUGAGGCUAGAAUAUGUUACUUUUGACACUUAUCAAAUAUCCCUAUACUUAAGCAUUUAUUUGUCCUCAAGCAUAGGUCUCGGCUCACAUUCAAAUUAACUUUCCUUCACCCAUUAUUUUCACUAGUCAUGGCUUAGGAUAGUCUAUAUAUAAUUCGAAAAUUAAACUAAAAUGACAAUAAAGAGCAUGAGUAAUCCAAGCAAAAAUUUUAAUUUCAAAACAUAGGAUUCUCCCCUACCUUAUAAUGACUUGAAAUUCAAACCCAACCAGAUUUAACAUCCUUACUAAGUUUCACUCAAAACACUCAAAGUGUUUAAAGGUUAAUUAAUAUGCACUCAAUAGUCAAACAAGGAAUGUUAUUACCAUAAGCUUGCUUAAGAAUCAAAUCUCCACCACUACAAAUAUGAGAUGACACAAAGAUCAAGAGGUUUUUACAAGGGUUGUAACGGGGAUUAGGUUAAGAGUAUAGAAGGUAUAAAAGGUGAAUAUAGUUGAGAGUUGAAAUGAUAAGUUACCAAACUAAAAGAAUAAGAUGCUGAAUUGCAAAAAUUUAACAUUAAAGUGAAACAAAGAAUUGAAGUGAGCUUUUAUAUAUGGUGAUGAUGAUGAUUUAAGCUCAAAAAAAAAAAAGAUAAUGAUGCUUAUAACAUGAAUAUUGACCUCUCAAUUGAACAAGAUAGCCUAAAGAAUUUUUAGAAUGAUCGAACAUAUCUAGGAAAUUUACCAAAAAUCUAAUCUCAAUUUAAGGGAAGCAAUAAAAAAGGUAAUUCACAAAAUUAUUGGGGUUUAAGGGUUAAAAUGGAAGGGGUGAUAAACAAACAAAAAGGGAUUAGGCUCAAAGGGGUUUACUAGUGGGCAAUGAAAUGGGUAGGCUAUUUAAAUGUUAAAUGGUUUAAAUCUUAAGUAUCUCUAUCAUCUCAGUAUAUCAAAUCAUUAUAUUUGAGAAUUCACAACAAAUGUUGGAUCUCAGUAACAUUUGUAAUCAAUCUCAUACAAGUGCGCACAAGACCUUAUUUACAUGCCAAUUUUAUCCUAACAUUUACUAAGUUCACAUGAGCAUCUCUUACACAUAUAAAUAUAUAUUUUCAAUUUAGUCCAAUUCUAACAUUUAGAACCAAUCAAUAAAUCCACAAUCACACACUUAUACACAAAUCAAAUCAAUUAAUUAUUUUAAAUAUAAUUAUUUUUAGUAAAAAUAAAUUUUAUAUGUGAAAUAUUUAUUUUUUUUCCAUCCAUAUAAUGGGUCUGACAAAUUUUAGUAUUAUAUAUUUUUUAUGUGUAUUUUAGAUAAUUAUUUGAAAUAUUUUACAUAUAAAAACAAUGAUAUUUGAAAUAAUUAUUUUUAGAAUAUUAGAAUUUACCAUACUUGCAAUAUAGGUGAAAAUAUAUUGAUAUUUGUAAUAGUUAUUUGAAAUAUUUCACAUAUAUUUGAAAUAAUUUACAUAUAAAAUCAAUAGUGAUAUUUGAAAUAAUUAUUUGAUUUUAUAAUAUUAGAAUCUACAAUAUCCACAAUGUAGGUGAAAAAAAAAUAUUUCACAUAUAAAAAAUUAUAUUUACUAUUUACUAAAAAUAAUGAUAUUUGAAAUGGUUAAUUGAUUUUUUUAUAGUAGAAUUUAUCGUACUUACAAUGCAUAUAAAAAAAAUAUUUGAUGUAUAAAAAUUAUAUAUAUAGAAAAAUAUAAAAAAAUUAGUUGAUGUUUUUUAAAAAAUAAAAAAUAAAUAACAUAAUGAUACUUAUGAAUAUAUUUUCACUAUAUCCACAAUGCAAGUGAAAAAAAAUAAUGAUAUUUGAAAUAAUUAUUUUUAUAAUAUUAAAAUUUAUGUUACCCACAAUGUACGUAAAAACAUUUUUUUUUAUAUAAAGAAUUAUUUAUAAAGAAAAAUAUAUCAAAAAAUUAGUUGAUGUUUUUAAAAAUACAUAUAAUUUUAACAUAAUGAUACAUAUGAAUAUAUAUUCAUCAUAUCAAUAAUGUAAGUGAAAAAAUAAAGAGAUUUGAAAUAAUUAAUUUUAUAUGUUAGAAUUUACGAUACCCACAAUGUACGUAAAAAAAUAUUUGACAUAAAAAAUAUAUAAAGAAAAAUAUAUCAAAAAAAUAGUUGAUGUUUUUAAAAAAUAAAAUAUAUUAACAUAAUUAUAUAUAAAUUAUUUUCAUUAUAUAAUUACAUAUUUAUUAUUUUGUGUGUAUAAAUAAAGAAGUGAUUAAUUAAAAUAAAAAUAAAAAGUUAAUUGAAGACUUGAAAAUAGCAUGCUUAUUAAUUAAAAAUUAAGAAAAAAAAGCUUGAAGAAAUAUUCAUUAGGAAAAAAAAAAUAAUAUAUGGGGGGGGGGGAUUCGGAUAUGGGACUUAAGGGUAGAAAAUGCUAGAAAAAUAAUGAGGUCCUUGGAAGUAAUAAAUAUUAAUAUUUUGAUAUUUUAUAAAAAAUUUAUAAACUAUAUAAGCAUAAUAGGAUUUGAACUUAAGUUACUAUGACUUCAACGAUCUUAUUCUUGUUAUCAGAACAUUAUUUAUUUCUUUUUAUAAACAUUUACAUAUAUUUUUUUUAGAUCUAACAAACAGGGAAGGCAUUUGGUAAAUUUCUGGAUUUGCAGUAUUUUUUUCUUCAAGCUAAUUAAUUCAAUUUUGUAUGGUGUUAUCCAGGAAGAAAUAGAUCAACAAAAAUGGGAGCUGAGGAGCCUGAAGAGAACAUCACUCACAUGGAUGCUUGGCUUUAUAAGGCAGCAGCAGAAGGCAACAUUGAAGUAUUCAAUAAUAACCAGCGGCUUCAACUUGAGCCGCUAAAGACCCCAAACCAUGACAACCUGCUCCAUGUUAGCUUGGCAACCCAGGAGAAUGCUGUCUGGCUUUUUAACAGCGUUCACUCAAUAUUUAAAUCGUCCCCGCACAAUAUGUAUUCUCCCUGAUAGAUUUUGUAUCACACGAUCCGGGUUUCAAUAUUUUCGUAACUGUGAUAAGAAGAGACAAAAUAUCUGAUUUUAUCAGACAAAUUCUGUUGGGACAAUGGCAGCAGCAAAAAGAAAAGAACAAGACAGAGAACAAAGGAGGAAGAAACAAAAACAAUUUACUUGCUCACAAACGUGCAACAAGGAAGCAAUCUGAGUUUCACAACUGAUAUGCUUGAUUUUUCAAUAAGAAAAACAAUACAUUUAUAGCCAACUAUAUCAGUUAUUAUUACCUAAUACCACUAAGUAGCCUAGUAACUUUAAAAACAUUGCUUACACAAACAAGCCACCUAAACUAGUCAUUCAACACCUAAACAUAUCAAGCUGUCAUCAGCUUGUUCAUUUCCAAGUAGUUUAAUCAACAAAGAAACUAAAAAGAAAAACUUGUUGUUACAGCAAGUAUAUGUGCUGCAGCAUGUCAUCAAGCUGCAUGCACUUCAACCAAAACAUGUAUCAGCAGCAUGGUUGGCCAAUUUCAACACUCCUCCUUGGACUCCAUGCUGCAAAUACCAAUCAUUCAUCAAGUUUUUUGAACUUGGCAGCCCUUAGAUGCUUUGUUUCAAGCUGACCAAUUCAUUUUCAACCUUGGCCUCAUUCACAAACAAAUCUGAUUUACACACUUGACUAUCCCAGUCUUUUGUGCCAAAGAUUUGUUCACCAAAUGGAGUCUUCUCCUCCUUCACAGCCUUGGUUGACAACACAUCUUGCCUUGUUUCUUUGUUCAUAACAAUCUUGUUUCUUCUUGCACAAACAGUUCGUGAGUAUAGUUUGCUUGCACAAACUGUCUUCAACAGGCUUGCAACUAUACAACACGCAUUGAGCUUCCACAUGUUGCUGAGCUCACACCUUUGACAGACUCACAUCUUUGCAUAUUGUCUUCAACAGGUGUCUUCAACAGGCUCGCACUUUGCUAAGCUUGCAGCUUUGACAUCUUGCUAAGCUUGCACAUUUGGAAAGCUCACACCUUUCCUUGAAACUCCUCCUCCGGCUUAUUCAAGCUUGUUUGGGGGUCUUAUAAGUUUGAGCCGAUGUUGAGCAGGGGAAGCAAAAUCAAUGGUCCCUUAAGACUUAGGCUCUGAUACCAUUUGUUGGAACAAUGGCAGCAGCAAAAAGAAAAAGAACAAGACAGAGAACAAAGGAGGAAGAAACAAAAAUAAUUUACUUGCUCACAAACGUGCAACAAGGAAGCAAUCUGAGUUUCACAACUGAUAUGCUUGAUUUUUCAAUAAGAAAAAUAAUACAUUUAUAGCCAACUACAUCAGUUAUUACUACCUAAUACCACUAAGUAGCCUAGUAACUUUAAAAACAUUGCUUGUACACAAACAAGCCACCUAAACUAGUCAUUCAACACCUAAACAUAUCAAGCUAUCAUCAGCUUGUUCAUUUCCAAGUAGUUUAAUCAACAAAGAAACUAAAAAGAAAACUUGCUGUUACAGCAAGUAUAUGUGCUGCAGCAUGUCAUCAAGCUGCAUGCACUUCAACCAAAACAUGUAUCAGCAGCAUGGUUGGCCAAUUUCAACAAAUUCUCAGCAAAUGUCCAUCACUGCUACUCCAGACGAAUGCUAAAGGUCAAACUCCUUUGCACGUUGCAGCAAGGUAUGGAGAUUCUACUAUUGUGAAACUUCUAAUCAAGUCUUGUGCAAAAGCUAGAGAUGGAGAUUUAGAGAAGCUGGGAAUGGAUCAAGUAAAUGCAGUGGGGGAGAUGCUGAGGAUUACAGAUCAGGAAUCCAACACGGCUUUACACGAAGCAGCAAGGCGUUACAAUGUUGAAGUGGUGAAAGCAUUAUGUUGGAGUUUGAAGACCCUGAUUUUCCGUAUUCCGCCAACAAAAAACAGGAGACUCCACUUUACAAUGUUGAAGUGGUGAAAGCAAUGCUGCACACUUGGGUUAUAGAUUAUCAGUUGUGGAAGAAGUGUUAAAAAGGGAUGUAUCAGCUGCCUAUAUAAGUGAUAAAAAGAGGGGGAUGACACCCCUGCUUAUGGCAGCCAGGUAAAGCUAUCUUGGAACAGUUUCAAAGAUUCUCUCUUUAUGUCCAGAUUGUUGUGAAAAAGUGGACAACAAAGGUUUGAAUUUACUUCAUUACCUGGUUUUUAGAGGCGCUUUCUCUCCAUUAAGAGUUUCUCCUUUGAAAUGACACUCAAGAAGUUUAUUAUGCACUUCGACCUAAGAAACAAGAUCAGAAACAAGUGUGUGUGUAUAUAUUGUAUUUCCAUGGCUAUGGUUUUAUUAAUAUUUAAGUUUUGAAUUAACAUAUUUAAUAAAUCUUCAAUACAAUCAGCUAAUGUGGGUGGCAUGGCAGAAACAAAUCAAUGAUUUGUUGGAAGAAAUUGAGACUGAUCAAGUGGCGGAGGACCCAGUUCAACUCAAUCUCUUGCCAACUAUCUCUGCAGAAAGCUUGGAGAAGACAAGAGAUGCUCAUUUAGUAGUGGCAGCACUUAUAGCCACCAUCGCAUUUGCAGCGGUAAUCCCGGUGGUUUGAAUAGCGAAAAAGGGUCAGAGCAAGGCGCUCCCCUUUUGAUUGAUGAGGCGGCAGCCUUUAAAGCAUUUGUUGUAACAAAUGCAUUGGCCUUUAUUCUCUCUGUUUCUGCCAUCUUCAUCCACUCCGGGGUUCUGGGUAAUAUGUUAUCAGGAUUUAAGUUUGGGCAUCGGACAGUUUUAUAUCGAACUCUGUCUGUUUCUGGGAUCCUUUUUCUAUGCAACGUUUGCAAUGUUGAUUGCUUUCAGCACAGGCUGUUAUGUGGUCUUAAAACCUUCCCACGGACUUGCCAUUGUUUCAUAUCUCAUCUACCCUGCCUUUUUUGUCUUUAUGUUGCUAAUUUUGAAUCUUACAUCAUAUAUGUAACAUAUAAAUAUGAGAAUAUUACUUUAUCACGGAUUACUAUUCUUCCAAUUCCUAGUGUCAAUGUUCUCUUUGAAGAAAUAUUACUUUUAAGUUUUUUUUAGAUAUAUCUAACUCAUCAGUAUUAACAAUCUCCAUUUAAUUGAAAUCAAUGUUAUUAGUUGAUAAAUACACAUUUUCAAAAAAAAAUUAAAAAAAUUCAUAAUUUAUGUAAAGUAAAAUUUAUUAAAUAUAAAAAAAUAAUAAAUAUGUUGUAACUAAUUUUCCGUUAUAAUUAAAAAUUAGUUUGAGGAAUCAUUGAAAAAUAUGAGAUUUUUAAGUUCACCACCAAUUUUUGUUGGCUAGGUGUGAUCAAACACCUAUAAAAUCACUCUUUAAAAAGAAAAUUUUGAUUUAAAAAAAAAUUAAUUUUGGGUACGAUAGAAAUUCAGAAAAUAAAUAUUUAAGUUCAAGAGUUGAUUACGUGAAAAGAAGGUUUUAGCACCCAUGCCUAAAAUUGAUAGUUUGUUAAAUAUAUUCGUCAAUUAAAAUUUAUAUCUCGGUAUUUAAUUAAAAUCCAAAAUUUUGAUAAAUUAAAAAUAAAUAUAUGAAAGAUGUCCAGAUUGUUGUGAAAAAUUGGAAAAAAGAGGUUUGAAUUUACUUCAUUAUUUGGCUUUUACAGACCGUUCCUACAAUUAAGUCAUUCUCUUUUCAUGACUGGUGGUACUAUGGCUGCAUAUGGAUCAAUAAGAAAUCUAAUGAAGUUGAAAGGUGACUUUGGAUUUACAGCAGCAAUAACUCUACCUGGUGGUUUGAAUAGUGAAAAAGGAUCAGAGCAGGGCAAUCCUUUUCUGAUUGAUGAGGCAGCCUUCAACAAAUGCAUUGGCCUUUAUUCUCUGUUUCUGCCCUCUCCAUCCAGUUUGGGAUUCUGGAUCUUCUUUUAUGUUUCUAAUCUCCUUGAUUGUGCAGUGGUUGUGAUGGUGAUUGCUUUUAGCACAAGUUGUUAUGUGGUUUUAAAACCUUCCCAUAGACUUGGUACCGAUUCAUGUUUCAUUUGCCCUGCCUUCUUUGUUUAUUAUUACAUACAACAAUACCUAGCUCUCGUGAAGAUGUUGUACUAAAAAGUACUCAUAUUGUGUGAGACAAUAAAACGAAGAGCUCAUGGAGGCCCUCAUGAUAGAACAAUUUUGCAUGCAGCAGUUAUGGCUGUAGAUGCCAGGCAAUUACAUAUGCAAAUAUAUUUAUUAACAACUUCAUUCCCCCCCAUCUCUGUAUUAAACCGAAAGUCCAUGUGAUUCCAACUGUUAAGCACCAUGGGAAGUGUUGAAAUAUAUAGGAAGUAAUAAGAAUUUUAUACAUAAUAAUGAAUUUACUAAUUUGACAUUUUUCGUAAUUAAAUUUAGCGUUUAAUUUUUUAAAAAGAGUCAAAUUUGAUCAUUUACUUUUAAAAACUAUUUAAUUAUCGUUUUUACACUAAAAUAUUAAAAUUUUAAAUAUAGUAGUUCGCGUGAAAGUUGGCAUGAACUUCAUGUUAACUUUUUCAACUUUUAAAUUUUUUAUAAUUUUUAAAUUAUUUCUUGACGUGCCGGAUAAAUAGUGUUAUCUCACAGUUUACGAGUUUUUCCAUUCCUAUGAUAAAAAGAGAAACGAGAUCAGAUUUUAUGGAACAAAUUCUCAGCAAGUGUCCGUCACUGCUACUCCAAACGAAUGCUAAAGGUCAAACUCCUUCGCACCUUGCAGCAAGGUAUGGGCAUUCUGCUAUUGUGAAACUUCUAAUAAGUCUUGCGCAAAAGCUAGAGAUGGAGAUUUAGAGAAGCUGGGAAUGGAUUGAGUAAAUGCAGCGAGGGAGAUGCUGAGGAUUAGGGAUCAGGAAUCCAACACCGCUUUACAUGAAGCAGCACGGUGUGGCACAGGGAUUUAAAUUGCGGUCGCGGUCGUAUUUUCGGUCGCGUCGCGUUUGUCGCGGUUGCAGACAUAACGGACGCUAUUGCGAUUACUGCGGGUAUCACGGUCGUGAAUUUUUUUAAAAUUCGUACAACUUAUUAUAAAAUAUAGGAAUUAUAAUUAUAAUUAUAAAAAGUCAUUUUUUAUGAUUUUUAGAGUUUUAAAUAUUUAGACUUUGAUUGCUUUUUGCUAUUUAUUUGGACUUCUUUUUUUUUAAUAACAUUAUAUUAGGCUUUUAUUAAUAAAACAAAAUUAUAAAAACUGCACACUUAUAAUUCUAAAAAGGCCCAAAGCAGAUGGCCAAAAGUAAAAAAAUCUAGAUAUUUUUAAAGUAAAAAAAUCUAGAUAUAAUCCUAAAAAAAGGCACCGAUUCCUUGCCCAAUCAGCUGAAAUCUGCCCUCUCUUCUUCCCAUAAUCCAUCAUUUCAUUUUCAAUUUGACCAUUUCCUUUUUCAAAACUUUUCCUUCCGAACCGUUCCAUUUUCUUAUUGUUUUGAAGCUUUCUUCCUUCCGUUCUUCCUCUCCUGGUGCUUUCUAGUCUGGUUCACAUAGCCAAUCGUAUCUUCUUUGUUCUUCAGCGUACUCAGGCCCUCAGGGAGCUCCAUUUCCAGGCAUACCUCCUCUUUUUUGUUUUUUGUUCUUUUUCCUGUUGUCUUCUUUGUUCUUUGUUCUUUUUCCUUUUUUUGAUUGAACUGUGUUUCAGUGUUUCUGUUGAUUUUUGUUUAGAGGGGAUGAUUUUUUUUAAUUUGCUGUUAACGGAAAAUAACGGGAAUAGCGGCCCGUUAUUGCCGCAAUUGGCCAUUACCCGUUAAAUUGCGGCCGUGAUCCACCGCUAUCGGUGUGACUCCGCUUCUCACCGCUAUUUUCAGCAAUUGCGGUUUCGGACGGCGCCGCUACCGCUAUAUAACGGCCGCUAUUUCGGUAACGGACCGUUAUUUAAAUCCCUGGUACUGUGGCAUUGUCGAAGUGGUGAAAGCAUUGUUGGAGUUUGAAGACCCUGAUUUUCCGUAUUCUGCCAACAAAAAACAGGAGACUCCACUUUAUAUAGCAGCUAUGGCUGGAGAUGCAGGUAUGCUGUUGAUAUUAAUAAUUUUGAUAAAAUGUCUGCAAUUUGUUAAAAUGCAACCUGAAGCUUAGAAAACUUUCCAGCAUCAGAAUUAACAGGAAGAGCUUACAUCAUGAUUUCAUGGAUUAUGAACUAUACAUUUAAAUUACAAAUUGAUAGAAGUUGUUUUUGUUAGUACAAAUUUUCGAUGAGGAAAAUUUCGAACACACGAACGAAACUUGAACAGCAAAUAAAGAAAUAAGACAAGGCUUCAAAGUGUGUAUCAAGUCGCUAUUUUUAAGGUUAUAUUCGCCUCCACCUAUGUUUAGUGUGCAAAAGAGUUUCGAGUAAAUUAAUCUCAAGGAUACAAUGAAGCCGAUGACUAUUUGUGUUUUGCACUGACGAAAAUAAAUCGCUAAGCACUGAGCAAUAUAUAACAAGAAACUCAAUUUAAAAAAAAAAAUUUACGGUAAUACUUUAUAGAAUAAUCUAAUAAUAUUUGAAGAUGGAGGAAGGAAAGAAAGAAUUUUAGAAUUUGUUGAUAUAAUUUUCAAAUAAAAUCUCAUUCCUAUUUAUAAGAAUUUUCAUGUUUCUCCGUAUACUCUUCGUAGACUCUUUAAGAAAGUGAGAAUUUUAUCCAAUUAAUGUUUUUGUUUCUUGUUUUGUUUAAUGAAGACCAGAAGUUAGGAAGCUCGACAAGAGUUUAAGCCUCCGUUUUGUUUGUUGUUAUUUUCAUUAAUUCCUAAUCUAAUUUGAUUCUACAGUUUUAUAACGUUAUUAAUUAAUCAAAAUUGUUAAUACAAUUAAUUUUUCGAUUAAAAAAUUUCAUGAUUAUAUAUAAUUUGAAUGUUUUAAGGGUUUUAGAGAUGAAUACGUGACUCAUUAUUUCUUUUAGGUUUGCCUUACUUUUUUUUAUAUUAUAAGAAAAUGAUCAAAUUUUAAUUUUAGCCCUUACACAAUGUGAAAAUUUGGGAUUUAAUUUAUAUACAUUAUUUUUUACAUAAUUUGAUCAUUCUUCUUUUACAAUGUCAUUAGUUAGCCCUUACACAAUGUUGGCAUCAAUAUUUUUAGGAAUCCUAUUCCAAGAAAAAAAUAUUCAUGACGAGUUCGAAUGAAUGUUCUAAAGGAAAAAUCUAUAUAAACAUUUUCAAUGUUAUUUUUAUUUUUAUAUGACUACCAAGUAAUUUUUUUUAAUUUUCAAAAUAUCACACUAACAAAUUUAAUAGAAGAAUUUUAGUAGUAGUAAUGAUUGGACCUAAAAUUUUAAAUCUAAAAAAAAUAGAGGGUCUAAAGUUCUAAAAAUAAAAGUAUGCUUAAAGUAUAUUGUCCUUUAAAUUGUACUGCAUAAUUUAAUACAAAUAAAUAAUGAACCCUUUGCGAAGCAUGAGAUUCAUACUAGUUUAUGAUUAGGUUAAUGGACAUUAAUUACCAAAUUUGCUAAAGUGUCUAUUUGAUGAAAUAAAACAAUCACACGUCUAAAACAUAUAAGGUUGUGGAAUGCUUGUACUAUUAUAAAUAGAGGUGGUUUCUCCACUUUUAGAUUAUCCCGAAAUUUGUUGUUUUUUUUUUGUAAUUUUCUAUUUUAUCUUUUGCAGUAUAAUAUAUUUGGUAAUAUUCAAGGACGUAGGCAUAAUUUGCUGAAUCUCAUCAAAAUUUUGGUGUUUUUAUUAUUAUUUUUUUCUCAAUAUUUUGUAGAGUAUAUUUGUAGUGAUAUAUUGGGCUUUAAGCAGGAUUAUAUGUGACCCUUUCAAUCUUUAUUGAGAAUUGAACAAGUAUUUUUUACGACAAUAAUUUACUCACUUGUAUCCGGUUCACACAACACUAUUAACUCUUUAUGAUUAUACUAACAAUUUAGUCUUAUUUUUCUCUUUUGAUAGUAAAAAAGUAGCAGCAAAAAGCUUCAAAACAAACCAAAUCAAAGACUAAACUAGUUUCCAUGGUAAGUAAGCAGGUCCAAAACACCAGGUGAUGGCUCUUCAAAAAAAUGCAGAGUAAUUCCCAAAUCAGGACCCAGCGGCGCCAUAAAGUCUGCAAUCUUAGUAGCUUCCCGUCUCUUAUGCAUAAAUUGGAAUCCAUCUGCCAAUAGCUUGGUCAUUAGUCGCCUCUUUAAAAUAUCCAUCGCCCCUCACAUUUUCCGAUUCAAUGAUAACCUUCCGAUAGCCUUGGCGGCGGGCCAACAAUUUAGUAUUUUAAUCAUCUUUAACAACUUUGUUUUGGCCCCAUUUGCUAAUUUUAAUUAUUUUUUAUUAUUAAAAUUAAAAUUAAAAAUUCAGAUUGACCCAUACUUACCUAACCUUUGAAUUAGAUUGAUAAACUACAUAUAGAUAAAUCCAUAUAUGACAAAUUUUUUAUAAUUAAAAUUUAGUAUACCGUCAUAAGUGUGUCAUAAUUUAGUGAUAUAUAAAUUUAAAAAUGAUAAUUUUGAUGUUUAUACUGUUAGAGAUUGUAUGACCCAAAUCUCGUCACUUUAAAUAAAAUACAAAGUCAAAAUAAGGAGAUCUAUGGGGACGAAGGAUUUUUCAAGCUUUAAAUAGAUGUAGUCGAAACUCUUCUUGUUUUAUUCAUUUUUCAAUAUUAGUGAAUUUCUCCUGCCCCAUGAUUAUUUCCAAAAAGAUUUUCACAUAAAAUUUAUAUUUUUUUUUCUUUUCUUAUCGAUUUGUAAUUAUUCUACUAUCAUUAUUGACGUCGAUAAUGGAAUUUGACAACGAAAAGAGAUGAAGUGUAUUUCAUCUGCCCUUCCAACUUUGUCAAAUUCCCAUGGACGUUGCCAUCGUUUUAUGUUUGAUCUGCUCUGCUUUUUAUUAUUAUUAUUACUUACAACAAUACCUAGCUUUGUUGAAGAUGGUUUUGUAGUGAUAAUCAAGAAUUUUCUUAACUUCAUUUAUUUCCCCAAAUAUCUGUGAAAGGGAAUUAAAUCUCCAUAUGAAGCCAAAGUGGAUGUGGUUCCAAGUGUUGAGCAGCAUAGGAAGUAAUCAAAAUAUAUAUGUCGCACUGCAAGGAAUUCAAGGCUGCCUUGUCCACAACACAAAGGCUUAUAGCUGCUAAGCACCUGCUCUUAAAUUUGAUUAUGGCCUAAUAAACAACAUAGGGCAGCAUUGACUUCCCCGCAAAGAGCUGUACACCCCAUUUUCUUCCAUUCUUCUUCUUUGCAGUUUCCUAAAACCCAAAUUUCACCAUCAAAAACUCCUAAAAAUGAUGGAUUUGGUGCGUUUACUUUUCAACAAUUUUUAGUAUUUUAAUCAUCUUUAGCAACUUUGUUUUAGGGCCAUUUGCUUUUCUUUUCGUUACAAUUAAGUCAUCAUAUGAUAAUAACAUUUAAUGUAAGUUAUACAAAUAGUCAUUUAAUUAUUAGCACAUUAUUAGUUUGGUCACUCAUGUUUAAAAAAAGUCUAAUUUAGUCACUAACGUUAUGGACAAUUGAUAUUUUUGUCAUUCCUCAUUCAAUCAUUAAUAGAAUGCUGAUGCAACCUUUUUUUAUUGGCAUAUUAAUAAAUUUAGCCUUUCAAUCUCUAUAAAUUCCAGUAAUUUGAUUUACACAUUAUGUUAACUUAAUCUUCAUUCUUAAUUUUUUUUUAAAACUUAAAAACUAAAAAUAUAUAUUUAAUUUUUUUUUCUAUAAAAUACAUAUACAAAAUUAUAAAAUACAUAAAAAUAUAAAAAUAUUUAUAAAUAAAUGAAUACUAUUUUUUUUCUUCAAAGAAAAUAUAGGGUUUAGUCUGAAUGAGUCAAUAUUAACUAACAUGACCAAAAUUUAGUGUGUAACAGUUUUCUGAGCUACCAAACACAGUCUUAGAAUAAAAAAAGAACAUAGAGCAGCAUUAACUUGACCACGAAGAGCUGUAGACCCCAUUUUCUUCCAUUCUAUUCUUUAAUUCUUCUCCUUCUUUGCAGUUUCCUUAAAACCAAAUCUCACCAUAAAAAACUCCUACUUUAUUGACCUCACUUCCAACCCAAUAUGCCACUUUUACUAAAGUGUUCAACUAUAUAAAGUUUUCAUUCGUAGGUGACUUGAAUGCAGGCAUAUGCAAGCAAGUAACUAACUGGAAAGGAAUUUGGUAAAUUUCUGAUUUGCAGUAUUUUUUUUCUUGAGCUUGGAAUGCUUCAAGCUAAUUAAUUAAAUUCUGUUUAGUGUUAUCCAGGAAGAAAUAGAUCCAGAAAAAAGGAACCUCGGAAGCCUGAACAGAACAUCACUCACAUGGAGGCUUCGCUAUAUAAUGCAGCAGCAGAAGGAAACAUUGAAGUAUUCAAUAAUAAACAGGGGCUUCAACUUGAGUCGCUAAAGACCCCAAACCAAGACAACGUGCUCCAUGUUAACUUGGCAACCGAGGAGACUGUCAAAUUCUCAAUAAUCAAAAUCUUCUCCGUAGGAUUUGUACCAGCCUAUCCGUUUUUGAAUUUAUUCGUUACUAUGAUAAAAAGAGAAAAAAAAUCAGAUUUUAUCGAACAAAUUCUCAGCAAGUGUCCGUCACUGCUAUUCCAAACGAAUGCUAAAGGUCAAACUCCUUUGCACGUUGCAGCAAGGUAUGGACAUUCUGCUAUUGUGAAACUUCUAAUCAAGUCCUGCGCAAAAGCUAUAGAUGGAGAUUUAGAGCUGGGAAUGGAUCAAGUAAGUGCAGUCAGGGAGAUGCUGAGGAUUACGGAUCAGGAAUCCAACACGGCUUUACAUGAAGCAGCAGGGUGUGGCAAUGUUGAAGUGGUGAAAGCAUUGUUGGAGUUUGAAGUCCCUGAUUUUCCGUAUUCUGCCAAUAAAAAACAGGAGACUCCACUUUAUAUUGCAGCUAAGAGAGGAGACGGCGGCGUGCUGAGUGUAAUAUUAGAUAAAUCAAAAUCAGCAGCUCAUGGCGGCCCCCACGGUAGAACAGCUUUGCAUGCAGCAGCUAUGGCUGGAGAUGCAGGUAUGUUGUUGAGUUAGUUCCAUUUUUUUUUAAUUUGAAAUAAAUAAAGAACAGGUCUAUUGACAUUUUUUUUUUUUGCUUGGAUUUAGAGGCAAUAAGGAUAAUAUUAGAGAAGAAGGGGAAUUUGACAAAGGAAAGAGAUGAAGAUGGACACACCCCUCUUCAUUAUGCUGCACACUUGGGUUCUAGAUUAUCAGUUGUGGAAGAACUGUUAAAAAGGGAUGUGUCAGCUGCCUAUAUAGGUGAUAAAAAGAGGGGGAUGACACCCCUUCUUAUGGCAGCCAGGGAAGGUAAUGGUGGAACAAGGGCAAAGAUUCUCUCUUUAUGUCCAGAUUGUUGCGAAAAAGUGGACAAUAAAGGUUUGAAUUUACUUCAUUAUACGGCUUUUAAAGACUGUCUUCCCAUCAGGGAGUUCUGUUUUUAAGCGUGGUGGUGUUGAGAUUGUAUAUGGAUCAGUUAGAAAUCUAACGGAGUUGGAAGGUGCCUGUAAAAUCUAAUGGUUUUGCAUUUCCAUGGCUACUGUUUUAUUAAUAUUUAAGUUUUGAGUUAACAUAUUUAAUAAACCUAUAAUACAAUCGGUUAAUGUGGGUGGCAUGACAGAAGCAAAUCAAAGAUUUGUUGGAAGAAAUUGAGAAUGAUCAAGUGGCAUAGGAACCAGUUCGUCACUUUCACUUACCAAGUGUUUCUAUAAAAAGAUUGGAGGCUAUAAGAAAUACUCAUUUAAUAGUGGCAGCACUUAUAGCCACCAUCACCUUCGCAGCGGUAAUAACUGUUCCUGGUGGUUUGGAGAGUGAAAAGGGGUCAAAGCAAGGUAAUCCCUUUUUGAUUCAUGAGGCAGCCUUUAAAGCAUUUGUUGUAAAUUGGCCUUUAUUUUCUCUGUUUCUGCCUGUUGGGAUUUGGAGAAUGAUAGAUGAAGGUUAACAGAGCUUGAGCAACAAUGCUGUAUGUUUGCUGGUGAAAUAAACAGAAUCGGGCUUGGGAACAAAGAAAAUGAAAAACAAGAAAAGAGAGUUUUGGAUGAAAUUUUGAAAAUGAUUUCAUUAACAUUGAUUGAAGGCACAAAGCCAAUACAUAAACCAGACAUUUAGCCGGUCAAAUCAAAACAAAUUGUCACCUAACAUACCUACUAUCACUAAGUAACAUUGGAACUUAUGAAAACAUUGCUUGCACACAUAGGUAUACUGAUUUAUCAAUCUAUCAGUACCUAAUUACAUCAAAACAAUAUCAAUUUACUUCAAAUCUGACUAAAUUACAAAGCGAUAUUUAAGGUAACAAAACGAAAUGAAAUACAAUAGCAGUAAUGUGCUUCAGCAGCUGCAUGCAUACUUCAUGUGUUGUAAGUGCGGCUUGAUCUGCUUGUUCAUACUUUAUGUGCUGUAAAUGCGGUAUCCAGGCCAACUUCAACACUCCUCCUUGGCUUGCAUGCUGCAUACUCCCAUUUUAGCUCUCAAAUGCACGAACCUUGAACACUAAUGGGCUUUGUUAAGAUAUCAGCAAGUUGUUCUUUAGAACUGCAAUGAAUUAGCUUCACUUCUUGAGCUUGCUCCAUCUCUCUAACAAAGUGAAAUUUGAUCUUGAAGUGUUUCAUUCUUCCAUGGAAUACUGAAUUCUUUGCAAUUGCAACAGCAGAUUGGUUGUCACAAUUGAUCUCUGUCGCUUCCCUUGGUGUAGAUUCAAGUCAGCCAUGAUUUUUCUUAUCCAAAUGGCUUGAUUGACAGCAAUAGCAGCUGCUACAUAUUCUGCUUCAGUAGUUGAUUGAGCAACAACAUUUUGCUUCUUCGAAUUCCAGCAAAAAAUGGCUUAUCCAAAAGUAAAAACAUACCUUGAUGUACUCUUCAUGUUAUCUAUCGAUCCAACCCAAUCACUAUCAGCAUAACCAACCACUUUCGUAUUUUUAGCUUUGCUAAAUAGCAUUCCAUAGCUCAAUGUACCUUUGAUGUACCUGAGAACUCUUUUGGUAGGUUGAAAGUGAUUUUCAUUGCAGCAAUGCAUGAAUCUAGAUAGCAGACUCACAAUAAACAUGAUGUCUGGUCUAGUGGCAGUAAGAUAUCGCAAACAACCUACCAAGCUCCUAUAGACAGAUUCACUAACCUGCUCAAAGUCACCUUGGCUCGAUAGUUUCUCUCUAAUGGCAACUUGUGUGUUUGAUGCCUUACAAUUUUGCAUGGAGAAUUUGUUCAGAAUCUUGGAGACAAAAGCCUUCUGACUUAGGAAGAUUCCAUGUUGUGUUUGAGUCGCUUCCAUACCAAGGAAGUAAGACAUUUGCCCCAAAUCUGACAUCUCGAACAUGUGUUCCAUCUUGGCUUUGAAAUCAGCUAGCAUUUCAUGAUCUCCUCCAGUUACUAGCAGGUUAUCAACGUAUAGGAACACUAUUAGUUGAGUUUCACUACCUUGCUUCUUCACAUACAAGGUAGGUUCACUGAUGCUUCUUUCAAAUCCAAGGCUAGCUAGGUAGCCAUCGAUCCUGCUAUACCAAACUCUUGGUGCUUGUUUCAAACAAUACAAGGCUUUCUUCAGUUUGUACACCUUGUCCUCUUCACCUGCCACUUUAAAACCUUCAGGUUGCUCAACAUAGAUUUUUUCAUCAAGAAACCCAUUGAGGAAUGCUAAUUUUACAUCAAGCUGAUGAAUUUUCCACUGCAUUUGUGCUGCUAAGGCAAUUAGCAGCCUUAUGGUGUCAAGCCUAGCUACUGGUGCAAAGGUUUCAAAGUAGUCAAUGCCGUACUUUUGGCUGAACCUUUUUACAACCAGCCUUGCUUUUAGUUUGCUCAAGCUUCCAUCAGCAUUGUGCUUGGCUCGAAACACCCAUUUCACCCUAAUAACCUUUCUAUUUGCUGGUCUCUCAACUAGCAGCCAAGUCUGAUUAUUUUCAGUCAUUCUGAUUUCAUCAGCCAUUGCCUAUUUCCAGCCUUGUUGAGCUUCAACUUCUUCGAAGCAGCUUGGUUCAACUGCUGCCACUUGAGCUAUUUCAUAAAUCGCAGCUAAUGGUCUAGUGCCCCUGACUGGUUCAUUAUCAAUGUCCAUUUCAAGGCCAUUUUGAUCAGCUUUAGUCUGAUCUGUCAGUAAAUCUUCAAAGACUGCCUCUGGUUCAUUCUUCUCUCAAUUCCAACUUGAAUUCUCAUCAAAGACUACAUCUUUGCUCACAAGCACUUUGUUGCAUGAAGGAUCUAGGAUUCUGUAGCCUUUCUUCAUACUGCUAUAUCCCAUCAGGAUGCCAGGUUAGGAUGCAGUGGUUUUCUUAUGAUUGAACUCGCAUUGAGUUUCAUAGUUCACUUCUCUUUUAUUUCCAUCUUUACAGAUAAUCCACCAAGUUAGGAUGCAGACUCGGCAUACAGAGGACUCGACUCGGAUUUUAUUUAUUAAAAUAUUUUGGAUUUAUUAUUCAAAAUUUUUCGUUAUUCAGGAACUAUAAUAUCUUAUUUAAAUCAUGGCAUGAGACUUAGGUUUUUGUUUAAUUUAUCAUGUAUGACAUAUAAUAUAAUUUAAUAUAUUAUUUUUAAUUAAUUAAGCAUGAAAUAUGAUUUUAAUAAAAUUAAGUUGAAAAUCAUUUUUCCAUUGCUAAAUUAUAGUUUAGUAUUGAGUUGUAAAUAAAUCAGAAAAUUUAACUAAUUUUCAAUCUCAUGUGUUAUACUGAAAAUAAGCUAAGUUUUCCAUAUUUUAAUUUGGUCAUUUUUUAAACCUUGAUUGCUAUUGGGCUAUUUCAGUGGCCGAUAUAAUCUCUCAAAUUUAGAUCUAAUGUAUAGGCUGAGUUGAAGAGGUUACAACAAGAUGCAAGAUUAAUGUUGUUUUGUUUGAAGUAUAAAAUUAGUAAAACACAUAGCAAGGAUAACAUUGUUGGAGAUUAUGGUAUGCUAAAAUGUUGAAGUAGGGAAUUUGACAAAGGAAAGAGAUGACACCUCAACAGUUUAUGAUGCACUUCGAUAUGAGUCAUCACGAGAAAUAUCAGUGUGAAAAGGUGUGUGUAUUUCUAUGACCAAGAGCUAUGGUUUUAUUAACAUAUAUAUAUAUAUAUAUAUAUAAUAGACCUACAUUACAAUAGAAUCGGCUAAUGUGGGUGGCAUGCCAUAAGCAAAUUGAAGAAUUGUUGAAAGAUAUUGCACUUGAAGAAGUAGCCAAGUUACCAUUUUUUCACAUUCCCUUAUUAACUGUCUCAGCAGAAAGCUUGGAGAAGACAGGAGAUAUUCAUUUAGUAGUGGCGGCAUUUAUAGCCACUGUGGCAUUCGUAGCAACCAUAACUGUUCCAAGUGAUUUCAAGGGUGAAAAAAGGUCAGAGCGGGGAACUCCUUUUCUAAUUUACGAGGCAGCCUUUAAAGCAUUUGUUAUGCAUUGGCCUUUAUUCUCUUUGUUUUUGCCCUCUCCAUCCACUUUGGAAUUUUGGAUCCUCUUUUAUCAAAAAUAAAUUAUUGAGAUAUUAAUAUAAUUUUAUAUUAAACCCAGUUCAUGUCUAAUGUCCUUGGUGACUGCUUUCCACAUAGGUGGUUAUGUGAUUUUAAAACCUUCUCAUAGACUUGCAUAUUGUUUCAUCUGCCCUGCCUUUUUUGUUCAAUUCUUCUCCUUCUUUGCCAAGUAUUUUCUUUACAGUUUCCUUAAACCCAAAUUUCACCGUAAAAAACUCCUCCUUUAUUGACCUGACCUCUAACCAGAGAUUUUCGUUUUGUUUAAAGUAAAAUUAUAAAGUUAAUAAAGCACAAAGCAAGAAUAGUACUUAGGGCAGCAUCGCCUUGACCACAAAGAGCUGUUCACCCCAUUUUCUUCCCUUCUUUUUCUUCAAUUCUUCUUCUUUGCCAAGUGUUUUCUUUACAGUUUCCUUAAACCCAAAUUUCACCAUAAAACCUCCUACUUUAUUGACCUGACCUCUAACCCUGUAUAUUACUAUUACUAAAGUGUUCAAGUAUGAAACUAUAUAUAUAUAGUUGUAGGUGACUUGAAUGGAGGAUAUGCAAGCAACAAACAAAUAGGUAUGGCAUUUGGUAAAUUUCUUAAUUUGCAGUUUUUUUUUUUCUUGAGCUUGGGAUGUUUCAAGAUAAUUAAUUAAAUUUUGUUUGGUGUUAUAUCCAGGUAGAAAUAGAUCAACAAAAAUGGGACCUCAGGAGCCUGAAGAGAACAUCAGUCACAUGGAUGCUUCGCUCUAUAAGGCAGCAGCAGAAGGCAACAUUGAAGUAUUCAAUAAUAAGCAGGGACUUCAACUUGAGUCGCUAAAGACCCCAAACCAUGACAACGUCCUCCAUGUUAACUUGGCAACCCAGGAGACUGCCGCCUGGCUUUUAAACAGAUUUCACUCAUGCGAUCCGGUUAUGAGUUUUUUCAUUACUAUGAUAAAAAGAGAAAAAAGAUCAGAUUUUAUCGAACAAAUUCUCAGCAAGUGUCCGUCACUGCUACUCCAAACGAAUGCUAAAGGUCAAACUCCUUUACACGUUGCAGCAAGGAAUGGACAUUCUGCUAUUGUGAAACUUCUAAUCAAGUUUUGCGCAAAAGCUAGAGAUGGAGAUUUAGAGAAGCUGGGAAUGGAUCAAGUAAAUGCAGUGAGGGAGAUGCUGAGGAUUACGGAUCAGGAAUCCAACAUGGCUUUACACGAAGCAGCACGUUGUGGCAAUGUUGAAGUGGCGAAAGCAUUGUUGGAGUUUGAAGACCCUGAAUUUCCGUAUUCUGCCAACAAAAAACAGGAGACUCCACUUUACAUAGCAGCUAGGAGGAGAGGAUCUGGGCGCUUGUUGACUCUAUUAUUAGAUAAAUUCAAAUCAACUGCUCAUGGCGGCCCUCACGGUAGAACAGCUUUGCAUGCAGCAGCUAUGGCUGGUGAUGCAGGUAUGUUGUUGAGUUAGUUCCAUUUUUUCUUUUUUUGAAAUAAAUAGAGAACAGGUCUAUUGAUUUUUUUUUUUUUUUUUGCUUGGAUUUAGAGGCAAUAAAGGUAAUAUUAAAUAAGAAGGGAAAUUUGACAAAGGAAAGAGAUGAAGAUGGACACACCCCUCUCCAUUAUGCUGCACACCUUGGUAAUAGAUUGUCAGUUGUGAAAGAACUGUUAAAAAGGGAUGUAACAGCUGCCUAUAUAGGUGAUAAAAUGAGGGGGAUGGCACCCCUUCUUAUGGCAGCGAGGCAAGGUCAUCUUUUAACAGUUUCAAAGAUUCUCUCUUUAUGUCCAGAUUGUUGUGAAAAAGUGGACAACAAAAGUUUGAAUGUACUUCAUUAUCUGGCUUUUAGAGGCUCUCCCUCUCCAUUUGGGAAUUCUGUUUUCAAGAGUGGUCAUAUUGAGAUUGUAUACGGAUCAGUCAAAACUCUAAUGGAGUUGGAAGGUGCCUUUGGAAUGACACCUCAAGAUGUUGAUAAUGCAGUUCGAUCUCAGAAACAUCAUCAUAAACAGGUAGUUGUGUGUACAUAUUACAUUUCUAUAGCUAUGUUUUUAUUAAUAUUUAAAAUUUUGAAUUAACAUAUUUAAUAAAUCUACAAUACAAUGGGCUAACGUGGCGGCAUGGCAGAAGCAAAUCAAAGAAUUGUUGGAAGAAAUUGAGAAUGAUCAAGUGGCGGAGGAACCAGUUCAUCACUUUACCGUACGAAAUAAUUCUAUAGAAAGUUUGGAGAAGACAGGAAAUGCUCAUUUAGUAGCUGCAGCACUUAUAGCCACCGUCGCAUUUGCAGCAGCAAUAACUGUUCCUGGUGGUUUGGAGAGUGAAAAAGGGUCAAAUCGAGGCACUCCCAUUUUGAUUCAAGAGGCAGCCUUUAAAGCAUUUGUUGUAACAAAUGCAAUGGCCUUUAUUUUCUCUGUUUCUGCCCUCACCACCUACUUUGGGGUUCUGGAUCAUCUUUUUACACGAUUUAUUUUUUGGCGUGAAGCAAUAAUUUUAAAUCGAACUUGGUCUGUUUCUAUGCUCCUUAACUAUGCAACGCUUGCAAUGGUAAUUGCUUUCAGCACGGGUAGUUAUGUGGUCUUAAAACCUUCCCACGAACUUGCCAUUGUUUCAUAUCUCAUAUGCCCUGCCUUUUUACUUUGUAAGUGGACAGCUUUGUUUGUAAUUUUGAGUCAUUCAAUACAUAUUUAAAAUAUAAAUAUGAUAAUAUUACUUUAUGGAUUAUUACAAUGUUGUUUCAAUUAUUAUAAAUUCAAAAAUAUUUUAUUUCCUUUUAAUAGUUUUUCAAAUAUUAAAUAUAUAACGCAAAAUAUAUCUAUAUAUAUAUAUAUUUUUUGUUUCUCAUGAAAAAUAGAUAUCAAUCAUGCUUUUCAAGUUUUCAUUAUUGAAAACAAAAUUUUAUUUCUAGUUAUCAAACUUGAUUUUAAAUUUUCAAAAAAUAGAAAAUAAAAAUAUUUUCAGAAACCUAACAAAGCUUAACUUUUUUUUUUUUGUUAAUAUACCAUUUGGUAUUUGAGUUAGUUUUAUUGUUCAAUUUGAUAAUUAAUUUCGGCUUCAAUAUUUAAUUUGAUAUCUAAACCAAAUGGUUUCAUAAGGCCUAAUAAAUAUUUGACAGGUCUACUCUAAAAAAUAGACGUGGGUAUUCUAAUUGAGACAAAAAAAAAAAAGAAGAAGCUCAAGUAUUAAAUUGAACUUUUUUAAAGUUAAACUCGGAUACUUAACUAUGACAAAAAGAAACUCAAGUAUCAAAGUAAAAAAAUUAAGUACAAAAUUGAACAUUCAAACCAAAUUCAUAUACAAAAUUAUAAAAAAUAAUCUUUUAAUACUAAAUUAAAAUUUGAAGUGAAAUUCAAGUAUCAAAUAAUAUAUUAACUCUUCUUUUUCUCUUAGAUCCUCACCUUGAAAAAAGCUAAUUAAGGUUAUUUGUUUUACAUUUACAACUUAAAAUUUUCAUAUAAAUAGAUUCUGUAUUUAUAAAAAUUUAUUUUUAUUAAAGAUUAAAUAAGAUUUAAAUGGUGUGUUGUUCUAAAGUUCACAAAUUUUUAUUUAAAAUAAUUACAUAAAAGUAAUAAAAAUUCAAAAUUUCACACCAACAAUAUAAAGUUAAAAAAUCACACAUAAAAAAUAGCAUUGCUAAAGAUUCUGCUUUACUAAAUUGUUUAAGUAAGGAAUUAUACAUGCCAUGGUGCUUUCUUUGUACCAAUGAUCUCUUUGGAUGGGUGAUGUGUUUAUUUACGAUUAGUAUAAAAAUAACAAUGUAAUACCUCAAAUCCGGUCUAGACGUUAUGACCGAAUAGGACUACAAGAGUUCAUCCAUCCAAUCACACCAAUAUGUGGCGGUGUGCCACUCAUAAAUAUGUAGCUGAGCUUCCAUAUAGAAAUUUGCUCUAGUCGCCAUAUAUUUGCGGUAAAAACUGUCAUAUAACACUUCCUCUAUUUUAUCAUAACCCAACUCAAUGCAUAUGUAAAAUCACGUUAACAUUCAUACAUAUAAUAUAGAUCGUAUGGCAUGCAUGCAUAAAUAGAUAUUAUACAAAGCAUAACACAACACAUAACUUAUACAGAUCAUAACAGAUUGAGAUUAUGCUGCACACAGAGGUUGCAAUUUUGUCGUGGAAGAACUGUUAAAAAGGGAUGUAUCAGCUGCCUAUGUAAGUGACAAAAAGAGGGGGAUGACACCCCUUCUUAUGGCAGCCAAGCAAGGUUAUCUUUUAACAGUUUCAAAGAUUCUCUCUUUUAUGUCCAGAUUGUUGUGAAAAAGUCGACAACAAAGGUUUGAAUUUACUUCAUUAUCAGGCUUUUAGAGUGUCAUCUUUUCAAGCUUGGUGGUAUUGGGAUUGCAUAUGGAUCGGUCAGAAAUUUAAUGGAGUUGGAAGGUGCCUUUGGAAUGACACCUCAAGAAGUUUAUAAUGCACUUCAAUAUGAGAAACAUCAUCAUAAACAGGUUUAUAAUCAAUGAUUUUUUUAUAUCUCAUCCGCACUUCAUUUUGGUGGCCUCCUCCACAUGGAUGGUUAAAGUUUAAUGUGUGUGGGAUUGCUAAAGAAGAUAGAGCAGGUUGUCGAGGUGUCUUGAGAGAUAAGGAGGGUGUCGCAAGAGCAUUAUUUUCUGGUUCAGUAGCAGCAAAUGAUGCCGAUGUGGCUGAGAUUGGUGCGGUGAAGAUUGCUCUGUAAGUAUUUUUUAGCUAUGAACUGGAAGAUUAAUGAUUCUUUAUUUAUUGAACUUGGUUCAUUGGUGGUGUUUUCUUGGUGUGCUAACAAGGUAAUGAGACCAUGGUCUCUUCAAGCAAUUUUUGCAGGUAUUGAAAAUGACAUGUUAAAGGCCGGAAAUGUUGUAUUCUCAUUGGCGGAUAAGAAAGGUAACGAGAUGGCAUCUUCCUUGGCAAUUGCAGGUUAUAAUCGGGUGAAAAUGUUUAAAGCUUGGUGAUGAAUUUUUGUUUUGUUGCAUUCAUAGGUUUAUUAGAGUUGGAAUGCGUUUUAAUUUUGAUUGCUGUAAUACUGAAAUUUUUGUUGUUGUUCUGUUCGUCUUUGACAACAGUACAGCUCGAAUGGAGCCAAAAAAAAAAAAAAAAGGGAAUGUUACAUCUUUGAAUAAGCAUUACUUUAAUUUUCAGUUAUAAUUAAAAAUUAGUUUGACAAAUCAUUGAAAAAUAUGAGAAUUUUAAGUUUAAGAAAAACACAAAGUUUUAUUUAAAAGUGGGAAGUCGUCCUCAACUUUUCUAGUUAGCUGCGAUUAGACACAUUUAAAAUCAAAAUUCUUUUUUAAAAAGAUAAAAUUGAGUUUACAAUAUAAAUCCAAACAAAAAUGUUUAGGUUAAUUAGAGAAUUUGCUAUACGAAAGGAAGAUUUUAGCACCCUCAUGACGCCAAAAAUUAAUUCCUUGUUAAAUAUGUGUUGUCUACAUUCGUAAAUUAAAACUCAUAUCUUGGUUUUUGAUUAUGAUCCAAUUUUUUGAUAAAUUAAAAAUAAAUAUUAAAUGAGUGAAUCAAUUUUUUAAUAGCAAAACAAAGAUAAUGAUCAAGAUGUAGCAUUUUCAAAAUUCAGGGGCCCUUUUUGAGAUUUUCCAUUUAUUUUUCAUCAUGUUUAAAAGAGAAAAGUUAUAAAUUUUGAAGUCAGUAGCCCAAUAUUUAUUAAGCCCAAAUCAAAUUUUAAAAUUGUGAAAUUGCAUUUAAUAGAAAGCAAUAACAUUUCAAAAGCUAAUAAAUAUUAACAAAAAUCGGAUCCGAUAUCAACAACAUAAAAUUUGAUAUUAUCAUGUAAGCAGCUAUUUUUAAAUAUUUAAUAUUUUAGUCAAUAUUUUUGUUAAAAAAAUCAAUUUGAUUGCUUUUGAAAGGUUUAUGGCUAAAUUCGAGUCCUUUUUUAAAAGAUUGAUGACCAAAUUUAGCUCAAGAAAAGAAUAAGGGUUAAAUUUAACUCAAAAAAAGAAUAAGGGCCAAAUUGAUAAAAAAAAUUUACAUAAAUACUACGAGCUAAUUUUAUCAUUAUGCCUAAUGAAAAUUAAGUUGUAUACUUUUAUGAUAGUAAAAAAAAUGUAAUUUCAUCAUUUUAAUAGCUUAAAUCUUUAUAAUAUUUAAAAGAUUAAAUCAAAUAUUUAUAAUUUUUAGAAGGUCAAAAUGUAAUUUUAUCAUUAUUAAUUUAAAAUUUUGUAAAUUAUAGAUAGGUUAAAAAGAGAGACCUAUUGUCCCCUUGGCUCCACCCCUAAACCCAUACGUUUUCAUCCAACUUUGAAAGUCCUUUCAAGCUUUCCAAUCUAUUAUAUUUGAUGUCUCAACGAUCCUAACUCUCGACCAAAUAAUCUUUUUCACUAUUUUUAAACUAAUAUACUUAGGAUUGAGGUAGAAUAAGGACAUGGUGAACUCCAAAAGUAAAUUAAUUUUUAAAUGGAUUUAAGACUAAUUCAUUUUGUGUCAAGUCUACAGUAUUAUUAGUUCAUAUUAACACAUCUCUGUCUUCACUUGAAAGUUAAUCUUACUCCGGCGCAAUCAAGACAAAUUAUCUCUCAUUAUUAGAUUUUAGACAACGUAUAAAUCUCUUUCUCUUCGUAAUUCUAUAGAUUACAAGUCAUGUAUUUAAAUUAUCGACUAAUGGAAAUUGUCUUUUGCAUACAAAACUAAAUUUGUGAUGCAACUCCGAAUUAAUUUAACAUAGGAAAAGAAGGGAGUGCGGCUUCCAUGCAGCAACGACCAAAGCCAAAGAGAAGGCGUGCUGCCUAAUUUCUUGCCCUUCUCAUCCACACAAUUUCUUGACUUUUCUUGUGUUUCUCAUCCACACAAUUAUUUUAUAUUUUAGUAACACAUUUUGAUUUUGUUUCCCUUGUAAAUAUUUAAAAAUAUAUAAAUCUAAGUAUUUACAUGUUUGAUAAAUAAAUUGUUUGUAUAAAAAAAGUGAAUUUUAAAUUAUGUCAUAAUAGUUACAAUAUUAAUGGUUUGCGAAAUUUAAUUAAAAUUAAAAUUCGUUUAUAUAAUUAAACAAAUUAAAGUUAAUACAUGAUUUUGAUUUUUAUUUCUUUGCAUUUUCGUGAAAAAAGUAUUGACUUCACCAAAAAGAGCUGGAGAGCUCAUUUUCUUCCAUUCUUCUCCUUCUUUGCAGUUUCCUUAAACCCGAAUUUCACCAUAAAAAACUCCUAAAAAUGAUGGAUUAGGUGCAUCUACUUUUCAACAAUUGUUAGUAUUUUAACCAUCUUUAUUAACUUUGUUUUAGGGACAUUUGCUUUCCUUUUCGUUUCAAUUAAGUCAUCAUAUGAUAAUAACAUUUAAUGUAAGUUAUACAAAUAGCCAUUUAAUUAUUAGCACAUUAUUAUUUUGGUCACUCGUGUUUAAAAAAGUUUAAUUUAGUCACUAAUAUUAUGGACAAUUGAUAUUUUUGUCAUUCCUCGUUCAAUUAUUAAUAGAAUGUUGAUGCAACUUUUUUAUUGGCAUAUUAAUAAAUUUAGCUUUUCAAUCUCUAUAAAUUUUAUUAAUUUGAUCUUAAUUCUAAAAAAUAAAUUUAACCCUUAACUUUACAAAUUAUGUUAAUUUAAUCUUGAUUCUUAAAAUUUUAAAAAAUAAAAAUAUAUAUUUAAAAGUUUUUUAUAAAAUACAUAUACAAAAUUAUAAAAUGCAUACAAAAAUAUAAAAAUAUUUAUAAAUAAAUGAAUACUAAUUUUUUUCUUCAAAGAAAUCCUUCAAAGAAAAUCUAGGGUUUAGUCUGAAUGAGUCAAUAUUAACUAACAUGACCAAAAUUUAGUCUGUAACAGUUUUCUGAGCUACCAAACACCGUCUUAGAAUAAAAAAGAGCAUAGGGCAGCAUUAACUUGACCACGAAGAGCUCUAGACCCCAUUUUCUUCCAUUAUUUUCUUUAAUUCUUCUCCUUCUUUGCAGUUUCCUUAAAACCAAAUUUCACCAUAAAAAACCUCCUACUUUAUUGACCUCACUUCUAACCCAAUAUAUCACUAUUAUUAUUACUAAAGUGUUCAACCAUAUAUGGUUGCCAGUAGUUGACUUGAAUGCAGGAUUUGCAAGCAAGUAACUAACUGGUAUGGCAUUCGGUAAAUUUCUGAUUUUGCAGUACUUUUUUCUUGAGCUUCGAAUGUUUCAAGCUAAUUAAUUCAAUUUUGUUUGGUGUUAUCCAGGAAGAAAUAGAUCAACAAAAAUGGGACCUGAAGAGCCUGAACAGAACAUCACUCACAUGGAUGCUUCGCUGUAUAAGGCAGCAGUAGAAGGCAACAUUGAAGAAUUCAAUAAUAAGCAGGGGCCUCAGCUUGAGUCGCUAAAGACCCCAAACCAUGACAACGUGCUCCAUCUUAACUUGGCAACCCAGGAGAAUGCUACCUUGCUUUUUAACAUAUUUCUCUCAAUAAUCAAAUUCUUCCCCGUACUAUAUGGAUGCUUCUCUCCGCCUAUGCGUGAUUUAAUUACUAUUAUAAGAGGAGAAAAAAGAUCAGAUUUUAUCGAACAAAUUCUCAGCAAGUGUCCGUCAAUGCUACUCCAAACGAAUGCUAAAGGCCAAACUCCUUUGCACGUUGCAGCAAGGUAUGGUCAUUCUGCUAUUGUGAAACUUCUAAUCAAGUCUUGUGCAAAAGCUAGAGAUGGAGAUUUAGAGAAGCUGGGAAUGGAUCAAGUAAAUGCAGUGAGGGGGAUGCUGAGGAUUAGGGAUCAGGAAUCCAACACGGCUUUACAUGAAGCAGCACGAUGUGGCAAUGUUGAAGUGGUAAAAGCAUUGUUGGAGUUUGAAGAACCUGAUUUUCCGUAUUCUGCCAAUAAAAAACAGGAGGCUCCACUUUACAUAGCUGCUAGGAGAGGAGACGGAGGCAUGCUGAGUAUACUAUUAGAUAAAUCAAAAUCAACAGCUCAUGGCGGCCCCCACGGUAGAACAGCUUUGCAUGCAGCAGCUAUGGCUGGAGAUGCAGGUAUGUUGUUGAGUUGGUUCCAAUUUUUUUUAAAAAAAAUUUGAAAUAAAUAAAGAACAGGUCUAUUGGCAAUUUUUUUUUUUUGCUUGGAUUUAGAGGCAAUAAGGAUAAUAUUAGAGAAGAAGGGGAAUUUGACAAAGGAAAGAGAUGAAGGUGGACACACCCCUCUUCAUUAUGCUGCACACUUGGGUUCUAGAUUAUCAGUUGUGGAAGAACUGUUAAAAAGGGAUGUUUCAGCUGCCUACAUAGGUGAUAAAAAGAGGGGGAUGACACCCCUUCUUAUGGCAGCCAGGCAAGGUUAUGGUGGAACAUGUUCAAAGAUUCUCUCUUUAUGUCCAGAUUGUUGCGAAAAAGUGGACAACUAUGGUUUGAAUUUACUUCAUUAUGCGGCUUUUAGAGACUCUGUCUUCCCACUAGGGAGUUCUGUUUUCAAGCGUGGUGGUGCUGAGAUUGUAUAUGGAUCAGUUAGAAAUCUAAUGGAGUUGGAAGGUGCCUUUGGAAUCACACCUCAGGAAGCUCAUAAUAUCAGUUCGAUCUAUGAAACAACAUCAUAAACAGGUGUGUGUGUAUAGAUAUUGCAUUUCCAUGGCUAUGGUUUUAUUAAUAUUUAAGUUUUGAAUUAACAUAUUUAAUAAACCUACAAUACACUCGGUUAAUGUGGGUGGCAUGACAGAAGCAAAUCAAAGAAUUGUUGGAAGAAUUGGAGAACGAUCAAGUGGCAGAGGAAGCCGUUCGUCACUUUCGCUUACCAAAUGUUUCUACAGAAACAUUGGAGGCUAUAAGAAAUACUCAUUUAAUAGUGGCAGCACUUAUAGCCACCGUCACCUUCGCAGCGGCAAUAACUGUUCCUGGUGGUUUGGAGAGUGAAAAAGGGUCAAAGCAAGGCACUCCCUUUUUGAUUCAUGAGGCAGCCUUUAAAGUAUUUGUUGUAACAAACGCAUUGGCCUUUAUUUUCUCUGUUUCUGCCCUCUUCAUCUACUUUGGGGUUCUGGAUAAUCUAUUAUCAAGAUUUAAAUUUUGGCGUCAAACAGUUUUAUAUCGAACUCGGUCUGUUUCUGGGCUUCUUGGCUAUGCAACGCUCGCGAUGAUGAUUGCUUUCAGCACAGGCAGUUAUGUGGUCUUAAAACCUUCCGACGGACUUGCCAUUGUUUCAUAUCUCAUAUGCCCUGCCUUCUUUUUCGUUCUGCAUUUGACUAUUUUUGAUUACUAUAUUAGUAAGAUAAUAUUUCAUCGUUGAUUACAAUAUUUUUCCAAUUCCUAAUGUCAAUGUUACCUCUUUGAAGAAAUAUUACUUUAAUAUUAAUAAUCUCCAUUUAAUUGUAAUUAAUAUAAAAUUAUUAGUUGCUAGACAUACAAUUUCAAAUAAAGUAAAAUUUAUUAAAUAUCAAAGAAUAAUAAAGAUGAUGUAAUUAACUCUCGGUUAUAAUUAAAAAUUAGUUGCAUUAUAAUAUGCAUGCCCUGUAAUUUUGAUAAUUUUGAUUCUUUUUCUAAUAAUUUAGUAAUUUAAUGAUGUUUAACAACUUUGUUUUCGCACGUUAUAUAAUUUUAUUUAAUAUUUUAUAAUUAAAUUAAAAUUUUAUGUAUUCAAAAUAACCUAAACUUACCUAACCUUUGAAUUAGAUUCAAUCUUAUAAUAUUUGUAAUUAAUAUAAAGUAGUAAACUAUUCUUAGUCAUGAAUUAAUUUCUUCCUCCAAUACUUGCAUGCAAAACCAAAGACAAUGAGAUUAAAAAUAAAAAUUUUAAAGCUUCUGCGAUUUGGACUUUCAAUAUUGUAACUUUAGCAUUUCGACCAUAACUUAAACUACAAAUCUCUAUUUUGAGCCCAUAAUAUAGCAUCUAAUUAAAUUUAUUUCACAAAUCAAGCACCAAAACCUCAUGAACGCAUCUAAAAAUAGCCUGGAAGUUUGACGUGAAAGUUGCUAAGAAAUCUUGAAAAAAUCUGCUUUAUGUAAAUAGAUAAUUUUUUGUAUUUUCUCUAUUAUAUUAUCUUUGCCUUAUAAACAUACAUUAUUAGGUUAAAACUUGAGGAGAGACCUAGACAUAGUCACCUUAGCUUUAUUUUGUUUUUGCGUUUUAUUUUCUUUAUGAGUUUUUAAAUUUUUUUUCUAGUUUAAGGUCAAUCAAAGUUUGAUUCAAUAAAUUUAUGAGACAUGACUUGCACUUUAAUUCUUUUUUGUUCUUUGAUAUUCAUGCAUCUUUUGUUAUAAUUACAAUAGCUCAAGUUUAUUACUAUUGAGUCAUCAACUAGAACUAAUUUAUUAAACACAUUGAAGAUAUCAUUAUAUCGAUGAUCGAACUUACAAAAUCAAUUGUAGAUUUUACCUUUGGGUAAAACCUUUCAACAUUGAAUUUCCUAAAAUUUUUAAUUAUUACUUUCUUUGAUUCAGCUUUUAAUUUAAAUUUAGUUUUUUUAUUUUAUAAAACCCUUUUUUUUUAUUUACCUUAGUGGUUCUUACUUAAGGAAUAUAAUUAUCACUAAUAUCUAUAUAUGUGGAUAUAAUUUUGCUUCUUGUUUUCUAUUAAUUUAUAUGUUCAAAUUGAUUUUAUUUUUAUAGGUCUCGAUAGUCUAACAACUCUCUUGGAUCUUCUUGUUGAGCAUUUUUGAACUUCUUAAACCUUUGGCUUCAUUUUGACCUGUAUUUAAAAACUUUGUUUAAGUUUCAAGAUAAAAAGGUUAUCUACCAUUGCAACUCUUCUAUAGUAGUGUUAUGAUUAGUGGACAUUACUUCUGUCACUUGUUCCUCUACUUCAAUUUUCUUUUUAUUUAAUCUAGAUUGAUCUCAUAGGUUUGUAGAAAUCCAAUUGAUUCAUCAAUUCACAUAUUAUCAAUAUCUUUGGCUUCUCCAAUGAUUGUGACUUUGAUGUUGAAUUUCUUUAGAAAAGAUCAAAUCACACAAUUUGGCAUAGAACUUGUCAAUUGUUUCAUUAUCCUCCAUUUUUAGAGUUUUAAACCUUGUUAUGAGCAUUUGUAAUUUAGAUUGCUUCACAAUCUCUAUAACACCCCUAAACCUCGCCUGAACGUUAUGGCUGAAUCUAGAAUGUUACGAAGAAGGGUUUUGAAACCGAUCUUUACAUGAUAAAAAAAAAACCUCGUAUGGUAUCUUACUAGAAAAGAGUCCUUAUUGUAUAAAACAUAUCCAUUUAACAUUGUCUUUAAUAAAACCGUUGAUAGUUUGUUCUUUAAGAAAAACUUAAUUCGCGACAGAAAUCUUAAGUGUCAUUAUAUGUCGAAAACCAAGUUUGUGUUUUCCAAAACGUUUGUUUGCAUAAAACCAUUAUUUACGAAAAAUUGUUUGUUGUGCGUUGCAGAAAACAUAAUCAAACCAAAAACAACAACAAAAACCAAAAGAAAUCAAAAAGUCCGGAGAGUCCCAAAAUUACAAAACUCUCAAGAAAAACCAUAAAUUAAAAUAAAACCAAUAAUUAAAGGAUAGUUUCCAUACUAGUGGUCAUCGCUGAGCUUCCGUUGCACCGACCUGCCUAUGUCUGAAGAUUACCUGAAUAGAGUAGACAAACAAAUGUGAGUUUUCAAAAACUCAAUGUGUAACUUAACAGAGACAUGCAUACACAUAAACUCAGAUUUCUCAUGUAGCAAAUCAGAUACGGGCAUAAGUCAUUAACAGAAUCAUAUAAUAUCAUAAUCGGAUUAUUAGAAACAUACAGAUACCCAAAGUCCUACCCCCAUCCUCUACACACCAUCUCUGACCAUCCCAACACACCAUAUGGGGUAUAAAACACCCACUCAUCCCUACACACCACAUAGUGUCUUUACAACACUUAUCAAGAAUAGUAUGCAGUCAAGCUGCCAGUAUAUCGGCGAAAUGUCACCUCACAGAACACUUCCUCCACAUAUACAAAUCCCACCCCAUACAUCAGAUAACAAAUAUAACAGAACUAACAUGUCCCGCAUGCUCAUAUACAAAUAUCAUACAUGUUAUUAUGAAAUAGUCAAAUCAUACAUAUCAACUUCUAAAUACUCAAAUUAGUCUAUCAAAGUAGCAGAUAUCAUACAUUAGGGUUUGUUAUUAUGUAAUGUAUUGAAAUAAUCAUAAUCUAAACUUAAAAUAAUAAAAUAAAUUUAAAUAGCAUCGGAUGCUUAAACUAAAAUCAGAAAGAAAUAUAAAAUUAAACAAAACAUUGACUUUGUUAUACAAUAGUUUAAGUAUCAUUAAUUAAUAUUUAUAAAUAUAAAAAAGUCAAAGUCUUUUUAAAAUACUAAUUAUUUAAUUAGUUAAUGAGUGUUGCAUUUGAUCUCAUGUUAUAUAUAUUAUAAUAUGCAUGUGCUACUUGCCUGGAAAGGUUUGUUUGUAUUUUAAUCACUUAUCGGUUGUUGAUAUUUUGGUCAUUUUUCCGUUAAAUCAUUAAUAGAAUGUUAAUGCAGUUUUGUUUUUAUUGGUAUAAUAAUAAAGUUAGCUCUUUAAUGUUUAUAGAUUCUAUUAAUUUAGACCUAAUUUAAAAAAAAAACAAAUUUAACCCUUAACUUUACAUAUUAUGUCAAUUGAUCUCAAUUCUUAAAAAUUUAAAAAAUAAAAAAGAUAUUUAAAAUUUGUUUCGAUAAAAAUACAUACAAAAUUAUAAAAGUUAUAAAAUACAUACAUAUAAAUAAAUGAGUAUUCAAUUCUCUCCUUUAAAGAAAAACACGAAAAAGAACUUAUAUAAAUUAUCAUUUGUUUUGUUGAAAAUGUGGUAAAUCUUAGGGAUUUUCAUUGUUGGAAGGGUGAAAAGAAAAUCUAGGGUUUAGUCUAAAUCACUCAAUAAUAACUAACAUCAUCAAAUUUUGGAUGGACAUAAUGCAUUGAAAUAAUCAAUAAUCAAAAUUGACAUCAUAAAUACAAUCAACUUCAUAAUUAAAAUAUAUCUAAAUUUAAAUAGAUAAAACUAAAAUCAGAAAUAAAUAUGAAAUUAAACAAAACACUUACGCUGUUAUAUUGUAGUUUAAGUAUCAUUAAAUAAUAUUUAUAAUUAUAAAAAAGUCAAAGUCUUUUUAAAAUACUAAUUAAUUAAUUAGUUAAUGAGUGUUCCAUGUGAUCUCAUCUUAUAUUAUAAUAUGAAUAUGGGAAUGUGCUCCUUGCCUUGAAAGGUUAAUAUUAAUUAAUAAAAAUGUGAAAAAAUUAAAACUCGCCAUGUGCCUCCAUAAUUAGAAUUUAAUAAUGCAACUUUGUUUUACGGAUUUGCUUUCCAUUUCCUUACAAUUAAGUCUUUCAAUUAUAUUUUAGUAGUGUUUUACUGUUUUGGUCCGUUUAUGAUCAAACUCACAGAAACAAAGUUAAAUUAGUUAGGGGGUUACAAUCUCCAUGCCUUCAUGGGCAAUCUCAAAGAUUUCAAGCUAUGUAUAUGUGUCACUUGUCUUGAUAAGCCACAAGGUGUCUUGGAAUAAGUAAGGCAUUUUGUAAUUUUUCUUAAUUUGUAAUCUUUUUUUCGUUUAUCUUUGAAUGUUCCACGGUAAUUGAAUAUUAAUUGGUGUUUUCAAGGAAGAAAGCUGUGCAAUAGAUCAACAAAUAUGGGACCAUCGUUAAACGACAUUGUUAUUUCCUCCGGUGAACCUGAGAAGCCUGCAGAGAACAUCACUUGCAUGGAUGCUUCAUUGUAUAAAGCUGCAGCAGUAGGCAAAAUUGAAGAAUUCAAUAAUUACCAGGGGCCUGAACUUGAGUCGCUGAAGACCCCAAACCAUGACAACGUGCUCCAUGUUAACUUGUCAACCCCUGAGCGUAUCUGGCAACGUACCAGAUUUGAUUUUGUCCUACAAAUUCUUGACAAGUGUCCAUCACUGCUACUCCAAACAAAUGCUAAAAGUCAAAUUCCACUGCAUGUUGCAGCAAGGUAUGGAUAUUCUACUAUUGUACGACAUCUAAUCAUGUUUUGUGCAAGGGUUAUUUAUAAAGAUUUAGAGAAGCUGGGAAUGGAUCAACUGAAUGCAGUGAGGGGGAUGAUCAGACAUACGGAUCAAGAAUCCAAUACGGCUUUACAUAUAGCAACACGGUAUGGCCAUGUUGAAGUGGUGCAAGCAUUGCUGGAGCAUGAAGACCCUGAUUUUCCAUAUUUUGCCAAUAUAAACCACGAAACUCCACUUUACUUAGCAGCUAGGAGAGGAAGUCGGCGCUUGCUGAGUAUAUUAUUAGAUAAAUCAAAAUCAACUGCUCAUGGUGGCCCCCACGGUAGAACAGCUUUGCAUGCAACAGCUAUGGUUAGAGAUCCAUGUAAGUUAAGUUCCAAUUUUUUUUUUUUUUGUUUGAAAUAAACAGAGAAUAGAACCAUUGACUUUUUUUUUUUGGGCUUGAAUUUAGGGGUUACAAGGAUAAUACUAGAGAAGAAAGGGAAUUUGACAAAGGAAACAGAUGAAAAUGGACACACCCCUCUUCACUAUGCUGCACACUUGGGUCACGAUGCUGUUGUGGAAGAGCUGUUAAAAUGGGAUAUAUCUGUUGCUUAUAUAGGUGAUAAAAAGUGGGGGAUGACACCCCUUCUUAUGGCAGCCAGGCAAGGUCUUUUUGGAACAGUAAGAAAGAUUCUGUCUUAUUGUCCAGAUUGUUGUGAAAGAGUGGACAAAAGAGGUUGGAAUUUACUUCAUUUUAUGGCGUUUAGAGACCUUUCUCGUGGAUUCCGCAUUUUAUUAAAGAAUGAUAAUGCUACCACGACUGAAUAUGGAUCAGUCAGAAAUCUAAGGGACUGGAAAGAUGCUAGUGGAAUCACACCUCAACAAGUUUUCAAUGCAUGUCAAUAUGAUAAGGAAGAGAAAAAGGUAUAUUUAUAUUUGUAUUUGUAUGCCUACGGCUAUGGUUUUAUUAAUAUUUGUGUUUUGAAUUAUGAUUAUAUAACAUAUAUAAUAUAAUGAUCUAUAAUAUAAUCGGCUAAUGUGGUAGGAACAAAUUGUGAAAUUGUUAAAAGAAAUUGUGAAUGAAGAAGUCGCGGAGAAACCAGUUUAUCCCAUCGGCUUGCCAAACAUAUCUGCAGAUAAAAACUUGGAGAAAGCAAGAGAUGCUCAUUUAGUAGUGGCAGCACUUAUAGUCACCGUCACAUUCGCAGCGGCAAUAACCGUUCCAGGUGGUUUGCAGAGUGAAAAAGGGUUAGAGCAAGGCACUCCCCUUUUGAUUCAUGAGGCAGUGUUUAAAGCAUUUGUUGUGACAAAUGCAUUGGCCUUUAUUUUCUCUGUUUCUGCCCUCACCACCCACUUUGGGGUUCUGGAUAAUCAAUUAUCAGGAUUUAAAUUUUUUCGUGAAACAGUUUUAUAUCGAACUCAGUCUGUUUCUGGGAUCCUUGGCUAUGCAACGUUGGCAAUGGUGGUUGCUUUCAGCACAGGUAGUUAUGUGGUCUUAAAACCUUCCCACGGACUUGCCAUUGUUUCGUAUCUCAUCUGCCCUGCCUUUUUACUCUGUAUUUGGGAAAUUUUGAAUCCUUUAAUGCAAAUGUAAAAUAUAAAUAUGAUAAUAUUACUUUAUCAUUGAUUACAAUGUUGUUCCAAUUCCUAAUAAAAAAUUAAUUUUUUUUUAAAAGAUAAUUUUGAGUCUACGAUAAAAAUUAAAAAAAAAUGUUGUUUACAUAGCAUCCUCGCGACGCUCAAAAUCGGCACCUUAUUAAAUAUGUUUUGUCUACCUUGUUAAAUUAAAAUUCAUAUCUAGGUACUUAAUUAUGAUCCAAAUUUUUGAUAAAUUAAAAGCAAAGAUAUUAAAUGAGUGAAUCGGUUAUUUAAUAGCAAAACAAAAGUAAGGAUCAAGAUGUAGCAUAUUCAAAAUUCAAGGGCCUUUCUUGAGGUUUUUCAUUUUAAUUUUUUAUCAUUAUAAAAGAUAAAAAAAGUUAUAAAUUUUGAAGUAAAUGGGCCCACAGUCCAACAUUUAUUACACAAAUGAACAGAUAAGAAAACAUUUGGGCCCAAAUCGAAUAUUAUCCCAAAGUUCAUAAACAUUUGACUUUAAAAAUUGUGAAAUUAAAUUCAAAACUAAUAAAUAUUAACAAAAAUUGGAUCCCAUAUCCACAAAUUAAAACUCCAAUUCUUGUUACUUACGGAUCCUGGACGAAAUUCGGUGUUUACAAAAGGUAUCAAGUGGCGGAGGAACUAGUUUGUCCCAUUUGCUUGCCAACUAUCUCUGCAAAAAGCUUGGAGAAGAAGGGAAAUGCUCAUUUAGUAGUGGCAGCACUUAUUGCCACCUUUGCAUUCGCAGCGGCAAUAACUGUUCUUGGUGGUUUGCAAAGUGACAAAAGGUCAAAGCAAGGCACUCCCCUUUUCAUUCAUGAGGCAGCCUUCAAAGCAUUUAUUGUAACAAAUGCAUUGGCCUUUUUAUACUCCGUUCUGCCCUCACCAUCCACUUUGGGUUAUGGAUAAUAUAUUAUCAAGAUAUAAUUUUUGGCAUCGAACAGUUUCAAAUCGAACUCGAUUUGUUUCUGGGAUCCUUGGGCAUGCAAUGAUUGCAAUGGUGAUUGCUUUCAGCACAGGUAGUUAUGUGGUUUUAAAAUCUUCCCACGGACUUGUCAUCGUUUCAUAUCUGAUCGGCCCUGCCUUUUUCUUUGGUGUGUGGCUAAUUUUGCAUGCUUCCUUAUAUAUAUAAAAUAUAAAUGUGACAAUAUACUUUAUCAUCGAUUACAAUAUUCUUCCAAUUUCUAGUUCGAAUGUUACCUCUUUGAAUAAACAUUACUUCAAUUUUUUUUUUUUUGAGAUAUGUCUAUCUUAUUAAAAUUAUGAAAAAGGUCAAAAAAAAAUCACAAUUUGUGUAAAGUAAGAUUUACUAAAUAUCAAAGAAUAGUAAAGAUAUAUUGUAAUUAAUUUUCAGUUAUAAUUAAAAAUUAAUUUGACAAAUAAUUGAAAAAUAUGAGGAUUCUAGGUUUAAGAAAAACAUGAAAUGUUAUUUAAAAAUGAAAAGUGGCGAUUAAAUUUUUUGGCUAGGUGUGAUCAAACACAUUUAAAGUCAUCUUUUAAAAACAAAAUUUUGAAAAUUCUUUUUUAAAAAGAUAAUUUUGGGUCUACCAUAGAAAUUCAGAGAAAAUUAUUUAGGUUAGGGAAUUGGUUACGGAAGAUUUUGGGUCUAUCUUGUUAAAUAUAUGUUGUUUACAUUCGUAAAUUAAAAUUCAUAUCUCUGUAUUUAAUUGUAACACUCCAAAAUUGAGGCGAGGAGCAGUAAGGUUUGUUGGUUUGGGGUUAGUGGUUCGUAAGUCCUAAGUUAAUUUUUGUAUUUUAAAAAUAAAAUGAGUCUCUUGAUUUAGUGGUAAAAAAUUAGUUUACCUUUAGAUCUUGUGUUCAAAUUCUCGUGAGAGCUUUGAGGAAGUUAAUUUUUGGUUUUUAAAUUUUGUUAAAUUCUAUCACGUUUGGAUUCAAUUUUCAAUACUUCACUAAGUGAUGUAUGUAUUUGGACUUUUGUUAUGGUCCUUUUAUGAUAUUACUAAUAAUUUCUUGAUUGAGAAAAAAAAAUAUAUUACUUAUGACAUGUGGCUUCCCUUGUACCAUGUUAAAUAAUCUCUCGUGUUUGCAAGAUUUUCUAUUAUGUUCGUAUAUCAAGUGUUUAUGAAUGAAGUCAAAAAUUUUGUGUUGGGAGUCUGAAGUAAUAAUUUUAGAGGGGAAAUAAUUUUAAAUAAAUUUAAAAUUAAUUUAUCUCGUGUUUAGUUUAAUGUAUUCUUUAUCUAUAUCACUAUUUAAGAGUCAAUUCUAUUUUGAUAGCGAAGAUAAGUUAUUUUCCCUUAUUGGACAUUAGACUACAUGAUAUCCUUAUAUGAAUCACUUACUUAUCAUGUUUCCAUGAGUUAAUGGACUAUUCAUUUAAAUUACAACUAAUUGAAAUUAUCUUUUGCAUCCAAAACAAUAUUUGUGAUGCAACUUCCGAUAAAUUUAACGUAAGUAACUAAUGAGCUAAUAUUUACACAUACUAUUAGUUUACAUGUUGGUUUGAAUCCAUAAAAAUGUAAAUUUAUAUAAAUGUAAAAAAAAAAAUUCGACAGUUUUUCAAAUAUUAAAUCUCGUACAUUCGUUUGAAUCAUAAAAAAUAUACACUUUCUAUUUUAUUAUAGAAAAAAAAAAGAUACCAUGUUUUUCAUCUUUAUCAAAUGUGUUUUUCAAUUUGAAAAAAAAUAAAAAUUAGAAAAUGAAAUAUUUCUUUGAAAAUGAUAAUAGAAAAUAAAAAUAAAAAAAAUAUUGUAAGGAACCACUACACCAAAACAGGCUUUUAACGGCGUUUGGAUUAAAAACGCGGCUAAAGAUCAAUCCUUAGCGGCACUUUAUGGAAAACGCCGCUGAAAAUAAGCAUUAGCAGCGUUUUCCAGAAAGCGCCGCAAAAAACCUAAGCCCAACGACGUCGUUUUCUAAGCUUUCGGGGAUUUAGCCGCUUUUUUAAGAAAGCGCCGCUAAUGCUCAGGGCUUUAGCGGCGUUUUUGAGAAAGCACCACAAAAAAACCUAAGCCCAACCACGCCAUUUUCUGAGCUUUUGGGGAUUUAGCGGCGUUUUUAGAAAAGCGCCUUUAAUGCUUAGGGCUUUAGCGGCGUUUUUGAGAAAGCGCCGCAAGAAAAACCUAAGCCCAACGACGCUGUUUUCUGAGCUUUCGAGGAUAUAGCGGCAUUUUUAAGAAAGCGCCGCUAAUGCCCAGGGCUUUAGCGGCGUUUUUGAGAAAGCGCAGCAAAAAAACCUAAGCCCAACGAUGCCGUUUUCUGAGCUUUCGGGGAUUUAGCGGCGUUUGUAGGAAAAGCGCCGCUAAAGGUCUUGUUCUUUAGCGGCAUUUAUUUCUAAAAUCGUCGCAAAAGUUUGCGGCAUUGUCAAUAGCGGCAUUUUUUGCGGCGCUAGGCAAAAAAAAACCCGCUAAAAGCCUGUUUUGGUGUAGUGAACCAAAGGAAGGUUAACCCAUUUUUUUUUGGAUUAAUAUACCAUUUGGUCUUUAAAUUUGGUUCUAAUGUUCAAUUUAAUACUCAAACCAAAUGACUUCAUAUAGCUUAAUAAAUAUUUUACAUGUGUACUAUGGUAAAAAAAAAACAUAAGUAUUUUAAUUGAGAUAAAAAAAAUGGGUAUUAAAAGAAACAUUGAAGCUAAAUUUAAGCAUUUAAUUAUGACAAAAGGAAAUUCAAGCAUUGAAUUGACAAUAUUUGGGUACCAAAUUAAACAUUGAAGCCAAACUUAUGUACCAAUUUGGAAAAAAAAAAUCUCGAGUACAUUAACGUUCUUCUGCUAUUAAAUCUUCUCAUUGAAUAAAGCAAAAGCUAUGAUUUGCAAAGAGAAUAAAUGGUGUGUAGGAAAAAUGUAGGGAAAGAAGAAUAAAGGGGAAAUUGUAGCUCCAUCUACUUGGACCAAAUUUUUUAUUAUAUUGAUUCCUUUUAAUGAAAAAUAAUUGUACUCAGGCGCAAAAGGUGGAAAAAAAAUUUUAGAGGGUCGAAAUUAAAUUUUAAUUUUUAUAAUAAUAAAAAUGUAAUUUUAACAUUUGAAUAGCCUAUAUAUUUAUAAUGUUUAAAAGAUUAAAUCAAAUUUUUAUCAUUUUAGGGGGGCCAAAGUGUAAUUUUAUCUUUACUAAUUUAAAUUUUUUUACUUGUACUACGAGUUGUAUUGCAUUUUGCCCCAUUUAAUUUAUAAAAAAAAAAAGUAAAUUAGUCAUUGUAUACUAGAUCAAAGAUCAAGUUGGUCCUUCUGGUAAACAUUAGCCCAUGUACAUUAGAAUGAGGGACACGUUGCAUGUCAUGUUUAACUAUCUAACUAUUCUGUUUGUUAUGCCCGUUUUAUUGAUAGAAAAGGAUGAAACUUUUAAUAGAAAUGAUCAGUUUACUUUUUUUAUCUAAUAAACAAUGACUAAUUUACUCAUUUUUUAAAAAGAAAAGGUAAGAUACAAUCUAAACCCUAAACCUUCAUAGUACUUUUACCUUAAUUAAAGCUCAUAGCAAGAAUAGCAUUGUUGAGGAUUAUGCUACGCGAAUGUGUUAAGGAAGAAAUUGAAAAAUGUAACGGUAGUUCUUUACGCAACACUAAAGUGUUCAAGUAAGGAAUUAUAUAUAGUUGUCACACUUGAAUGAAAGAUAUUAUAGGCAAGCAACAAAUAUGUAAGGCAUUUGGUAAAUUUCUGAAUUUGUAGUACCUUUUUUUUUUCCUUGAGCUUGGAAUGUUCCUAGCUAAUUAAUUACAUUUUGUUUGGUGUUAUCUAGGACGAAAGCUGUGCAAUAGAUCAACAAAAAUGGAACCAUCGACAAACAUCGCGCUUAUAUCCUCCGGUGAACCUGAGGAGCCUGAAGAGAACAUCACUUACAUGGAUGCUUUGUUGUACAAGGCAGCAGCAGAAGGCAUAAUUGAAGAAUUCAAUAAUCACCCAGAGCUUCAACUUGAGUCGCUAAAGACCCCAAACCAUGACAACCUGCUCCAUGUUAACUUGGCAACCCAGGAGAGUGCUGUUGACAUUGUGUACUCAUUAUUCAUAUUAUUCCCCGAAGGAUAUGUAUUAUUCCAUCAGUAUUUGAGUAUUUUCAUUAGUAUGAUAAAAAGAGAAAAGAGAUCAGAUUUUUUCGAGCAAAUUCUCAGCAAGUGUCCGUCACUGCUACUCCAAACGAAUGCUAAAGGUCAAACUCCUUUGCACGUUGCAGCAAGGUUUGGACAUUCUGCUAUUGUGAAACUACUAAUCAAGUCUUGUGCAAAAGCUAGAGAUGGAGAUUUAGAGAAGCUGGGAAUGGAUCAAGUAAAUGCAGUGAGGGAGAUGUUGAGGAUUACGGAUCAGGAAUCGAACACGGCUUUGCAUGAAGCAGCAGGGUGUGGCAAUGUUGAAGUGGUGAAAGCAUUGUUGGAGUUUGAAGACCCUGAUUUUCCGUAUUCUGCCAACAAAAAACAGGAGACUCCACUUUACAUAGCAGCUAGGAGGAGAGGAUCUGGGCGCUUGUUGAC
rnacentral:lncRNA from 1 species